GGGGGGGGGGGCUCGGUUAACCGGAAUCGCGCUCCGGAUCCAACCGCGGGGUCGGAUUCGGACGAUUCCGGAUGCGGGAACGGGUACGUGGCCCUGUAGAGGGGAUAUCCGGAGACGAGAGGGAGAACGGGUGACGCGGCACGAAUUUUAAAACACCGACAAACGUCCGACGGUAGCCCGAAUACGAUGCUGCCACGGUCGACCGUUCGGGUACCGGACGGUCUCCGAUCGCGUCAAAAUUCGACAGGCGGCAUAGCUAUAUAUAAUCGCGACCGCGUGCCAAGUUUCACCUCGAUCAGAGAAAGUUUUAAACGCACUUUAAAAACAGGGUUUCGACGGUGCCGCGGGCGCGUGCGAGUGCGGUCAGGCUCGGAACGAACAACGACGUGAACCGGCAACUAACAACGGAUGCAAGUUUUGAAAACUGGCGGCAACGGAGAUGCCGAUGCAAUGCUGAUGAUGCGCAUGAUGCGAUGAUGAUGCGACCAAUAUAAAUAGACACACGACGAAAACGGAAAGAGAGGGGAAUCUUCUGGAACGUCGGCAUCGGGCUGUCACAACUAAAGAUCCACCUAUAUAAGCGGGAGUUAGAAAAUUUCCAACCCAAAUCGCAUUUCCUUCUCUCCUUCCUCGUUCUCCUGCCCGGCGCGGCACAGUGACGAACUCGACCACGCCGUCAGGCUGCCCGCCGUCCUGCUCGCCGCCGCCUGCCGUCCUCCUCGUCGUUGUCGUCGUCCUCCUCGCCGCCCCCGCCCUCCUCGCCGCGUGCCGCCGUCCUCCUCGCCGCGCGCCGUCGACACCUCCGGCCGGUAAGCCCCCCGCCCCCUCCUCCCCAACACUCCGGCCAGUAGAAGAAAAGAAGAAAAAGGAGAAGAAAGGAAGAAAAAGGAGAAGAAAGGAAGAAAAAGGAGAAGAAAGGAAGAAAAAGGGAAGAAAAGAAGAAAAGGAUUUUUUUUGUCAUUUAAUUCCUAUUGUUAUUAGGUUUGUGCUAGAUUAUUAGGGUUAGUAAUAUUUAGAAUUAGGAAAAAGGAAAAUAAGAAGAGGAGGAGAAGAAAAGAAGAAAAAGGAGAAUAAGAAGAGGAGGAGAGGAGAAGAAGAGGAAAAAUAGAAGAAGAGGAGAAGUAGAAGAAGAGAAAAAUUAGAAGAGGAGGCGAGGAGAAGUAGAAGAAGAGAAGAGGAGAAGUAGUAGAAGAAGAGGAGAAGUAGAAGUAGAAGAAGAAGUAGAAGAAGAGGAGAAAUAGAAGAAGAGGAAAAAUUAGUUUAGGGUUACAAGAAGAAGAAAUGUUUUUUUUUAUCAUUUAAUUUUGCUAUUGUAUAGUGUAUAUGCUUAAGUGUUAAUAGUGUUUCUUAGAUUAUUGCUUAAUUUUGCUAUUGUAUAUGCUUAAGUGUUAAUAGUUUAAUUUUGCUAUGGUACAUGGUUAAGUGUUAAUAGUUUAUUUUUAGCAAGAAAAUUAAUAGAACUAGUUUAUUUUUUUAGUUCAUUUUACGAUGCCUACCCCGCAUCCUCGUCGUCGACUCGGCGGAGGACACCUGCUUGAUCAGAGGGGCCCUGUCCGGGACUGGGCUCCGCCCGGCUGGUAUUAGGAGGUGCUACCUUCCGGGGGCGUAGGUUGGUGAGGAGCCAACCCCUCGUAGACCCGAUCCCUGUUUAGUGGCGGUCGCGUGGGCCAGUGAGGGUGCCGAGGCUUCCGGACACCGCGGAGGUGGUACGUCACCGUGUCAGCGAGGAGGAUGAGCACGUCCGUUGCUACAUGGUUGCGUUGGAGGGCAGGUUCGAGCAUACGUGGCAAGUUCUUCGGGGAUCUCACUGGAGCUAUGAUCCUGUGAUGGUUCCUUCUCUUUGGGUGUCCACCGCCCGCGCCGAUACCCGUCGGGCGCUACGGUUCUAGAUGUAUCAGUGAUGCUAUAUGUAUGAUAGUAUUCGAGGAGUAUUAGUGAUAAUAUUCGACGAUGUACGGACAAAAGAGAUGAUGUAUUUGCUUAUAAUUGAAUGCAUGCUAAUUUGAAUACUUCUUUAUUUUACGAUUUGGUUUUGCUUAUUGAAUGCUCAAAUUGGAAAAGUACUCCUACUUUGAAUACUAUGCUCAAAUUGAUAAGGGAAGAGUUGAUGCCUUCGACCCAUUAUCGAGACCUUUGAAACAGUUCCAAAGCCUGCAGGACAUGCUUCAAGGGUAAUUCCAAUCAUUCUUGCGCUCUAUCGGUCUCUUUCGAUGAUUUUCUGAUAUAUCAAUUAAUGAAAAACUUAGCAAAUCAUUAUCCUUGUAGGGCAGGGUUUGGAAGCGGUUCAAGUGCGUGACUCCCGGUAUCGAGCUUGAGAAGCUGACCUUUAGAGCGGCUCAGGUAAGUAGUAGUAUGAUAUACUUCUAUUUUCAAUACAUUUAUGAUGCUAGAUUAUUAUUUUGAUUAUAUAUAUUCUAUUCUCGUAAAGUGCGACCAGCAGCCACGGGGAACGCAUCUAUGCGGAUACUAUGUUUGCGAGACCAUUGGCACGUUUAUCUCUGAGCACAAGGAUCACAGAUUCGACGUAAACAAUGAACAUUCACACCUCUAUUUUUACCCGUCAUUCUUUGUUAUCAUGAUUGAUAUUCAUAUUCAUCUCCUCUUCUUAUAUAGUACACGGCCAUGAGGACGAAGGUCCUACCAGAGCAACGCGCGAUUGCUGUUGCAGAGGAGCUUGCGACCUUUCUGAGGACGGAAGCUUUAGAUGACAAAGGACGAUUUAGUGUAGCUAGGGGCCAUUACUCAUGUUCGUCCAUGUAAUCGAAUAGACGGGUUCUAGUCUCGAUAAUUCAGAUCUUCAUAUAAUUGUAUAUAUAUGCUCGCUUGUAAGAUAAGUUAAUCUUAUAUAUAUAUAUAUGCAUAAUUAUUUCUAUUUAAAUUAUAUGAAAACUAAUUCCCGAACACCAAACGAGGCAUCACGUUAAUCUCCCGAACACCUAAACCCUAAAAUCCUAAAAGCCAAAAAUAAUUUGAUUCAAAAAAAACCCAAAAAUAAACAAAAUCUGAAAAUCUUUAGUCCCGGUCCGUGUAACGAACCGGGACUAAAGGGUCUGCCCCUGGGGCGCUACGAGGCGGCCACGUGGAGCACCUUUAGUCCCGGCUUGGAACAGGGCCAGGACUAAAGGUUAGACCUUUAGUCCCGCCCUUUUAGUCUCGGUUGGUGAACCGGGACUAAAACCCCUUACGGGCCGGGGCUAAAGGCCCCGUCCCCACUAGUGUCGGAUGCGCACACACAAAAAAUACGUUACAAGUUGGCCCAUGACAAAUCUAGCGCGCAUGUUGAAGUUGUUCUUACUAUAGAGGGAGUAGUGUACAGAACAAAUUACAAGUGUCAGGGGUUGGUUGGGAAGGAGAAGGAAAAAGUCCAUUUAAAACUUUAAACUUACUGAGCUUAGCUAUAUAUCAAACUCCCAACUCCGGAUCCCAGUCAUUGGCAGCAUAAACAUAUCUAUCCCGGUUUAAAUCAAAUCCUGAAGCUCUUUGAUGCACCGGAAAAGCGACGAUCCUGGAAAUAAAUCUCUUAGGUUGCUCCUUUAACGGACCAGCCAGCCUGCAAAGUAGUCACUUUUUUAAGAAUUUGAAAAUAUAUGCAUGGUAUUGAAAAACGUUUGCAAAUCAAAAAAUAUGUUUGAAAACUAAAAACCAAGCUUAAAUACGAAAAAACUUCACAAGUUUGAAAAAAGUUUGUGAACCCAGAAAAUGUUCGCAAAUCUGAAAAAAAAUCGGAAAUGAAAAUAUUCUCAAAUUUGAAAAAUCUUCAGGAGUUUGGAAAAAUGUUCACGAACUCAAAAUAUGUUCAUAAAUUUGAAAAGGUUUCUUCAAUGUGAAAAAACUUCCGUGAAUUCCAAAAUUAUUUUUAAUAUGAAAACUGUUCAAGAAUUUAAAAAAAGAUCACAAACUCAAAAAAAUACCUCAAACUCAAAAAGUGUUCACAAAUUUAUAAAUUGUUCAUGAAUUAGAAAAAAUGUUCAUGAAAAUCGUGAAACAUUCUCGAAGUUAUAAAAAUAAUUGUGAACUUGAAUUAGUUUACAUGAUUUUAUUAAAACAUUCACAAGUUUGAGAGAUGUUCACGAAUUUUAAAAACAUUGUGAAGUUGAAAAAAUUUCACAUAUAUUUAAUAGAAUUGACGAUGUAUUGUAAAAUGCUCAAUGUACAUUUAAAAAUAUACAUCAAGGUAGAUACAUAAUGUUUAAAAAGAAAUUUGGUAAUAAAAUAGAGAAAAUGAAAAAAAAAGGAAAGAGAAUUAAUAUGUAAACAAAAAAAUCCUAAGGAAAUUGUAAUUUAAAAAGUAACAAAAGGGAUAUAAAAUGAUAAUAGAAAAUACAGAAAAAAAAUAAAAAGAAGUUACUAGGCACGAGUACGAAAAAAAGAAUUACAAAAACCAGCGUAAGUUCGCUGUGCAAGUGUGCAUGAUUACAAAAAUAAUUUAGUUACUUGGCGGCCCGCACGACAUUAUAGGUAGAAGUUACCCUAUUUUGGGAUAUAUUAAUUUUUACAUGAACAACAGCUCCACGGUUCAACUUAGACCAGGAUUGAUUAGUUUGGGUUGCCAAUGACAGGGAUUCGGGGUUGGGAGUUCGAUUUACUGAAGCUCUACAAGUUCAAGAUUUAUAAUGGGCUUUUUUAAAGGAGAAUGGUAGUGUCAUGACAGUGGUUGUGACAAGCAAGGAGGCAAGCACGAGGCAAGAGGAAGCUAAAUGACUUAGGAGUUGGGCCGGUUGGGCCACGGGUUUUCAAGACAAAUUACGUUUUAGGGGAUCGUGAUAAGUUAAGUUUUCUUUUAGAAAAUCGUGAAAAGUUAAGUGUAUGUGCAUGCACACGAGAUGGUUGAGGCCCUUAUACCAUCAGGUUUUGUGUUUUCCCCUCUCGUUAGGUGUUUCCUUCUUCCACAGUAAUUCCUUGCGGUCAAGACUAUUACCUCCCCUGCCAUCGACAUCCCCUCGUAGCUUAAUUUGUAACGAUCACGGGAUUGGUGAGGUUCUUGUGGCGCAGCGGCUUUGAGUUCCACCAAAAAACCCGAUCUCCUUCAACUCAGGUUGGUGAUCUAGAUGGAUUCCGAGGGAGCUUCGGGCUCCACUAUGGUCAAUGAUGUGGAGCGGAUGAUGGCGGAACUUGGAUUACGCAAAGAGAUCUAGAUGACAUCGUGUUCGACGAGAAGGACGCGCUGCCGGAGGUGGUGGUGGUACCUACACAUAGCUACCACAUAGUACCUAAACAUAGCUAGAUUUAGUGCCCUAAUUUUUAUGAGAUGGCAUCAUUAUGAGCUUAAACGCCAUCUUUUAUAGUCCUAAAUGGUGAAAUGGGAGCUUUUUGAGCCAAAAGGCCUCAUUAUUUGGAAAGUUGGUAGACCUCCCCUAGCUGUAUGGGUCGUCAUGUGCGAGAAACGCGCGUCUUUUUCAGCUUGUCCAUGCACUUCCACUAGCCGAACACCGCGUUGUGAAUCCUUCCCUCUCCACCACCCAUAGAGGAGGCCCACGUGACUCCACACGCAGAGGAGUGGAGGAUGAAGGUGUGGCAUGAGAGGCUUGACGAUGAUGAGAAGCCUUGUAGUUGACGUCGAAUGUCCUGAAAUUCAUCAAAGGGCAUUAAUUGUAGCACCGGCAUGUAUCGAACAAGCAAGCACAAUAUGUGUUCAGGAUACCUUGAACAACUCUCAUCACUUUGGUGGUGGUGUAUAUGGUGGGAUCUCCCUCAUGGGUAUUUUGACUAGUGAUGGUUGUUGUUGUACUUACCUUCAUGUUAAAGAAUGUCGUAGAGGAGGAUAAGUACAACAAUAACCCCCUACGAUGAUAGUCGGGAUCCUUCAAGAACUCUCAUCUCUUAGGUGGUGGAGUAUAUAUGUUGGGCUCUCACUCAUGAGUAUUUCGACACAUGGUGAUGGUACCUGAUGCUUGUGAUCUGUGUUGUGUUUUUCGUGAAGAGGAACGGAUUACCGCAGCACAAUGCAGGUAAGUAUUUCCCUCGAUUAAGAAACCAAGGUUUAUCAAAACAAUAGGAAUAUCAAUCCUCAACCGUCUUCAGCGUAUGCACACAAAAGAGCAAACAACUUGCACCCAACGCAGGCAAGAGGGUUGUUAAUCCCCUGGAUCUCGUUAUUUGCAAGCGAAUGAGGUGUGUAUAUAAUUGCAGAUAGUUGAGACUUGCAAAAUAAAAUAAAAGAUAAAUAAUAAGAACGAGGAAAUUAUAAGUUUUUUGAAUAUAUAAGUGAAUAGACACACGGAUCAUAGUGUUCUCUAGUGGCAUCUCUCAUGAAAGCAACAUAUGAUGGGUAAACAAAUUACUAUUGGGCAAUUGAUAGAACAUCAGAUAUGAAAGUGCAUGCUAUGCCCCUAAUCGACUUUUGCUGUUAAUGACAACACAUACAUAGGAAACUAAUCCUAUUUGUUGAGUGUAUCUCAGGAUGGCAAGUACUUUAGUAGAUUGAGAAUUAUGUGCCAAAGGUGGUCUGAGAAGAUCGGGACUUAUAUGUCAAGAAGGCUCGGGAUUGAGAAAAGAUGAUGUAGACUAUCCUUUUGAGUUUACUAUUCUUGAGUAUAGGGAUCCCGCACUAUUAAGAGGGGAUCACAAGUUUUGCGAUGAACUUGCUCAUACCACAUCUUCACUAUUCUGCUCAAUACCACAUAUUCUCUACUCUGCUCCUAUCUCAAAACAGGUCUAAUGCCUCGGACUUCCGGCUCCCUCCGGACGUCCGAGGGCCGGUCAAGGGUCGGACGACCGACAGGCUUCGGAAAUCCGGAGCUCUGCACCAGAAGAACUUGAGCCCUAUAACUCGGAUUUCCGGCUCCGUCCGGACAUCCGAGGGCCGGUCGACCGACCAGCUUCGGAAAUCCGGAGCCCUGCACCAGAAGAACGUGAGCCAUAUAACUCGGACUUCCGGCUCCCUCCGGACGUCCGAGGGCCGGACGUUCGUCCCCCUUCGGAAAUCCGGAACCUUGCACCAGAAGAAGUUGAGUCGAAUAACUCGGAUUUCCGGCCUUCUCCGGACGUCCGGUCCCUGUUCAACUCAUAGUGUUUCGAGACAUAUCUACAGCUCUCGGACGACCGACCCCUGUCGGACGUCCGACCCCUUGUGGACGUCCGGACUUUCGUAAACUGCCGGACGUCCGAACCCUGUGUGACUUAAAGUGUCCCAACGGCUGUUUUACACUCCCCACUAUAUAUACCCCCUCCCACUUCGUGAGAGGGUGUCCAACACAGCUAGAACACAUCCAAGAACACCUUUCUUCUCACUCACUCUUGUCUACACCAAAUCUUAGAUUCCAAGAGCAUUUGUGAGUCCCUUUGAGUGUUGUUCCAAUCAAAAGAUAGAUCGUCUCCUUCUCCUCCUUCCCACCAAAGUGAUUUGUGAUUUGAGCAAGUUUUGAGCAAUCCCCGUGAUCUUGUUACUCUUGGAGGUUGGAGACUCCUAGGCGGUAGGAGUCUUCGGAGAGGAAUCAAACCAUUGUGAUUUCCCUCGGAAAGUUUGUGAAGGUUUGGAAGCCACCUCAAGGCUUACCACUAGUGGUUGAGAAACGCCUUCGUGGAGUUAUCUCAAAGGGAGAAUAGGGUGAGCCUUCGUGGCGUUGGUGUGCCUUCGUGGUAACAUCCGCCCCUCUAACGGUGACGUAGCUUCCCUCCAAGGAAGUGAACAUCGGGAUACAUCCUCGUCUCUCUUGGAGUUUCGGUUAUUCCUAACCCUAACUCUCUACUUGUGUUAAUCCUUAUUACGUACUUGUAUUUGAUUAUUGUUUACCGCUUGCCUUACUUCACUCUAAAUAGUUUACUCCUUGUCAUAGCAAUUAUUAGGCCUACACUCAUAUUCCGCACUUUUGCCUAAAAUUGCUAAGUAAUUAUUAAAAUUUGGAACUGUACCUAUUCACCCCCCUCUAGGUCCAUCUCGGUCCUUUUCAAGAUAGUUAUGCAAUUUUCAAAGCAAUGGUCUGGUGUACAUAAGCAUCACGUCCAUAAACAAAUAGGUUGACUCCUACCUGCACCUAUUACUAUUGUUGCAUCCAUCGACCGUUAUCCAACAUGCAUAUACAGUAUUAAGUAAAACAGAAUGAUGCUUGGAGAACAAUGACAUGAUGUAGACAAAGUAAACUCAACCAAUAUGAAUAAACCCUAUCAUUUUAUCCUUAAUGGCAACAACACAAAGACGCUUCUUGUACCCUCGUGUCACUUGGAUAUAGAAAUUCGCCAGGUUAAACCCACUACAACGCACAUCUACCACUGAAGAAAGAUCAAACUACUUGGUUAAAGCAAUUUAAUAGAUCGAAUAGAUUUACGAAGCUAUGAUGAUCAUGCAAAUAAGAAUCAUAAAACCCAGAGAAGAUUCAGAUACUUUUCAUGAGUAAUCUAAACAUAAACCCAUAAUUCAUCGGAUCCGAACAAACACACCAUACCAUACGAAAGUAUUACACCGGAUAGAUAAAAGCGAAGAUGUGAUGAUCAUUGUAUUGAAGAACUAUAUAUAUAUAUAUAUAUAUAUAUAUAUAUAUAUAUAGAGAGAGAGAGAGAGAGAUCCAUCUACAUCCUAAUAUAACUACGAACUUAUAGGUCUGUGGUGAACUACUCACACAUCAUCACGAGGGCACCAAGGUUGAUGAGGAGGUCCUCCGUGAUCGAUCCCCCCUCCGACAGUUAUGUAUAGUUUUUUGUGAAAGUUGUACAUGUGUAAUGUGACAACUAUGNNNNNNNNNNNNNNNNNNNNNNNNNNNNNNNNNNNNNNNNNNNNNNNNNNNNNNNNNNNNNNNNNNNNNNNNNNNNNNNNNNNNNNNNNNNNNNNNNNNNCUGGCUAAAAAGAAUAUGGACUCUAAAAUACAGCUCCGGUUUAACAUGAGAUUUUGCACAAUUGAUCAUUCGUAUGAGUAGUAGACAAAAUUAUACACAAACAACAGACUGAACCAGUUACUUUUGAUAUUCCUCCCUAUAAUUCACGAGGAAAGAAGUCUUUGCUCUGGCUGAGCCACGUCAUUCAAUCUUUUGAUCUUCAAAACGUCAACCCUCCAAUCAAGUAUACCAUCGCUGAUUUUAUGAUGAUGUUCUUUUUACCUAGGGUGAUUUUAUCUUAUUUUUGUAACAAUUGGGAACAGGCCCCAUUUUUUCCUGUGCUCUAUGUGGAAACACUCUCGGAGGCAAAUUCUGAUUUUACUUAGCGCUGUAGGGAUUCGAUACUUAGCCUCUAGAUUGCUCCUGUGAGGCCUUAGCCACCACCAGUAAGGGUGCAACCAGUUUACGUGAUGAGUUAGCAAUUAAAAUCAAGAUACUACUUACCCGCAAAAAAAAAAAAUCAAGAUACUACACAUAUGCCGACACGACCGAUAUAUCAGCAUCAGUGGCUAACCAGUACAGAUAUAGCAUUUCAUUUCAUAAAUAUCGUUCUCACACAUAUCGACCAACAUGGCCGGUAUUUGACAAUAUGUCCACCGAUAUAGACUAAUACGUCAAUGCCAAAUAAUUCUUCUUAAAGAAGCAUUAGUAAAAAAAAAUCAAGAACCAAGCAAUGGCCGGUUGGUUAGGGCACAUGCCCAUGAGCCCACCCACCCGCGUUCGAGGCCCAGACUUUGCAGGGUGCGUCACCUCUACCUAACAAAUGUACAGGGGGGGGGGGGUCCCCCUUUAACGAAGGUUUUUUUAAACAAAAAUUAGCAUUUACACCUUCAUGCAACUAUCAAGUUUAUGCCUAACUUCUGUAAAUAAGCAUAUGUAUGAUGUCCUUUCUCAUGUUACCAUAAAGAUUUUGUGAGUCUUUAAUAAUUUAUUUCGCAAUCGACCAGUCAGUAAACUUGGAAUCAUAUGUCUGCCAUGCUCAAGGACCAGCACCAUACAUUUUAUUUGUACUAAAAAUGCAUGAAAUGAGCAAUUGUCGUAACUAAAAUAAGGCAGAUACUUCUCCCUCCAAUGUAAUUACAUACCGUCCGACAUCCGAUACGCGGAAGCUAGACGGAUAUGGACUAGUAGAUGUCUGGUAUUUCGAACCUUGGUUAAAACUAUGUUUGGAUACAAAUUCAACCUCAUCUCUCACUUCUGGACCACCAAACACCAGCAAAGGAUGAACUAGUUCAUCCAGAACAGAACCAAGAUGAUCGGAUGAACUGCAAACAACAGAAAGAAAGAUAGCGCGAGUAACACACAUCAGAUAUUGCUUCGAAACAGACACGGCCUCCAUUAAAAUCAUUCCUUUUUUACAAAUUCAACUUCACAGAAGGUCGUGGAACAGAAAACGGCGGAGGGGGGAGGCGCUCAUUGCCAACUAGUGCUAAGAACAGACCCUUGGUAGUGCUAGAAGAGAAAAGUGUCACUCUCCACCACCAAUUUCCCCUCCGCCACCAAAGGUCCUCAAUUCCUAAAUCCUAAUCGAAGCAGGGCCGCGACCAUAAUACCACACAACAACAGCGGCAGCAAUGCAGGAACUUGGACAAGAAAAAAAAAUCAUUAUUUGCGCAAGAAUCCCCUGGACAAAUCGCACCGACAGACGGCGGCUGGAUCCAUCCAUGGUAAGAACCCCAGAAAAGCAACUGAGGAAGAGAGAUUAUGCAUAACUUCAUCAAAUGAUCAAAAUUAUGCAUAACUUCUGUAAAUAAGCAUGUGUGUGUAUAUAAUGCCCUCCGUUAUGUUACCGUAAGGAUUUUGUGAGUCUGUCUUGAAUAGUUUAUUUCGCGGUCAACCAGACAGCAAACUUGGAAUGAUAUACCCCGUAUUUGCCAUGCGCAAGCACCGUUCGUUCAAUUUGGUGCCGAAAAGGCAUGGUAUAAGUAAGGCUAACCAAAACAAGACAGACAUUUUUCCAUCCCAUAUAACCACACGCAUAUCCGACAUUGGAUGCAUCGAAGCGAGACCGAUAUGGACCCGAAUAUCCGGUACUCCGAACCUGGGUUAACCCUAGGUGUUGGUGCGGAUACAUAUUCGACCUCAGCUCUCAUUUCUGGACCAACAAACACCAGACAGAGGAUGAACUAUCCAUCAUGAACAGACACGAGACGAAUGGAUGAACUGCGAAGAAACAGAAAGAUAACGCGAGCAACAGACAAGCCAGUCUGCACACAUUAAAACCGUUCCUUUUUUGCANNNNNNNNNNNNNNNNNNNNNNNNNNNNNNNNNNNNNNNNNNNNNNNNNNNNNNNNNNNNNNNNNNNNNNNNNNNNNNNNNNNNNNNNNNNNNNNNNNNNUUACAUGGGUACAUAUGACAUCGGAUGGUCCAGGAAUUCGGCUGAUUUUGUUUCCCUUUGCGAGAGGAAACUCUGGUGGAGGGCCCACACCGAGCUGCUUAUUUAUUUUGUUCCUGUUCUAUUAAUACGAUUUUUCAUUCUGUCUGUCUCAAUCUAUCUUUUCGUUUUUUGACAAUUCGUCCCAAUAUUUCAUCUUAUUUUUUAAAUAAUAUGUCCUUGUCUAUCGUUUUUUUAUAACCUAUCUCAAUCUUAUCAAAAUUUGAGAGCGGCGAUUACCACGAUGGGCGCAUCAACGCGUGGAAGGGCUCGAGGAAGCGACGCGUGGAGUGCUUGGAAUUUUUUCCACGGUUUUUUUAUCUGGUGUUUUCUUCUCUUUUGGGUUUUUCUUGAUUUUUUCUCUUAUUGUUUUCAUUUUCCUUCUUUCUGUCUAGUUUUCUUAUGCUGUCACGUGUACAACAUGGAUGUAUGUGUAUAUGUUGCUAUGCGGUGUUGACAUGUUUAUAGGUGGUUGUUAAACUACCUGCGAGUACACUGGCAGUGAAUAGUAAAAGUAUUUUACCACGUGAAGUACAUGUAUGCUAUAGUGGAAGUACAAGCUUAUUAUUGUUCGAAGUACAAGUUACGUCCCAAAAAGAUCGACGAGACCUAUGAACAUGGGAUCUAUUUCUGAAGAUCUCAACAUGAGUAACACAUCGGUGAGAUACUUUGAUUUGAAAUUUGGAUCUUAUGUUUUUUUAUGGGAAGAGAUGGCAUGAUGUGUAAUUUUUUGUUCAAAGUGAAUAUCAAGUGCUACAUAUGUUCCAAACCGUGGAGCACUAAAGUUUACGGUUGUCCCUGGUUUAAACUUGUUCUAAAGAAAUUUUGUGUCGUAGAUGCUGCCAUGCUAGUAUUCUCUUUUACAAACAUGGUUAUAUUUAGAAGAAUCUUAACUGAUGGCACAACUAUCUAUGUAAGUGCGUUCUUAUUCUGAACCGAUGUGAGUAGUAUGGAUAGAUAUACAAUUUCUCUGGCCCGUGCUAGACAAGAAUGAAGAACAAAAUAACAACCACCCUAUCAAUCUCAUCUUUUUAUCUGGGCAUAAUAAAGAAGUACUCCCUCCGUCCCAUAAUUCUUGUCUUAUAUUUGUCUAAAGAUGAAUGUAUCUAGUCACAUUUUAGUAUUUAGAUACAUAUAUUUUUAGACAAAUCUAAGACAAGAAUUUUGGGACGGAGGGAGUAAUAAAUAUCCCCUGCAAAAAAAAGAGUAAAUAUGGACCGACUGUUUGUUUGACUUUGACAUGUGGACUUAUAAGUAUGCUUUGUCAAUUCAAGUCCAUAUAAUCAACUGUCGAGUAGAACAAAAUUAUGUUUUCUCCUUCACCAGUCACCGAAAGGAGACAACAACCAUGACAGGGCACAUUCUAUGCAACUGGAUGCUUGAAAAGAACAGAAAAGAUAUCGGCGACGACGGCGGUGGCGCUGUUCCGGCCUUGUGAUCCAUCUUCAGCUUUGGCGGGGACGAUGGCNNNNNNNNNNNNNNNNNNNNNNNNNNNNNNNNNNNNNNNNNNNNNNNNNNNNNNNNNNNNNNNNNNNNNNNNNNNNNNNNNNNNNNNNNNNNNNNNNNNNCUCCGGUUUAACAUGAGAUUUUUGCACAAUUGAUCAUUGUAUGAGUAGUAGACAAAAUUAUACACAAACAACAGACUGAACCAGUUACUUUUGAUAUUCCUCCCUAUAAUUCACGAGGAAAGAAGUCUUUGCUCUGGCUGAGCCACGUCAUUCAAUCUUUUGAUCUUCAAAACGUCAACCCUCCAAUCAAGUAUACCAUCGCUGAUUUUAUGAUGAUGUUCUUUUUACCUAGGGUGAUUUUAUCUUAUUUUUGUAACAAUUGGGAACAGGCCCCAUUUUUUCCUGUGCUCUAUGUGGAAACACUCUCGGAGGCAAAUUCUGAUUUUACUUAGCGCUGUAGGGAUUCGAUACUUAGCCUCUAGAUUGCUCCUGUGAGGCCUUAGCCACCACCAGUAAGGGUGCAACCAGUUUACGUGAUGAGUUAGCAAUUAAAAUCAAGAUACUACUUACCCGCAAAAAAAAAAUCAAGAUACUACACAUAUGCCGACACGACCGAUAUAUCAGCAUCAGUGGCUAACCAGUACAGAUAUAGCAUUUCAUUUCAUAAAUAUCGUUCUCACACAUAUCGACCAACAUGGCCGGUAUUUGACAAUAUGUCCACCGAUAUAGACUAAUACGUCAAUGCCAAAUAAUUCUUCUUAAAGAAGCAUUAGUAAAAAAAAAUCAAGAACCAAGCAAUGGCCGGUUGGUUAGGGCACAUGCCCAUGAGCCCACCCACCCGCGUUCGAGGCCCAGACUUUGCAGGGUGCGUCACCUCUACCUAACAAAUGUACAGGGGGGGGGGGUCCCCUUUAACGAAGGUUUUUUUAAACAAAAAUUAGCAUUUACACCUUCAUGCAACUAUCAAGUUUAUGCCUAACUUCUGUAAAUAAGCAUAUGUAUGAUGUCCUUUCUCAUGUUACCAUAAAGAUUUUGUGAGUCUUUAAUAAUUUAUUUCGCAAUCGACCAGUCAGUAAACUUGGAAUCAUAUGUCUGCCAUGCUCAAGGACCAGCACCAUACAUUUUAUUUGUACUAAAAAUGCAUGAAAUGAGCAAUUGUCGUAACUAAAAUAAGGCAGAUACUUCUCCCUCNNNNNNNNNNNNNNNNNNNNNNNNNNNNNNNNNNNNNNNNNNNNNNNNNNNNNNNNNNNNNNNNNNNNNNNNNNNNNNNNNNNNNNNNNNNNNNNNNNNNGCCCGAAGAAAAGGUUGCGCCAGGAUGAAAGGUUCACGAUCGCACAAGUCGCGGGAAAUGGCCAACCGGUUGCUCCCAAGCGGGCCAAGGCCACAUUUGUACAUGAGUGCGGAGUUGUUGUUAGGGACAACGUCCCUAUCACAAUCCAUGAACGGAAUAAGAAGAAGGACCCUGAAGUUUCUUAUGUCCAUGAUAGACUCAAAGAUGAUCUUUGGACCUCGUUGAUGACAAAUUUCAGCCUACCACCAUAGGAGGAUCCGAAUAACGCAGUUAUAGAGCGAAAGGUCGAGGCGUUUUCUCUAAAGAAGACGACAGAAUUAUCCAAGAACUGGAGGAAACAUUUGAACACAAAGUUUGUCAAGAAAGACGAGACUCCAGAGUUCACCGAUCAAUAUGAGAAGAUCAGAGAUCACUGGCUAGCAUUUGUGGCCUACAAGAAAUCGAACAAGGGUAAGCAAAGGUCAGAGACAAACAAGGGAAAUGUUGCAUUGAAGAAGUAUCAUAAUACCACGGAGUCAGGUGGCUACAGCAAAGCCCGACCGUUGUGGGACAAAGAUGAGCAAGACCUGCUUGAUAAAGGGGUCCAACCAGCUGCGACAUUGCACUGGACAGAUCAGUCAAGGACUUGGUUCUUCGGGGCUGGAGGAACUUUUGACCUAGAAUCAGGGAAGUGUGUUUGGACGAACGAACAACUUGCAAUACCCAUUACCAAGCUUCAGGAGGCAAUCAAGGCAGCGCAAGAAGGGACGUUCAUUCCCGACAGAGAGAAGGACGAGCUGACAGAGGCUCUCGGGAAUCCUGAACACCCUGGACGAACACGAGGCACAUCAGGCUCCGUUCCGUGGGUGCAUGGGUUUCCCGACAUCGAUGGUUAUAGAAGCCGACAGAGAAAGAGAAAAGAGGAAGCAACCGAAAUGCAGAAGCUCAGUGCAAGAUUAGGGAAACUAGAGGAACUUGAGAGCGAGCGAGCUACCGACCAACCACCUCAGCGGCACGAAGAUCCUUCCUUGGACGCUACUGUUGGAAUUAUGCCCUAGAGGCAAUAAUAAAUGUAUAGUUAUUAUUAUAAUUCCUGUAUCAAGAUAAUAGUUUAUUAUCCAUGCUAUAAUUGUAUUGAAUGAAGACUCAUUUACAUGUGUGGAUACAUAGACAAAACACCGUCCCUAGCAUGCCUCUAGUUGGCUAGCCAGUUGAUCGAUGAUAGUCAGUGUCUUCUGAUUAUGAACAAGGUGUUGUUGCUUGAUAACUGGAUCACGUCAUUGGGAGAAUCACGUGAUGGACUAGACCCAAACUAAUAGACGUAGCAUGUUGAUCGUGUCAUUUUGUUGCUACUGUUUUCUGCGUGUCAAGUAUUUAUUCCUAUGACCAUGAGAUCAUAUAACUCACUGACACCGGAGGAAUGCUUUGUGUGUAUCAAACGUCGCAACGUAACUGGGUGACUAUAAAGAUGCUCUACAGGUAUCUCCGAAGGUGGUAGUUGAGUUAGUAUGGAUCAAGACUGGGAUUUGUCACUCCGUGUGACGGAGAGGUAUCUCGGGGCCCACUCGGUAAUACAACAUCACACACAAGCCUUGCAAGCAAUGUAACUUAGUGUAAGUUGCGGUAUCUUGUAUUACGGAACGAGUAAAGAGACUUGCCGGUAAACGAGAUUGAAAUAGGUAUGCGGAUACUGACGAUCGAAUCUCGGGCAAGUAACAUACCGAAGGACAAAGGGAAUGACAUACGGGAUUAUACGAAUCCUUGGCACUGAGGUUCAAACGAUAAGAUCUUCGUAGAAUGUGUAGGAUCCAAUAUGGGCAUCCAGGUCCCGCUAUUGGAUAUUGACCGAGGAGUCUCUCGGGUCAUGUCUACAUAGUUCUCGAACCCGCAGGGUCUGCACACUUAAGGUUCGACGUUGUUUUAUGCGUAUUUGAGUUAUAUGGUUGGUUACCGAAUGUUGUUCGGAGUCCCGGAUGAGAUCACGGACGUCACGAGGGUUUCCGGAAUGGUCCGGAAACGAAGAUUGAUAUAUAGGAUGACCUCAUUUGAUUACCGGAAGGUUUUCGGAGUUACCGGGAAUGUACCGGGAAUGACGAAUGGGUUCCGGGGGUUCACCGGAGGGGGGCAACCCACUCCGGGGAAGCCCAUAGGUAUUUGGGGGGGUCACACCAGCCCUUAGUGGGCUGGUGGGACAGCCCACCAAAUCCUAUGCGCCAAGGAAGAAAAAUCAAAGAAAGAAAAAAAAAGAAGGAAGAAGUGGGAAGGGGGAAGGACUCCCUCCCACCAAACCAAGUAGGACUCGGUUUGGGGGGGAGAGUCCUCCCCCCUGGCUCGGCCGACCCCUUGGGGUUCCCUUGGACCCCAAGGCAAGGUCCCCCUCCCUCCUCCUAUAUAUAUGGGGCUUUUAGGGCAGAUUUGAGACGACUUUCUCACGGCUGCCCGACCACAUACCUCCAUAGUUUUUCCUCUAGAUCGUGUUUCCGCGGAGCUCGGGCGGAGCCCUGCUGAGACAAGAUCAUCACCAACCUCCGGAGCGCCGUCACGCUGCCGGAGAACUCUUCUACCUCUCCGUCUCUCUUGCUGGAUCAAGAAGGCCGAGAUCAUCGUCGAGCUGUACGUGUGCUGAACGCGGAGGUGCCGUCCGUUCGGUACUAGAUCGUGGGACUGAUCGCGGGAUUGUUCGCGGGGCGGAUCGAGGGACGUGAGGACGUUCCACUACAUCAACCGCGAUCUCUAAUCGCUUCUGCUGUACGAUCUACAAGGGUACGUAGAUCACUCAUCCCCUCUCGUAGAUGGACAUCACCAUGAUAGGUCUUCGUGCGCGUAGGAAAAUUUUUGUUUCCCAUGCGACGUUCCCCAACAGUGGCAUCAUGAGCUAGGUUCAUGCGUAGAUGUCUUCUCGAGUAGAACACAAAAGGUUUUGUGGGCGGUGAUGUGCGUUUUGCUGCCCUCCUUAGUCUUUUCUUGAUUCCGCGGUAUUGUUGGAUUGAAGCGGCUUGGACCGACAUUACUCGUACGCUUACGAGAGGCUGGUUUCAUCGUUACGAGUAACCCCCUUUGCUCAAAGAUGACUGGCAAGUGACGGUUUCUCCAACUUUAGUUGAAUCGGAUUUGACCAAGGAGGUCCUUGGAUGAGGUUAAAUAGCAACUCAUAUAUCUUCGUUGUGGUGUUUGCGUAAGUAAGAUGCGAUCCUACUAGAUACCCUUGGUCACCACGUAAAACAUGCAACAACAAAAUUAGAGGACGUCUAACUUGUUUUUGCAGGGUAUGAUUGUGAUGUGAUAUGGCCAAUGAUGUGAUGUGAUAUAUUGGAUGUAUGAGAUGAUCAUGUUGUAAUAGAAAUAUCGACUUGCACGUCGAUGGUACGGCAACCGGCAGGAGCCAUAGGGUUGUCUUUAUACUAACAUAUGUGCUUGCAGAUGCGUUUACUAUUUUGCUAGGAUGUAGCUUUAGUAGUGAUAGCAUAAGUAGCACGACAACCCCGAUGGCGACACAUUGAUGGAGAUCAUGAUGAUGGAGAUCAUGGUGUGGCGCCGGUGACAAGAAGAUCGUGCCGGUGCUUUGGUGAUGGAGAUCAAGAAGCACGUGAUAAUGGCCAUAUCAUGUCACUUAUGAAUUGCAUGUGAUGUUAAUCCUUUUAUGCACCUUAUUUUGCUUAGAACGACGGGUAGCAUUAUGAGGUGAUCUCUCACUAAAAUUUCAAGACGAAAUUGUGUUCUCCCCGACUGUGCACCGUUGCUACAGUUCGUCGUUUCGAGACACCACGUGAUGAUCGGGUGUGAUAGACUCAACGUUCACAUACAACGGGUGCAAAACAGUUGCGCACGCGGAACACUCGGGUUAAGCUUGACGAGCCUAGCAUGUGCAGACAUGGCCUCGGAACACAUGAGACCGAAAGGUCGAUCAUGAAUCAUAUAGGUGAUAUGAUUAGCAUAGGGAUGCUUACCACUGAAACUACUCUCGACUCACGUGAUGAUCGGACUUGGGAUAGUGUAAGUGGAUCAUGAACCACUCAAAUGACUAGAGAGAUGUACUUUUUGAGUGGGAGUUUAGCAUAUAAUUUGAUUAAGUUGAACUCUAAUUAUCUUGAACAUAGUCUAAGUCCACUUUGAAUAUAUUUGUGUUGUAGAUCAUGGCUCACGCAAGUGUCAUCCUCAAUUUUAAUACGUUCCUAGAGAAAGCUAAGUUGAAAGAUGAUGGAAGCAACUUUGUAGACUGGGCUCGUAAUCUUAAGCUAAUCUUACAAGCUGGAAAGAAGGAUUAUGUCCUUAAUGCUGCGCUAGGAGAUGAACCACCCGCUACGGCUGAUCAGGAUGUUAAGAACGCUUGGCUAGCACGUAAGGAGGACUACUCAAUAGUUCAAUGUGCAGUCUUGUAUGGCUUAGAGCCGGGACUUCAACGUCGCUUUGAGCGUCAUGGAGCAUUUGAGAUGUUCCAGGAGUUGAAGUUUAUCUUUCAGAAGAACGCCCGGAUCGAGAGGUAUGAGACCUCCGAUAAAUUCUAUGCUUGCAAGAUGGAGGAAAACUCGUCUGUCAGUGAACAUGUGCUCAAGAUGUCUGGGUACUCAAACCGUCUAGCUGAACUAGGGAUUGAACUCCCGCAAGAAGCUAUCACUGACAGAAUCCUCCAAUCACUGCCGCCAAGCUAUAAAAGCUUCGUGUUGAACUACAACAUGCAAGGGAUGAACAAGUCUCCCGGCGAGUUGUUUGCGAUGCUGAAAGUCGCAGAGUCUGAACUCCGUAAAGAACAUCAAGUGUUGAUGGUGAGCAAGACUACUAGUUUCAAGAGAAACGGCAAAGGCAAGAAGGGCAAUUCGAAGAAGAGCGGCAAGCCUGUUGCCAAUCCGCCGAAGAAACCCAAGGCUGGACCUAAGCCUGAAACAGAGUGCUUCUAUUGCAAGGGUAUGGGUCACUGGAAGCGCAAUUGCCCCAAGUAUCUGGCAGAUAAGAAGGCGGGCAAAGAAAAAUCAGGUAUAUUUGAUAUACAUGUUAUUGAUGUGUACUUAACCAGCUCUCGUAGUAGUGCCUGGGUAUUCGAUACCGAUUCUGUUGCUCACAUUUGCAACUCGAAACAGGAACUGCGGAAUAGACAGAGGCUGGCGAAAGACGAAGUGACGAUGCGCGUAGGAAACGGUUCCAAGGUCGAUGCAAUCGCCGUCGGCACCGUGUCACUUCAACUGCCAUCGGGAUUAGUGAUGAACUUAAAUCAUUGUUAUUUAGUGCCUGCGUUGAGCAUGAACAUUAUAUCUGGAUCUUGUUUAUUGCCAGACGGUUACUCUUUUAAGUCUGAGAAUAAUGGUUGUUCUAUUUCUAUGAGUAACAUCUUUUAUGGUCAUGCACCGAAUGUGAGAGGAUUGUUCAUAUUGAAUCUCGAUAGCAAUACGCAUAUACAUAACAUUGAGACCAAAAGAGUUAGAGUAAACAAUGAUAGCGCCAUAUUUUUGUGGCACUGCCGCUUGGGUCAUAUUGGUGUAAAGCGCAUGAAGAAACUCCAUGCUGAUGGACUUUUGGAGUCACUUGACUUUGAUUCACUUGACACGUGCGAACCAUGCCUCAUGGGCAAGAUGACUAAAACUCCGUUCUCCGGAACAAUGGAGCGUGCAAGUGACUUAUUGGAAAUCAUACAUACCGAUGUGUGUGGUCCGAUGAGCGUAGAGGCACGCGGCGGAUAUCGUUAUUUUCUCACCUUCACUGACGAUUUGAGUAGAUAUGGUUAUGUCUACUUAAUGAAGCACAAGUCUGAAACACUUGAAAAGUUCAAGCAAUUUCAGAGUGAAGUAGAAAAUCAUCGUAGCAAGAAGAUCAAGUUCCUACGGUCUGAUCGUGGGGGUGAAUAUCUGAGUUUCGAGUUUGGUACUCACUUAAGACAAUGUGGAAUUAUUUCGCAGUUAACACCGCCUGGAACACCACAGCGUAAUGGUGUGUCCGAACGUCGUAAUCGUACUUUAUUAGAAAUGGUGCGAUCUAUGAUGUCUCUUACUGAUUUGCCGUUAUCGUUUUGGGGUUAUGCAUUAGAAACAGCUGCAUUCACUUUAAAUAGGGCACCAUCGAAAUCCUUUGAGACGACACCAUACGAACUGUUGUAUGGCAAAAGGCCAAAGUUGUCGUUUCUUAAAGUUUGGGGAUGUGAUGCUUAUGUCAAAAAGCUUCAGCCUGAAAAACUGGAACCCAAAGCGGAAAAGUGCGUCUUCAUAGGCUACCCAAAAGAGACAGUUGGGUACACCUUCUAUCCCAAAUCCGAGGGCAAAGUGUUUGUUGCUAAGAACGGAACUUUUCUCGAGAAGGAGUUUCUCUCGAGAGAAUUGAGUGGGAGGAAGAUAGAACUUGACGAGGUUGUCGAACCUCUCAUCCCUCUGGAUGGUGGCGCAGGGCAAGGGGAAACCUCUGUCAUUGCGACGCCGGUUGAGGAGGAAGUUAAUGAUGAUGAUCAUGAAACUCCAGUUCAAGUUUCUGUUGAACCACGCAGGUCGACGAGAUCACGCGCUGCUCUAGAGUGGUACGGUAAUCCCGUCUUAUCAAUCAUGUUGUUAGACAACAAUGAACCUGCAAAUUAUGAAGAAGCAAUGGUGGGCCCAGAUUCCAACAAAUGGCUAGAAGCCAUGAAAUCCGAGAUAGGAUCCAUGUAUGAGAACAAAGUGUGGACUUUGGAGAUACUACCUGAGGGCCGCAAGGCUAUUCAGAACAAAUGGAUCUUUAAGAAGAAGACGGACGCUGACGGUAAUGUAACCGUUUAUAAAGCUCGACUUGUGGCAAAGGGUUUUUCACAAGUUCCAGGAAUUGACUACGAUGAGACUUUCUCUCCCGUAGCGAUGCUUAAGUCCGUCAGAAUCAUGUUAGCAAUAGCUGCAUUUUUUGAUUAUGAAAUCUGGCAGAUGGAUGUCAAAACGGCGUUCCUUAACGGUUUCCUUAAGGAAGAGUUGUAUAUGAUGCAACCUGAAGGUUUUGUCGAUCCUAAAAAUGCUGACAAAGUGUGUAAGCUCCAGCGAUCCAUUUAUGGACUGGUGCAAGCAUCUCGGAGUUGGAACAAACGUUUUGAUGAGGUGAUCAAAGCAUUUGGGUUUAUACAAGUGGUUGGAGAAUCUUGUAUUUACAAGAAAGUGAGUGGGAGCUCUGUGGCGUUUCUAAUAUUAUAUGUGGAUGACAUAUUACUGAUUGGAAACAACGUAGAGCUUUUGGAGAGCAUAAAAGGUUACUUGAAUAGAAGUUUCUCUAUGAAGGACCUAGGAGAAGCUGCUUACAUUCUAGGCAUUAAGAUCUAUAGGGAUAGAUCAAAACGCCUGAUAGGACUUUCACAAAGCACAUACCUUGAUAAAGUUUUGAAGAGGUUCAAAAUGGAACAGUCCAAGAAAGGGUUCUUGCCAGUGUUACAAGGUACGAGAUUGAGUAAGACUCAGUGCCCAGCAACUGAUGAAGAUAGAGAGCAUAUGCGCUCCGUCCCCUAUGCUUCAGCCAUAGGCUCUAUCAUGUAUGCGAUGCUGUGCACUAGACCGGAUGUUAGCCUGGCCAUAAGUAUGGCAGGCAGGUUCCAGAGUAAUCCAGGAGUGGAUCACUGGACAGUGGUCAUGAAUAUCCUAAAGUACCUGAAAAGGACUAAGGAGAUGUUUCUCGUGUAUGGAGGUGACGAAGAGCUCGCCGUAAAAGGUUACGUCGAUGCAAGCUUUGACACAGAUCCGGACGACUCUAAGUCGCAAACCGGAUACGUAUUUAUUCUUAAUGGGGGUGCAGUAAGCUGGUGCAUUUCCAAGCAAAGCGUCGUAGCAGAUUCUACAUGUGAAGCGGAAUACAUGGCUGCCUCGGAGGCGGCUAAGGAGGGUGUCUGGAUGAAGCAGUUCAUGACGGAUCUUGGAGUGGUGCCAAGUGCACUGGAUCCAAUAACCUUGUUCUGUGACAACACUGGUGCCAUUGCCCUGGCAAAGGAACCAAGGUUUCACAAGAAGACCAGACACAUCAAACGACGCUUCAAACCUCAUCCGCGACUACGUUGAGGAGGAGGACGUAAAUAUAUGCAAAGUGCACACAGAUCUGAAUGUAGCAGACCCGCUGACUAAACCUCUUCCACGGCCAAAACAUGAUCGACACCAGAACUGUAUGGGUGUUAGAUUUAUUACAAUGUAAUUCACAUGGUGAUGUGAGGGCUAGAUUAUUGACUCUAGUGCAAGUGGGAGACUGUUGGAAUUAUGCCCUAGAGGCAAUAAUAAAUGUAUAGUUAUUAUUAUAAUUCCUGUAUCAAGAUAAUAGUUUAUUAUCCAUGCUAUAAUUGUAUUGAAUGAAGACUCAUUUACAUGUGUGGAUACAUAGACAAAACACCGUCCCUAGCAUGCCUCUAGUUGGCUAGCCAGUUGAUCGAUGAUAGUCAGUGUCUUCUGAUUAUGAACAAGGUGUUGUUGCUUGAUAACUGGAUCACGUCAUUGGGAGAAUCACGUGAUGGACUAGACCCAAACUAAUAGACGUAGCAUGUUGAUCGUGUCAUUUUGUUGCUACUGUUUUCUGCGUGUCAAGUAUUUAUUCCUAUGACCAUGAGAUCAUAUAACUCACUGACACCGGAGGAAUGCUUUGUGUGUAUCAAACGUCGCAACGUAACUGGGUGACUAUAAAGAUGCUCUACAGGUAUCUCCGAAGGUGGUAGUUGAGUUAGUAUGGAUCAAGACUGGGAUUUGUCACUCCGUGUGACGGAGAGGUAUCUCGGGGCCCACUCGGUAAUACAACAUCACACACAAGCCUUGCAAGCAAUGUAACUUAGUGUAAGUUGCGGGAUCUUGUAUUACGGAACGAGUAAAGAGACUUGCCGGUAAACGAGAUUGAAAUAGGUAUGCGGAUACUGACGAUCGAAUCUCGGGCAAGUAACAUACCGAAGGACAAAGGGAAUGACAUACGGGAUUAUACGAAUCCUUGGCACUGAGGUUCAAACGAGAAGAUCUUCGUAGAAUGUGUAGGAUCCAAUAUGGGCAUCCAGGUCCCGCUAUUGGAUAUUGACCGAGGAGUCUCUCGGGUCAUGUCUACAUAGUUCUCGAACCCGCAGGGUCUGCACACUUAAGGUUCGACGUUGUUUUAUGCGUAUUUGAGUUAUAUGGUUGGUUACCGAAUGUUGUUCGGAGUCCCGGAUGAGAUCACGGACGUCACGAGGGUUUCCGGAAUGGUCCGGAAACGAAGAUUGAUAUAUGGGAUGACCUCAUUUGAUUACCGGAAGGUUUUCGGAGUUACCGGGAAUGUACCGGGAAUGACGAAUGGGUUCCGGGGGUUCACCGGAGGGGGGCAACCCACUCCGGGGAAGCCCAUAGGUAUUUGGGGGGGUCACACCAGCCCUUAGUGGGCUGGUGGGACAGCCCACCAAAUCCUAUGCGCCAAGGAAGAAAAAUCAAAGAAAGAAAAAAAAAAGAAGGAAGAAGUGGGAAGGGGGAAGGACUCCCUCCCACCAAACCAAGUAGGACUCGGUUUGGGGGGGAGAGUCCUCCCCCCUGGCUCGGCCGACCCCUUGGGGUUCCCUUGGACCCCAAGGCAAGGUCCCCCUCCCUCCUCCUAUAUAUAUGGGGCUUUUAGGGCAGAUUUGAGACGACUUUCUCACGGCUGCCCGACCACAUACCUCCAUAGUUUUUCCUCUAGAUCGUGUUUCCGCGGAGCUCGGGCGGAGCCCUACUGAGACAAGAUCAUCACCAACCUCCGGAGCUCCGUCACGCUGCCGGAGAACUCUUCUACCUCUCCGUCUCUCUUGCUGGAUCAAGAAGGCCGAGAUCAUCGUCGAGCUGUACGUGUGCUGAACGCGGAGGUGCCGUCCGUUUGGUACUAGAUCGUGGGACUGAUCGCGGGAUUGUUCGCGGGGCGGAUCGAGGGACGUGAGGACGUUCCACUACAUCAACCGCGAUCUCUAAUCGCUUCUGUUGUACGAUCUACAAGGGUACGUAGAUCACUCAUCCCCUCUCGUAGAUGGACAUCACCAUGAUAGGUCUUCGUGCGCGUAGGAAAAAUUUUGUUUCCCAUGCGACGUUCCCCAACAGCUACCACAAAAGCUACCCCACCAUCUCAGUGGAGAAGUAGUGUGGCCUCCACGGAGCUCGUUCAGCCUGAUUUCCCUGGGUCCUCGCUACCCCGUGGAUAGUAUCACACAGGCUGAACAUUGUGUGCUAAUGGCGAAAUGCCAGAACCUGACCUUGAAGGUGGCGCUCGGCUCUAUUCUACCUCCUCGAGCUGAGGGAACUUUCCAUUGCUGUCCGAUUCCACAUGGCUAUGCUAUUGUGACGGUGAAUGAAAUAAUGAAGGGAUUUGAGGAGCUGGAGCUUGACUACCCUACAUGUGAAGGGCAGAUUCAUCUCGGUGAUGCUUUAAGGUCUACAUGUCUAUGAAGAAAGGAGUACAUCAAGCUUCCACACUGGACGCCUCCUCCUCUGCCUCCUCCGGCAAGUGAGCUCACUCCGCCUCCUCCGCCUCCUCCGGCAAGUGAGCCCACUCCUCCUCCGCCGCCUCCCCCGGCAAGUGAGCCCACUCCUCCUCCUCCGCCUCCUCCGGCAAGUGAGCCCACUUCGCCUCCUCCUCCGCCGCCUCCUCCGGUGCGUAAGAAACUGCGGAAGAGAGUCGUCGCCGCUCUAGCGGCUAGCAGUACAAUAGGCCGGAAAAGAUUCAAAUAUGGUCCAAGCCUCAAGGCUCUUCCAAAGUUACCAUAUGAGAACACUAUUGAGGAGGCAAAAAUUGUGGCUGCCUAUAAUAAGGAACAACUUGCACCGAAAUGUCCACCUCCAAAAGAGAAACUUGAUCGGGUAAAAGUGAAGCGUUGUGUGGAUGCCCUUCAGAAACCACCAACGGUACUGCUUCCGCUGCCAUCACACUAUGGGCGAACUACUGAAAGACAUAUGAGAAAGCGAAGCAGUCGAAAAGCUCAAGUAUCAGUGGUUCGAGAUGUAGGAAAACAAUUCCCCAGCUCGGAGAACAUUAGAAGCAAUCGUGGCCCCCGCUCAAGGUAUUUACCGAUGUUAUUAAUGUUGAUCCGGGUGUACUGGCUGCUAAUUACCUUGGUUUCACUGCUGCUGAUUUCGUAAGCGAAGAUGUACAGUAUGAAAUUGCCCCAAUAGUAGCCAUUAGAUACGAGCAUGGGAAACCUCUUAUCAAACCUGAGCAGUUGACAGAACUAUCAACAAUGAUGCAAAGACUACAUAAUUGGUACUUGAAUGCCUACAAAGAUGGGACCAACAAUAUUUACGUGGGAUUUAAAGAUGAGCACUUUUACAGUGGAACCGGGUCAUUGUACAUUGAAUUUGACGAAUUAAUUUAGUUAUACAAUCAAGUCGCCCUCGACGGAAUGACCGUCAGUUUCUAUUGUGUAUACGUAUUAUUUCUAUAAUUAAGUCUCUAGCUCAGCUCCUUCAUUCUUGCAUGUGUAAUUAUCCUUACUAUAUUAUGCAGAUUGAAGAUCCUCGAAUGCAAAAUAUGAAAAAUAUAUGACAUUAGAUUCAUUAACCCAGAUACCAUGAAUGCACAUAACGUAUGCACGAAUCCCAUUGAUACAAUGAACAACUUUCUAAAUGCGUUACUUCACAACAUGACAGAAGGGAAAUACUAUUUUCUUACAACUUCGGUGAGUGUCGUUGCUAGCUAGUUGUCUUCUGCACAUUCUGUUUCGCUUAAUCGAGGUUAUAAGUGUAACUGAUGAGUUCUGCGUGCGCAUGUUUCACUUUGUUCUACUAAUCAUUAGGGUUGACGAGGGAGUAGUACUUGUCUUGGACUCGCUACAUAAAGACCAUGCACACUUGGUGCCGAUUACUGAAAUGCUCCAGAAGUAAGUUCAAUCAUUAUCGCACCAUAUCGACAACUUUCUUUCAUUUCCUGAUAUCAAGUAAUCGUUUUCUUUGCCGUGCAGGGCUUGGACAAAGUUCAGCAAGAAAGCUAAAGAUGAAUGCUAUAAGGAGCUGCAAUUUUCCUUCUUCAAAAUAAGUAGUACUAGCUAGUUCCUCGCAUUUGUCAUUCAUUCUAGUUUCAAUACCAUUAUCAUGCUCGAUUAUUAUAUUGACUGAACUCUAUUCUCGUAAAGUACUGCUUGAGGUAGGAAUCCGGGAAUAAUUUAUGUGGAUUCUUCGAUUGCGAGUGGAUUCACCAGACCACAUGUGAGAAGGGCAGGUGUUUUAAAGAACUUGAAGUACGUAAACAAUAUUCACAUUUUUAUUUUAUUACCAUCAACUGUGUUGAGUUUCAUUCAUAUAUAUACUUAUUGACCCCCUUCUUUAUAUUAGAUCGCGCGGAACCGGGACGCACUACUACAAACUGAUCACAUACGAGCAAUUAAAUAGGAGUUGGCGGGAUUCUUUGUUGAGCAUGUCAUACCACCAGACGGGGAAUAUCAUCAGGAUUUCCAUACCAAUUUUGGUGGAUAGAUAUUAGCUAGUUAGGGAUCGCAAGAGUUGUUAUAUAUUGUAUAUAUGCAUGAUCGUGUACUAUAUGUAGUAGCGUCGAGUUCUUUGACCAAGCACGGAGAAAGAUAGUUCACUUAUCUCUAUAUAUGUUCAUGACGAUGUUGUGUAAUUAAUGGUUCCUUCAUUUUCUUACUAGCUACCGUCGAGUUCUCUCUAUAUGUAUAGUAGCUACCGUUGACCAAGCACGAAGAAAGAGAGGUCACUUCUAUCUAUAUGUUGUAGCUCGCUAACACAAUAUGAAACCCCUAAUAAAACCCUCCAAAACCCCUACCCCCCCCCUUCAAAAAACAAAAACCCCAGGGCAUGCGAGCUGCUCACGUGUGGCUGCCUUUUGGUCCCGGUUGGUGUUACAAACCAGGACUAAAGGUGUUCCUGCCUGGGUGCCCCACGACGGGCACACAGAGCUCAUUUAGUCCCGGUUCGUAAACCAACCGGGACUAAAAGUAAUGGGCAUUAAUCCCGAUAAAGCCCAUUUGGAACCGGGACUAAAGCCCCUUUUUAUACUAGUGCACUAGGGGUUGGUGCGCCACCUCUAGGCCUAUCAGGUCCUCUGAUACGUCUCCAUCGUAUCUACUUUUCCAAACUCUUUUUCCCUCAUUUUGGACUCUAAUUUGCAUGAUUUGAAUGGAACUAACCUAGACUGACGCUGUUUUCAGCAUAAUUGCCAUGGUGUUGUUUUUGUGCAGAAAUGAAAGUUUUCGAAACGUCCUGAAAAUUUACGGAGAAUAUUUCUGGAAAAUAUAAAAAAUACCUGCGCAAAGAUCCACCGGAGGGGAUGGGCCAGUGGGCCACAAGCCCUGUCACCGCGGUCCCCCCUGGCCGCGGCAACCAAGCUUGUGGGGCCCACGUGGCUCUGCCGCUCCAAACUCAGCUCUAUUUAUUCCCUUUCGUCCCGAAAAAAAUCAAGAGAGAAGAUUUCAUCGCGUUUGCGAUACGGAGGCGCCGCCACAUCCUGUUCUUCAUCUCAAGGGCAGAUCUGGAGUCCGUUUUGGGCUCCAGAGAGGGGAAAUCGUCGCCAUCGUCAUCACCAACCUUCUUCCCUCUCCAAUUCCAUGAAGCUCUUCAUCGUUCGUGAGUAAUCUAUUCGUAGGCUCGCUGGGCGGUGAUGAGUAGGAUGAGAUCUAUCAUGUACUCGAGUUAGUUUUGACAGGGAUUGAUCCCUAGUAUCCACUAUGUUCUGAGAUUGAUGUUGCUACUACUUUGCCAUGCUUAAUGCUUGUCACUAGGGCCCGAGUGCCAUGAUUUCAGAUCUGAAAUUAUUAUGUUGUCACCAAUAUAUGUGUGUUUUAGAUCCGAUCUUGCAAGUUGUAGUUACCUACUAUGUGUUAUGACCCGGCAACCCCGAAGUGACAAUAACCGGAACCACUCCCGAUGAUGACCAUAGUUUGAGGAGUUCAUGUGUUCACCAAGUGCUAAUGCGUUGUUCCGGUUCUUUAUUAAAAGGAGAACCUUAAUAUCCCGUAGUAUCCAUUUGGACCCUGCUGCCACGGGAGGGAUGGACAAUAUAUGUCAUGCAGGUUCUUUUCCCUAAGCACGUAUGACUACACACGGAAUGCAUGCCUACAUCACAUUGACGAACGGGAGCUAGCCACAUAUCUCUCCGUGUAAUAACUGUUGCAUGAUGAAUGCCAUCCAACGAAUCACCGAUCCAUUGCCUACGAGUUUGUCCCACUGUUGUUGUUACUUGUUUUUCUCUGCUGCUGUCACUAUGUUGCCGCUACUGUUACUUGCUACUGCUGUUACUCGCUACUAUUGCUACUUGCUACUGCUGUCACUACUGAUGUUCCUUGCCAUUGUUGUUACUCGUUACACUGCUGCUACCUGCUACAAUACUUCUUCUCGCACCGUUGCCGGGAAAGAAUAUUUCCCGUCCACGGGCAACUUCUGGCGCCAUUGAUACGAUAGUUAGGAAUAGUCUACCUUGUCAACAGAUCGUUUCUGACACCAUUGCUAUCAUACUACUUUGCUGCUGAUACUUUGCUUGCAUACACUAAUCUUUCAGGUGUAGUUGAAUCUGACACAUUCAGCUGCUAAUACUUGAGAACAUUCUUUCACUUCCCGUCGCGCGAACCAACAAAUUUGGGUUGAAUACUCUACCCUCGAAAAUUGUCGCGAUCCCACGCGCUGGUGUGCUAUUGCAAGACAAUUUCUAAUUGUUGAGCAACUGGAAGCAGCUCUUUUCUGGCUCCGUUGCCGUGGAGGCAUCAAGUCAGGAAUAGUUGCACGUGAGCAGCAUUUUUCUGGCGCCGUUGCCGGGGAAGGAUAACUAUAUUCUCUGAGUUACUUGGGAUUUCUAACUGCUGAUCACUAUGAAGAAUCUGAAAGAUCCAAGAACCAAAGUCUUGCCCUCAACUACGAGGGGAGGUAAGGAACUGCCAUCUAGCUCUACACUUGAUUCACCUUCAGUUAUGAGUAAGUUUGCGACAUCACCUCCUGCUAGAAAUCUUGAUAUGUCGCCUGUGCUUGAUGAUGCUUAUGAUGCUACUAUGCCUGAUAAUGCUAGAGAUGUUAUGCCUGAUACUGCUAGAGAUGCUAUGCGUGAUACUGCUAGAGAUGCUAUGCCUGAUACUGCUUUGCCUGAUGAUGCUAGAGAUGCUAUUUUGCCUGAUGAUGCUAUGCUUGAUACUGCUAGAGAUACUACUUUGCCUGAUAUGCCACUAGGGGUAUUCCUUGAUGCUCAUAUUGCUAGAGUUACUGCCAAUGCUCGUGAUGCUUCUGAAACUGUCGAUACUAUUGAGAUAGAACCUGCUUUUGCUCCAGCUAGAUCUAGCUCUCCUAGAUAUGAAUUGCCUGAUAUACCUGAGGGUUAUGUUAUGGAGGGAGAGAUAGCUGAGGAUUUUCUUGCAUGUAAGGAUGCCUAUGACGCUGAUAAAUUACUUCUCAAGUGGAAGGAAAAAUAUCUGAAAGCUAGGAUGAAAUACGACCCGAAGUUUGCCACUUCACCUAUCUUUAUCACCGAUGAGGAUUAUGAGUUCUCUGUCGACCCUGAGAUAAUCUCUCUAGUCGAAUCUGAUCCUUUCCAUGGUUAUGAGUCUGAGACGGUCGUAGCCCAUCUUACCAAACUACACGAUAUAGCCACCCUUUUCACUAGUGAGGAGAAGAUCCGCUACUACUAUAUCCUUAAGCUGUUUCCUUUCUCUCUAAAGGAUGACGCUAAAGCCUGGUUCAUUUCUCUUGCUCCUGGAUGUGUGAGUAGUCCCCAAGAUAUGGUAUAUUACUUCUGUGAGAAAUAUUUCCUUGCCCAUAAGAAGCAAGCUGCCUUGCAGGAAAUAUACAACUUUGCUCAACUCAAAGAAAAGAGUCUCCCACAAGCUUGGGGGAUGCUCAUCCAGCUACAGAAUGCUUUGCCUGAUCACCCUCUUAAGAAGAACGAGAUACUUGAUAUCUUCUAUAAGGGACUUACCGAUGCUUCUAGAGACCACCUAGAUAGUUCUGCCGGUUGUGUUUUUAAGGAACGAACUAUAGAACAAGCUGAGACUCUACUGAAUAACAUCUUGAUCAACGAUAACGCUUGGACUAUUCCCGAACCACCUCCUAAGCCAACUCCUAAGAAAAUAGGUAUUCUAUUCCUCAGUCCCGAAGAUAUGCAAGAAGCCAAGAAAUCUAUGCAAGAGGAAGACAUUAGAUCUGAAGAUGUCAAAAAUCUACCGCCUAUCGAAGAGACCCAUGGUCUCGAUAACCCGAUACAAGUAGUAGAAGUGAAUUCUCUGCGUAGGUUUGAUGAGAGUGAUAUUCCUUUUGACAAACCUGCUAGCCUAUGCUUUGAUGAAUUUGACAACUUUGUUGCCAAACAACAGAGUUUCAAUGAUUAUGUUUGCAGACAUUUGGAACAAAGUACUCGUAUGCUUAGUCAUUUAAGUGCUUGUGUAGACAGAAAUGUCAAUGAUCUGAAGCUUCCUAGUAAACAUGCCUCCAUGAUUACUACCCAGGUAGAACAAGUACUUAAAUCUCAAAAUGACUUUCUCAAUGAAUUAAAUGACAACUCUGUCAAAGUCAUCACUAGAGGAGGCAAAAUGACUCAGGAACCUUUGUAUCCUGAAGGCCAUCCUAAGAGAAUUGAUCAAGAUUCUCAAGGAAUUAAUGCUGAUACACCGAGUCAUCCUAAGAAGAACGAUGAUAGAAACCUACAUGUCAGUUCACCAAAUACUGUCACACCUGAAGAACCAAAUGAUAUUUCUGCGUCUGAUGCAGAAACACAAUCUGGUGAUGAACAUGAACCUGGUGACAAUAUGGACAACGAUGUUCAUAAUAAUGCUCAACCUAGCAAUGAUAAGGAUGUGGAGAUUGAACCUACGGUUAAUCCUGAUAACCCACAACCUAAGAGAUACGAUAAGAAUGACUUCACUGCUAGGAAGCAUGGUAAAGAAAGGGAGCCAUGGGUUCAGAGACCUAUGCCCUUUCCUCCUAAGCCAUCCAAGAAAAAGGAUGAUGAGGAUUUUGAGCACUUUAUUGAGAUGAUAAGACCCGUCUUUCUACAGAUGCGGUUAACUGAUAUGCUCAAAAUGUCUCCAUAUGCCAAGUACAUGAAAGAUAUCGUGACUAAUAAACGGAAGAUACCAGAUCUUGAGAUCUCCACCAUGCUCGCCAAUUAAACUUUCAAAGGUGGAACUCCUAAGAAACUUGGUGAUCCCGGAGUGCCCACUAUACCUUGCUCCAUUAAAGGAAACUACAUAAGAACUGCCUUAUGUGACCUUGGAGCCGGUGUUAGUGUUAUGCCUCUCUCUCUUUAUCGUAGACUUGAACUGGAUAAGUUGACACCCACUGAAAUUUCUCUGCAAAUGGCCGACAAAUCAACUGCUUUCCCUGUCGGCAUUUGCGAGGAUGUGCCUGUUGUGGUUGCUAACACCACUAUCUUAACAGACUUUGUUAUCUUGGAUAUUCCCGAGGACGAUGCCAUGGUUGUCAUCCUCGGAAGACCCUUUUUAAACACUGGAGGGGCUGUUAUAGAUUGCAACAAAGGCAGUGUCACUUUCCAUGUCAACGGUAAUGAGCAUACAGUGCACUUUCCGAAGAAACGAUAUCAAGUACAUUGCAUCAAUGCUAUCGAAAAAACUUCAUCGAUUCUUAUUGGAAGCUUUGAAUGCCCUAUUCCUCGUGUUAAGAUGAAGUAUGAUUUUCUUGUUGGGGAGAUUCAUAUCCCCAUUGAGGUGACCUAGUGACUAUUCGAAAAUUCUCCGUUUCCUUUUGCGAUUCGGAAAAGUUUUGUCAUGAGGAUUUGAUCAACCCCAUUGACGGAUUUCUUUCGAUGACCAUGAAAUGGAUGAAUCAAGGAGUCACAUACCUUUGUUUAAGCUUUCACUUUCUGUUGCUUAGAAGAAAAAUGAUGGAUUUAGUUUAGUUUUCCCUGUUUCCUGUUUUAGCGUCCAGUGGAAAAAUACCCCAAAAAUAAAAGUUCUCCGAAUGCUGUGAAAAUCUAGUAUGAUUUUUUCUAGAAUAUUUGAAAAAUACUGGGACUGAGAGCUGGCCUGGGGGCCACACCAGUGGGCCACAAGCCCUGUCACCGCGGCCUCCCCCCCUGGCCGUGGGGACCAAGCUUGUGGGGCCCACAGGGAUCCCCUCCACUCAUUCAAGCUCCCAUCCUCUUCUUCUACCUCCAAAAAAUAACGUUUCGCAGCUCAAACCCGUGUUCUUGCUCAUUUGACUGUGAUUUUUGAUCUCCUUGCUCAAAGCACCAUUCUCUGAACCGUUUUGGCGAAAUUACUCCUUGGUAAGUGACUCCUCCAUUGGUCCAAUUAAUUUUUGCUCUAGUGCUUUAUCCUUCGUGUAUUCUUGCUACCUUGGUGAUCCUGUUCUUGAGCUUGAAAUGUUGAUUUUAGCUGGUCCCAAGUAGUUUUAAUGCGUGAUACGGUCUCUAAACACUAGUAGGAGUAGUUGCUACAAGGUGUGGUUGGUCUUUAUUCUCUUUUCUCUUGAACUUCAAAAAUUUCAGCAAAAAGAAAUUAUGUUCAGGAGGAAGUUUCAUGGUGGUUCCUCAAGUAAGAAGGGUCCCCGUCUUUCUAUUCGGGAGCCUGAUACGUCCAUUUUGCAUCAUGCUUUCAUGUUGAUAUUUAUUGCUUUUUGGGCUGUUAUAUUAUUUGUGGUACCAUAUUUAUGCCUUUUCUCUCUUAUUUUGCAAGGUUUAUUUAAAGAGGGAGAAUUCAGGCAGCUGGAAUUCUGGACUGGAAAAGGAGCAAAUCCUAGUUCACUAUUCUGCACAUCUCCAAAUGCCCUGAAAAGUUACGUGGAUUUUUUUGGGAUUAUAUAAAAAAUACUGGGCGAAAGAACUACUGGAGGGGGGCUGCCAAGGCGCCACAAGCCGUGACACCGCCUCCCCUGGUGGCGGAGUGGGGGCUUGUGGGCUCCCUGACGGCCCACUAGCCCCCCUCUUUUGCUAUAUGAAGCGUCAUGGUCCAAAAAAAAUCAGAAGGGAGCUUUUUCGUGGUUUUGCCGCCGCCCCGAGGCGAAACUUGAGUAGAUCCAAUCUAGAGCUCCGGCAGGACGAUCCUGCCGAGGAAACUUCCCUCCCAAAGGGGGAAAUCGUCGCCAUUGUCAUCACCAACACUCCUCUCGUCGGAGGGGAGGCAUCUUCAUCAGCACCACCUCCUCUCCAAUCCCUAGUUCAUCUCUUGUAAUCAAUCUCCGUCUCACGACUCCGAUUGGUACUUGUAAGGUUGCUAGUAGUGUUGAUUACUCUUUGUAGUUGAUGCUAGUUGGAUUAUUUGGUGGAAGAGUUUAUGUUCAGAUCCUUGAUGCUAUUCAUUACACCUCUGAUCAUGAUUAUGAUUAUGUUUUGUGAGUAGUUACUUUUGUUCCUGAGGACAUGGGAUAAGUCAUGUUAAUAAUAGUCAUGUGAAUUUGAUAUUCGUUCGGUAUUUUGAUAUGUUGUAUGUUGUCUUUUCCUCUAGUGGUGUUAUGUGAACAUCGACUACAUAACACUUCACCAUAUUUGGGCCUAGAGGAAGGCAUUGGGAAGUAGUAAGUAGAUGAUGGGUUGUUGGAGUGACAGAAGCUUAAACCCCACUCUAUGUGUUGCUUCAUGAGGGGCUGAUUUGGACCCACUAGUUUAAUGCUAUGGUUAGACUUUGUCUUAAUUCUUCUUUUGUAGUUGUGGAUGCUCGCGAGAGAGGUUAAUCAUAAGUGGGAUGCUUGUCCAAGUAAGGGCAGUACCCAAGCGCCGGUCCACCCACAUAUCAAACUAUCAAAGUAACGAACGCAGAUCAUAUGAACAUGAUGAAACUAGCAUGACACAUAUUCCCGUGUGUCCUCGGGAGUGUUUUUUCCUCCUAUAAGACUUUGUUCAGGCUUGUCCCUUGCUACAAAAGGGAUUGGGCCACUUGUUGCACCGUUGCUACUACUUGUUACUUUUUGCUUGCUACGUUUCACCUCGCUACACAAUCACUUGUUACCGCUACUUCCAGUGCUUGCAGUUAUUACCUUGCUGAAAUCCGUUUAUCAGAGCCUUCUGCUCCUCGUUGGGUUCGACACUCUUACUUAUCGAAAGGACUACGAUUGAUCCCCUAUACUUGUGGGUCAUCAGAGCCCGAUCCUUAUCAACUAAGGGACGCACCGGUACAACCAUGUGAAUGGCCUUUCGAUGAGUUCAUGAUCGAAGCGGGCUUCAAGGAUGAGUUUGAUACACUUGUCCGCAAUGCCGGGUUAGAAGAAUUCCUCUCAGAUAAAUGUGAACAUUAUGCUUUGCUCACUGCCUCUUUCGUGCGUAGAUUUAAAUUUUUAGUUGGCCGUGACUCAUCCAUACUGUUUGAUCUGUAUGAUAAAUCCUACGCCGUGGAUUUGGAGGAUUUCAAUAGGAUUUGCAAAAUACCCGAUGAGGGUAAUCUUAAAGAUCCUGCUAAGUCUUCAGUUAGAGAUUUUGUCUCUAGUAUAACUGUUGGAGAAACUAGAGACAUCACGCAAGCUACCAUAGGAAGCAUUCAUUUCCCUGCCUUGCACUACUUUGCCCUCUUCAUAGGUAGAUGCAUUAACGGCAAGGUUGAACAUUGUCACCUAUGGGCAUCCGACCUUAGUAUCCUUAAGACCGUAGUGACGGGCGAAAAAAUCUUCCACAUGGGAGCUAUUAUAGCAAGGAGGCUGAAUAAGAAUGCUAUUGAUGGGGAUUUCUUUGGCGGCAUCUAUGCCACUCGCAUAGCAAAUUUUCUUGGAGUACCCAUCCGCGCAGGAGAUCCCCCGCUCCAUACAGCUUUCCUUGACCGCGUCGCUAUGACACGCUACCAGUUCCUUGAGAGGGAUGAUGAAUCCCUCCUAUACCGAUUCAUAUUUAACCAGCAGCGUGUUUUCCAUAUUACCCUUUCUGCUCCUGCUUUCUUUGACUUUCAGGUAAAACGGAGAUACUACACAACCAUAGGAGAGGCAGCGGAGUAUGAGAGGGAGGCGACGGUUGCUCGUCUCCGUGAGGCAGCUAUUCAGGCAGUGGCUGCGGCGCUCCCGUAUAACCUCAAUUAUGAUUUUGGGUUUCGCCAGGACCGUCCUUGGGAGUAGACCAAGCUAGGCCAAAAGCCUAAGCUUGGGGGAGUACGUGUUCUCACCGAAUCUACAUUCAUGCUCAUGCUUUCACUUUGUUAGCCGGUGUUUACACUUUUCCACUGUAUUAUCCAUGCUAGUUUAUUUUCGUUUUCUUGUUUUCUUGUUUUGUGUCCUUUUGAGAAAACCCAAAAAGAUUUUCCAUUCUUCUUUUGCUUGUUGGGAGUUUUCCCGUGUAAAUAGUUUUCUUUUUCUUUGGGUCAAGGUAGAAGAUAUUGGUUACAAUGUUUAGUGGCUCUCGCAUUCAUACCUGUUUAGCUUUCAAAGAGCCAUAUUACUUUGUCUUCUCCUUUGUGUUUGCCUGCAGAUUUCAGCUUAGUCCAAUGCACGAGCACUCUUAUUAUUGUUCACAUCGUUCGAUCGUGCAAGUGAAAGGCAAUAAUGAUGAUAUAUGAUGAAGUGACUGAGACUGGAAAAGCUGGUAUGAACUCUAUCUAUUUUGUUUUUGUAAAAAUGACUAGCUUGUCGUCCCAGAUUCAGCUUUGUUGUGAGAGAACCAUGUUUGCAAUGACAACUUAGAGAUCAUAGUUUCUGAUGCCAUGCUUAAUUAGCUAGGAGCUUAUAAUGGUUUGUCUUGAAUGUCAACAUAGAUUUUGAGAUGACUAUGAUGUAGUAUGAUAGGACGGUAUUCUCCUUUGAAUGAUUCGAGUGGCUUGACUUGGCGCAUGUUCAUGCAUGUAGUUGAAACAAAAUCAACAUAGCCUCUAUGAUGUUCGUGUUCAUGGUGAUUUAUAUCCUGUUCAUGCUUGCACUCCAUGUUAGUCAAACUCAUUGCAUCUUGAUGACUGUUGUCGCUCUCUAGUUGGUCGCUUCCCAGUCUUUUGCUAGCCUUCACUUGUACUAAGCGGAACAAUGCUUGUGCAUCCACUUCCAUAAACCCAAAAGUUUUUCCAUGAGAGUCCACCAUACCUACUUAUUUGCGGUAUCUACCUACCGUUCCAAGUAUAUUUGCAUGUGUCAUUCUCUAAACCUUCAAGAAAUAAUCUGUUUUGCAUGCCCGAAUCGCUCAUGUGGUGACACGGGGCUAUUGGUAUCUUCCAUGCUAGGCGUGUUAUCCUCGAUAUGUGUUUAUUCACUAUCAUUCACGAGAAAGGGGCCGGUAAUUGGAAUUCCCAGUUCCAUGCUCAAAUCGAAAAGAUAAUUGCAAACAAAACUCCCCCAUGAUUGAUGUUGGUAUGGACGGUACCUGAGGAUUCGGCUAGCCGUGGAGUGUGAUUGAUUGGUGGUGGGGGAGUCAAAACUUUACUUUUCUGUUUGGGAACCGCCCUAUAGCAUGAGUAGCGUGGAAGAUGUUGAGAACUCUUAGUCAUUGCGUUGACAAUGAAAGCAUGCCACCCAAAAUUAUUAUCUCUGUUUUUAAAGCUUGAGCUCUGGCACCUCUGCAAAUCAAUGCUUCCCUCUGCGAAGGGUUUGUCUAUUUAUUUUCCUGUUGAGUCAUCCUCUUCUUAUAUAAGCACCAAUUAGAGAGCACCUCUGUCAUUUUUAUGCUUUGCUUUUGAUUGAUAUUGAGUAUGACUAUGACUGGAUCUUCAUUGCUAUGAAUUACAAUGUUUAGUCAGCCCUUGAUCUUUGAAAGUGCUCUGCAUUUAUGUUUUGCGGUCUCAGAAAGAGCUAGCGAGAUACCACCUAUUCAUAUUGCUUCAUGCUUGUUUUGAUUGAAUUGUUGGUAUCUGAAACUCAUUAUUAUUUGCUCGCUGGUUGAUUAUGCCAUUGAUAUUAGUUUACCGUGACACCUAUGUGUCACUUGCUCAUGUGGUUAACUUGUGAUCUUGCUGAAAUUCUGGUUAUGAGUUAGACAUAGUUGCAGCAACAAGAUCAAACAGAGUUUGUCAAAGUUUUUCUUUCUCUUUCAGUUUGUCAACUGAGUUGCUUGAGGACAAGCAAGGUUUUAAGCUUGGGGGAGUUUGAUACGUCUCCAUCGUAUCUACUUUUCCAAACUCUUUUGCCCUUGUUUUGGACUCUAAUUUGCAUGAUUUGAAUGGAACUAACCCGGACUGACGCUGUUUUCAGCAGAAUUGCCAUGGUGUUGUUUUUGUGCACAAAUGAAAGUUCUCGGAACGUCCUAAAAAUUUACGGAGAAUAUUUCUGGAAAAUAUGAAAAAUACCUGCGCAAAGAUCCAUCGGAGGGGACGGGCCAGUGGGCCACAAUCCCUGUCGCCGCAGCUCCCCUGGCCGCGACAACCAAGCUUGUGGGGCCCACGUGGCUCUGCCGCCCCCAAACUCAGCUCUAUUUAUUCCCUUUCGUCCCGAAAAAAAUCAAGAUAGAAGAUUUCAUCGCGUUUGCGAUACGGAGGCGCCGCCACAUCAUGUUCUUCAUCUGGAGGGCAGAUCUGGAGUCCGUUUUGGGCUCCAGAGAGGGGAAAUCGUCGCCAUCGUCAUCAUCAACCUUCUUCCCUCUCCAAUUCCAUGAAGCUCUUCAUCGUUCGUGAGUAAUCUAUUCGUAGGCUCACUGGGCGGUGAUGAGUAGGAUAAGAUCUAUCAUGUAAUCGAGUUAGCUUUGACGGGGAUUGAUCCCUAGUAUCCACUAUGUUCUGAGAUUGAUGUUGCUACUACUUUGCCAUGCUUAAUGCUUGUCACUAGGGUCCGAGUGUCAUGAUUUCAGAUCUGAAAUUAUUAUGUUGUCACCAAUAUAUGUGUGUUUUAGAUCUGAUCUUGCAAGUUGUAGUUACCUACUAUGUGUUAUGACCCGGCAACCCUGGAGUGACAAUAACCGGAACCACUCCCGGUGAUGACCAUAGUUUGAGGAGUUCAUGUGUUCACCAAGUGCUAAUGUGUUGUUCCGGUUCUUUAUUAAAAGGAGAACCUUAAUAUCCCGUAGUAUCCAUUUGGACCAGGCUGCCACGGGAGGGAUGGACAAUAGAUGUCAUGCAGGUUCUUUUCCCUAAGCAUGUAUCACUACACACGGAAUGCAUGCCUACAUCACAUUGACGAACGGGAGCUAGCCACAUAUCUCUCUGUGUUAUAACUGUUGCAUGAUGAAUGUCAUCCAACGAAUCACCGAUCCAUUGCCUAAGAGUUUGUCCCACUGCUGUUGUUACUUGUUUUGCUGUGCUGUUCUCACUACUGUUGCCGCUACUGUUACUUGCUACUGCUGUUACUGUUAGAGCAUAUAUCUCCAUAUGUGGUUUUCGUAAUUGAUGACAAUUCCUAUGGACUAGUGGUUGCCUUAAGUUAUAUUUAUAGGAUUUGUCCAUAGGCACUUCUUGAAGUACAUCUGUUGGGUUCAAGGAGUUUAUAUGAUGACCAAGAUGGUAUUCAAGGUAUUAUCCAAAGAAUGGUCAUAGAGACACAAGGUUGAUCAAGAUCUCAAACAAAGAGUAAAUCAAGAUGAUCAACACACAAAGUGUAUAAGAUGUACCGAGAGGGAUCAAGUGAUCCCAUGGUAUGGUAAGCAUUGCCCAUUACGUGUUUGUGUACUAACCCAUGGUCUUCGUGAGAGUUCUAUGUGGGGGUUAGGUGUGCUUCCAUGGGCUUGCGUCAAAAGGAAGAUAUCAUACAACCCAUGAAGGAUGACGUCAAGUGGUGAUCGUCAUCAAGAUUGUGGUGUGCAAGUGGAUCAGCAUGAAUAUAUCAUUGAAACUCAUGUGCUAACAAGGACAAGAUCAAGAUAAGCAUUCCUGAGUACUACAUGCUUGAAUCUUGUGGAUGCUCACAUGGUGGACAGAUGAAGAUGAAUAUACAAGCUAGGCUUUCCACAUUGUGUAUGGGAGAGCUUCUUGAAGACUUCAUCAUGUCUUGCUUUCAACUUGAGUCAAGAAGGAACAACAACACCAAGCUCAAGUGAAAGGCUAACUCAAAGGUAUCAGUUCCUUUGACGUUAGGGGUGCGGAGUGAUGAUCAGCGAAUAAAAGUAUACAUGCAAGUAUAGAUCAUCGGUACCCCUUCUUUUUAUGAUUCUUGAGUCUUUAGGGAUCCCGCACUAUUAAGAGGGGAUCACAGGUUUUGCGAUGAACUUGCUCAAACUACAUCUCUACUUUUCUGCUCAUACCACAUCUCCACUGCUCUGCUUUGAUCUCAAAACAAAACCAAUGCCUCAGACAUCCGGCUUCCUCCAGACGUCCGAGGGCCGGACGCCCGACUACUUCAGAAAUUCGGAACUUUAUACGAGAGCCAAAGUCUCGGACAUCCGGCUCCCUCCGGACGUCUGAGGGCCUGACGCCCGACCACUUCGGAAAACCGGAACCUUGCACCAGAGAAAUCCAGAGUCAAAUAACUCGGACUUCCGGCCUCCCCCUGUCGUCCGAGGGCCGGAUGUCCGACCACUUUCGGAAAUCCGGUGCCCUUGAACAGAGCUGAACUCUCGGACAUCCGACCUUCUCUUCGGACGUCCGGUCCCUGUUUGUCUAUACAGUGAUUCCUGAUAUCUAUACGGUGGUUCGUGAUAUAUAUACAUCCCUCGGACGACCGACCCCUGUCGGACGUCUGACCCCUUGUGGGCGUCCGGAGAUCUGAGAACUGCCGGACGUCCGACCACUGUCAGACUUAAGUGACCCCAACGGUCACUUUCCCCUCUCCACUAUAAAUACCCCCUCCCACUUCGUGAGAGGGGGCCCAACACAGCCAUAUCUUCAUAAGAACAGAUUUCUACCUCACACACAUUUGCUCACACCAAAUCUUAGAUCCCAAGAGCAUUUGUGAGCCCCUUUGAGAGUUGUUCCAAUCAAAAGAUAGAUCGUCUCCCUCUCCUCCUCUCAACCCAAGCUAUUUGAGAUUUGAGCAAGUUUUGAGCAUUCCCUGUGAUCUUGUUACUCUUGGAGGUUGGAGUCUCCUAGGCGGUAGGAGUUCUUCGGAGAGGAAUCAAUCCGUGUGAUUACCCCCGGAAAAGUUUGUGAGGGUUUGGAAGCCACCUCAAAGGCUUACCACUAGUGGUUGAGAAACGCCUUCGUGGUGUUAUCUCAAAUGGAGAAUAGGGCGAGCCUUUGUGGCGUUGGUGUGCCUUCGUGGUAACAUCCACCUCUCUAACGGUGACUAGCUUCCCUCCAAGGAAGUGAACAUCGGGAUACAUCUUUGUCUCAGUGACCUUGGUUAUCCCUAACCCUAACUCCUUACUUGUGGUUUACUUGUGUUACUUGAGCAUACAUACAUUGCAUAUUGUUUGUGCCCAUUAUAUUGUGUUGGCUAUUUCUUUGUACAAGAUUAAUGGUUCAAGCAUACCCUCUAUAUCCACACGUUCACACUUGCAGCUUUUGAUAUAUCGUGUGCUAUAGUGUGAUCUAGUAUCUUGUGUCGUUCACCUACUCGUCGUGUGAUAUAGCUCAAGUAAGUUUGUGUAACUUACUUGUGCUUGUUAGUAACCGUGUUGCGUCCAUCUUGGUAGAUCGUGUUGCUGAUGCACGUUGCAGUGCCUAUUGCAUUUAGGAUUUGUGCUUGAAAAGUAUCCUCUUAGUUUAUUUCCGCAUUAGGUUUAAGCCAAAUCCGAAGAAGUUUUUAAAUAGCCUAUUCACCCCCCCCUCUAGGCGUCAUCGUGGUCCUUUCAGUUACUCGCUACUAUUGCUACUUGCUACUGCUGUCACUACUGUUGUUCCUUGCCAUUGUUGUUACUCGUUACACUGCUGCUACCUGUUACAAUACUUUUUCUUGCACAGUUGCCGGGAAAGAAUAUUUCCCGUUCACGGGCAACUUCUGGCGCCAUUGAUACGACAGUUAGGAAUAGUCUGCCUUGUCAACAGAUCGUUUCUGGCACCGUUGCUAUCAUACUACUUUGCUGCUGAUACUUUGCUUGCAGACACUAAUCUUUCAGGUGUGGCUGAAUCUGACACAUUCAGCUACUAAUACUUGAGAAUAUUCUUUCACUUCCCGUCGCGCGAACCAACAAAUUUGGGUUGAAUACUCUACCCUCGAAAACUGUCGCGAUCCCACGCGCUGGUGUGCUAUUGCAAAACAAUUUCUAAUUGUUGAGCAACUGGAAGCAACUCUUUUCUGGCUCCGUUGCCGUGGAGGCAUCAAGUCAGGAAUAGUUGCACGUCAGCAUCCUCCUUAAUUGUUUGACUACUCAUUGAUCUUGACUUAUAUGUUUUGGAGUAGUUUUGUCAUUUACUUUCGUCCUUCACUUAUAUCCUAUGAGUAAAUGGUUGAAUAAAUUGAAUAUCAUGAAUAUGAAAUUAAAUCUGCUCCAUAUACUUAUCCCAUGGAGAGUAAUGACUUCACACAUAAUAAGUAUAGGUGGUAAAAUUAUUGAAAGUUAGCAAACACCACAUUGGUCACUUGAACAUUUCAUGAAAGAAUAUUGAAGGAAGAGAGAUUUCACAUAUAAAUAUACUAUCUUGAAAAUCUUCUAUGAUUGUGAAUACCCGUUAAUUAUUUUCAAACUGGAGUAAAUUAGUUGAAGUUGGACAAGGAAGACAACGUAAUGAGUUAUGCUUGGGUAUAUUUGUAUAGAAGUUAUAUUGUUAUGGAUCCUCCAACAUGUGGUGCUUGCUUCCACCUCAUACUAGCCAAAACUUCCGCACCAAGUACAAAUACUAUUUAUGCAUCCAAACACCCUUAAACCCAAAGUUGUUCCAUAUGAGUCCACCAUGCCUACCUAUAUGCGGUAUUUACCUGUCGUUCCAAGUAAAUUUGCAUGUGCCAAACUCUAAACCUUCAAAUAAUAUUCGGUUUUGUAUGCCCGAGUUGCUCAGUAUAGUGACUAGGGGCUAUCAGUAUCUUCUAUUCUAGGUGAGUUAUUCUCACGAUAUGUGUUGAUUCACUACCAUUCACGAGAAAGUGGCUGGUAUCCGGGAUGCCCAGUCCCAUGCUAAAAAAAAUCAAAUCAAAAUAUAAUGAAACAAAACUCCCCCAUGAUUGUUAUUUGUAUGGGCGGUACCCGUGGAUUUGGCUCGCCGUGGAGUGUGUUUGAUUGGUGGAGGGGGAGUAAAAAAUUUACCAUUCUGUUUGGGAACCGCCUAUAAUGUAUCUAGCAUGGAAGAUACCGAGACCUCUCGGUUGUUAUGUUGACAAUGGAAGCAUACCACUCAAAAUUAUUAUUCGUCUCUGUUUUAAAAGCUUGAGCUCUGGCACAUCUGCAAAUCAAUGCUUCCAUCUACGAAGGGCCUAUCUUUUACUUUCUAGUACUUACCUUUAUACAAGAGUCAUGGUGAUCUUCACCACUUCCUAUAUUUUGCCUUUUUCUCUUAGCAAGCAUCAUGUGGUGGGGAAAUAUCCAAGCAUAUAUGGCCAUUCAAAUAUAUUUGAUCGUGAAUUAUUAUUGUUGACAAUUAUCUAUAUAAUAAAUAAGUUGGGAGGCGAAACUUUAAGCCCCUAUCUUUCUCUAUGUUCGACGGAUGUCGUUUGCUCUAAAAAUAUGCUUUGAGUGUUAGCAAUCAUGGAAGACUAUAUGAUAGUUGAGUAUGUGGAAUUUGCUAAAUCAAAAGCUCUUACAUAGACCCUUCCUGAAAAUAAGAUGAAUUGCAAUUUUUUGGUGACUAAAAGCAUAGUUUGUUAGUUUUCAAGAAACUUUAUGAUCUAUACUUUAACAUGUGAAUAGCUUGUUACUUCAUCAUCAGAAGUUUUAUGAGAUGAGCUACUGUUUAUGAUAUAUUAUGAUUCUAGAAAAAAAAAGUGAGUGAAAUUUUCAUUGAUCAAACUUGUGCACUUGCUAGCAUUCACACUUCAUAAAUUAUUUCUUUUAUCAUUUACCUACUCGAGGACGAGCAUGAAUUAAGCUUGGGGAUUCUCAUACGUCUCCAAUGUAUCUAUAAUUUAUGAAGUAUUCAUGCCAUGUUUACGACAAUUUUAUAUGAUUUUGGUAUGAUUUUAUUAGAACUAACCUGGAUUGACGUUGUUUUCAGCAGAACUACCAUGGUGUCAUUUUUGUGCAGAAAUAAAAGUUCUCAGCAUGAGCUGAAAAUUUACGAAGAAUAUUUUUGGUAAAUAUAAAAAAUACUGGAGCAAAGAGCAGGGCCACGAAGUGGACCAGGAGGUCACAAGGCUGCUAGGCGCAACCACCCCUGGUCCCGGCCUUGUGGCUUUUGACCUCCUCGGGAACCUUCUUGACGUGAUCCCAAUGCUAAGUACUCCUAUAAAUACCCAAACAUCCGAAAAGAAACCUAGAUCGGGAGUUCCGCCGCCGCAAGCCUCUAGAAUCACGAAAAACCAAUCGGGGGCCCGUUCCGGCACCCUGCCGAAGGGGAAACCACCACCAGAGGCCAUCUUCAUCAUCCCGGCGGUCUCCAUGACGAGGAUGGAGUAGUUCACCCUCGGGGCUGAGGGUAUGUACCAGUAGCUAUGUGUUUGAUCUCUCUCUCUCUCUCUCGUGUUCUUGAGAUGACACGAUCUUGAUGUACCGCGAGCUUUAUUAAUAUAGAUGAAUCAUAUGGAGUUUCCCCCUCUCUAUCUUCUUGUGAUGAAUUGAGUUUUCCCUUUGAAAUUUUCUUAUCUGAUUGAGUCUUUAAGGAUCUGAGAACACUUGAUGUAUGUCUUGCGAUGGGAUAUCCGUGGUGAUAAUGGGAUGUUCUAUUGAUCCACUUGAUGUAUGUUUUGGUGAUCAACUUGCGGGUUCCGUGACCUUGGGAAUCUAUGCAUAGGGGUUAGCACACGUGUUCGUCUUGACCCUCCGGUAGAAACUUUGGGGCACUCUUUGAAGUUCUUUGUGUUGGAUUGAACGUGAUGAAUCUGAAAUUGUGUGAUGCAUAUCGUCUAAUCAAGCCCAUGGGUACUUGUGGUGACAUUGGAGUAUCUAGGUGACAUUAGGGUUUUGGUUGAUGUGUGUCUUAAGGUGUUAUUUUAGUAAAAACUCUAGGGUUGUUCGUGACACUUAUAGGGAUAGCUUAUAAGAUUGAUCGGAAAAGAUAACUUUGAGGUGGUUUCAUACCCUACAAUAAUUUCUUCGUUAGUUCUUUGCUAUUUGUGACUUUGGAGUGAACUCUUUGUCGCACAAGAGGUAUUUACAUCUGAUUCAACUAUUUUAGUAUUGUUGGGAGAACUUGCACUAGUGAAAGUAUGGACCCUAGGCCUUGUUUUCAAGCAUUUAUACAAACGUUUUGCUUGAUGUUUACUAUUUGUUACCUUGCUGUUUUUAUAUUUUCAUAUUACAAUAACCUAUAUCUACCAUUCAUAUUACACUUGUAUCACCAUCUCUUCGUCGAACUAGUGCACCUAUACAAUUUACCAUUGUAUUGGGUGUGUUGGGGACACAAGAGACUCUUUGUUAUUUGAUUGCAGGGUUGCUUGAGAGAGGCCAUAUUCAUCCUACGCCUCCCACAGAUUGAUAAAUCUUAGGUCAUUCACUUGACGAAAACUUGCUAUUGUCCUACAAAACUGUGCGCUUGGAGGCCCAACACGAGUCUACAAGAAGGUUGUGUAGUAGACAUCAAGGGGCGAUGGAGACGGAUAUCAAAACUGUGCAAUAAUUAUUACAAACAAUCAUACAAAUAAUAAAAUUAUACAGGCAACUAUCUAAAUUAUACAAAUAAGAUUUUUUCACAAAAAGGAUAAGAAGAAGAGCCUCACCAAGGUGGUGCCGGCGACGGGCCGACGCACGCGAUAGACGACGGUGAGGACAGGGACGGGAAGUCACUAAGUAAACCACACCUACACAUAUGCAAACUCAGAAGUUAAUUUGAGCUCAAGUUGCAUAUUAAUCAAAUAAACUCCAACAUAAUUACUCCCAAACUAAAAACCACAACUCACUAUACUUAUAGGGCAUGAAACAAGCUAAACUAGCAAUGACAGGUGAAAGCAUGAAGUUGCUGACCUUUUACAACCCUUGGAUAGAUGGGCUGCCUCAAAUCUUAACAAAUGUUGGCAAAAAUGAAGGAUGAGAGAAAACAGAGAGGAUGAGCUCGAGCUGGACGAAGGGGUUUAUAUAGGGACAUCUUUAAUCCCGGUUGUUGAUAUAAGCCGAGACUAAAGGUCCACCUCUAGUCCCUUUGGUAAUAUCAACCGGGACGAAAUGGGUUCGCCGAGGUCCUAACCUGACGCCAGCCUGCCACCACCCCCUUAGUCCCGGUUUGUAAUACCAACCAGGACUAAAGGUCACAAAUGAACUGGGACUAAUCCUGGUCUUGCCUCCGUCCGUUACUAGCCGUUGGAACCGGGAUUACUGGUCACAUUAGUCCCGAUCCGAAAUCCAACCAAAACUAACGCUGCGGACAAAAGGUCCGUUUUCUACUAGGGUUCCUUGAUUCGGCCUAGACUCUUAUACGUGUGCUGGCUUGCAAUUAUGUACUAUAUUGUUCCUUAUUAAUCGUAUUUAAACUUGCCACUUCACUUGGAUACUUAUCAUCUCAAUGAGUCGUGUAUAUGUUAUAUAUGAUAUGUAUUUUAAUACAGUAUUGCCCGGAUUUAUUAAGAUUACCCGCAUCAAGUUGAAUUAUGAACGCGAGAUUUAAUGAUCUCAUUGCAUUGUUACAGAGAAGUGUAUUUGAGUAAGAUGCACGAUUAUUACAUUAUCCGUCGAUGAUAGAGUAUAGUACAUCAACUUAGAAAUCGACAAGUUUAAUCCAUUAACUUGCAUCGGUCCAAAGGCGCAAAUCAAUCGGAGCAAGCAAAUGACGCUGACAUGUCAUGUUGCCGUGGUCUUCAUGUCACUGUGGGUGUUCGUAGGGGGUUAUCUGACCAAAAACUUCCAUGUUUGUAAUUUGGUCCUUCUUCACAUUUAGUAUCAAUAUACAUCUAUUUAACUCAAAAUCCCCACUAGGGAAACAAAAUCCCUAGUUCCAUUGUCACCUAUACACCAUUCACACAGAAUCUAGCAUUGUGAACCGAAUAAACUGCCAUAGUGCGACCCCUUUCACGCAUCUCGCUCUCUCUCUUUCCCUGUCUCUCACACACACAUUUUGAUGGAUAUUGUGUUGCAUGGCUGCAUGGUGGUAAUUCUUCACCUCCCACCCACCUUCACCUUCACUCUUUCCUCCACGUAGCUAAUUAUAAUUCACGUUAAACGAAGGUCACAACGCUCCGUUGCCUUGGACGACGCCAAGGAGCUCGACUCAAGCUGGAAACAGGUACUCUCCAUGGAGGAGGAUGGCGGGACAUGGGGUAUAUGUAUAUCCAACGCCGGCCAAUUUGGCUCCGAUGGCAAUCCAAAUCAUCCGUCAGCAAGCAAGAGUGCAAGGCCAAUGAAAUCAAGAAUCUUGUCAUACAGCAUAUCCACGUAUUACGAGUGUAUAUGUUUUUGUGUUUUGUAUGUUGUUUAUACUAGCAAAAGGGCGUUGCAACGGAAGAAAAAAAUACCACACACUUUUAAUCUUUUUAUAAUCAUUUUGAUUUAUUAAAAUAAUAAGCUAACUAACUAAUGUAGUCAGUCCUAUCCUAUUUUGUUGAGAAAUCAACCCGUCCAUUGUUAAUUUCACCAUGAUGAGAAAUUGAGCGGGACAAGCAAAGCAAAACAAAGAGGCUACGUGAAUCGAUCAAUGGACUGUUAUCUUAUUUCACUCAUGCGGUAGAGAAUGUGGGAUCAGAUGACAAACUGAAGAUGGUGUUUCGUUCUCUGUCUCUACAACAAUACAAUCUUACAUUCUAUACAUUCAUUCAUGAGCAAACAAAUCCCAACAAAACAAAAUUUCUUGCCGGUGCUUGGCACACGGUUGGAGGCAUGGAGAGGGGAUCUCACCAGAUGAUGAGUUCCUGUCGGAGGAGGCGAUACGAUGAGUGGAGCAAGGGUUAGGCGCCUCUAUCUGGCCAUAAGGAGUCGCCAUUGCCGCGUCAUAACCUCGGAGUUCCCCGUGUGAGCCAUGGAGGCCCGCCUCCACCUGCAAGUACUUCGCUCCGCCGCGCCUUAUCCGCGCCGUUGGGAAACGUCGCAUGGGAAACAAAAAUUUUCCUACGCGCACGAAGACCUAUCAUGGUGAUGUCCAUCUACGAGAGGGGAUGAGUGAUCUACGUACCCUUGUAGAUCGUACAGCAAAAGCGUUAGAGAACGCGGUUGAUGUAGUGGAACGUCCUCACGUCCCUCGAUCCGCCCCGCGAACAAUCCCGCGAUCAGUCCCACGAUCUAGUACCGAACGGACGGCACCUCCUGUUGGAAAUAUGCCCUAGAGGCAAUAAUAAAUUAGUUAUUAUUAUAUUUCUUAGUUCGUGAUAAUCGUUUAUUAUCCAUGCUAUAAUUGUAUUGAUUGGAAACACAAUACUUGUGUGGAUACAUAGACAAAACACUGUCCCUAGUAAGCCUCUAGUUGACUAGCUCGUUGAUCAAAGAUGGUCAAGGUUUCCUGGCCAUAGGCAAGUGUUGUCACUUGAUAACGGGAUCACAUCAUUAGGAGAAUCAUGUGAUGGACUAGACCCAAACUAAUAGACGUAGCAUGUUGAUCGUGUCAUUUUGUUGCUACUGUUUUCUGCGUGUCAAGUAUUUAUUCCUAUGACCAUGAGAUCAUAUAACUCACUGACACCGGAGGAAUACUUUGUGUGUAUCAAACGUCGCAACGUAACUGGGUGACUAUAAAGAUGCUCUACAGGUAUCUCCGAAGGUGUUAGUUGAGUUAGUAUGGAUCAAGACUGGGAUUUGUCACUCCGUGUGACGGAGAGGUAUCUCGGGGCCCACUCGGUAAUACAACAUCACACACAAGCCUUGCAAGCAAUGUAACUUAAUGUAAGUUGCGGGAUCUUGUAUUACGGAACGAGUAAAGAGACUUGCCGGUAAACGAGAUUGAAAUAGGUAUGCGGAUACUAACGAUCGAAUCUCGGGCAACUAACAUACCGAAGGACAAAGGGAAUGACAUACGGGAUUAUAUGAAUCCUUGGCACUGAGGUUCAAACGAUAAGAUCUUCGUAGAAUAUGUAGGAUCCAAUAUGGGCAUCCAGGUCCCGCUAUUGGAUAUUGACCGAGGAGUCUCUCGGGUCAUGUCUACAUAGUUCUCGAACCCGCAGGGUCUGCACACUUAAGGUUCGACGUUGUUUUAUGCGUAUUUGAGUUAUAUGGUUGGUUACCGAAUGUUGUUCGGAGUCCCGGAUGAGAUCACGGACGUCACGAGGGUUUCCGGAAUGGUCCGGAAACGAAGAUUGAUAUAUAGGAUGACCUCAUUUGGUUACCGGAAGGUUUCCGUGCAUUACCGGAAAAGUUUCGGGCUCAUCGGUAGUGUACCGGGAGUGCCGGGAGGGGUGCCGGGGACCAUCGGGAGGGGUGUCACGCCCCAAGGGGUCUCAUGGGCUAUGGGAAGAGAUAAUACAGCCCCUAGUGGGCUGGAAUAAGUUCCCACUAAGGCCCAUAAGGUUUGAGAAGGAAAAAACACAAGGUGGAAAGAGUUUCCAAGUGGGAAGGUGGAAUCCUACUCCAAGUAGGAUUGGAGUAGGACUCCUCCACCUCCAAUUUCGGCCAACCCUUGAGGGUUUGAGGCUGCCUCUUCCCUCCCCCUCCCACCUAUAUAUACGGAGGUUUUAGGGCUGAUUUGAGACAACUUUCGCCACGGCAGCCCGACCACAUACCUCCACGGUUUUACCUCUAGAUCGCGUUUCUGCGGAGCUCGGGCGGAGCCGUGCUGAGAUUAGAUCACCACCAACCUCCGGAGCGCCGUCACGCUGCCGGAGAACUCAUCUACCUCUCCGUCUCUCUUGCUGGAUCAAGAAGGCCGAGAUCAUCGUCGAGCUGUACGUGUGCGGAACGCGGAGGUGCCGUCCGUUCGGUACUAGAUCGUGGGACUGAUCGCGGGAUUGUUCGCGGGGCGGAUCGAGGGACGUGAGGACGUUCCACUACAUCAACCGCGUUCUCUAACGCUUCUGCUGUACGGUCUACAAGGGUACGUAGAUCCCUCAUCCCCUCUCGUAGAUGGACAUCACCAUGAUAGGUCUUCGUGCGCGUAGGAAAAUUUUUGUUUCCCAUGCGUCGUUCCCCAACAGUGGCAUCAUGAGCUAGGUUCAUGCGUAGAUGUCUUCUCGAGUAGAACACAAAAGGUUUUGUGGACGGUGAUGUGCGUUUUGCUGCCCUCCUUAGUCUUUUCUUGAUUCCGCGGUAUUGUUGGAUUGAAGCGGCUUGGACCGACAUUACUCGUACGCUUACGAGAGACUGGUUUCAUCGUUACGAGUAACCCCCUUUGCUCAAAGAUGACUGGCAAGUGACGGUUUCUCCAACUUUAGUUGAAUCGGAUUUGACCGAGGAGGUCCUUGGAUGAGGUUAAAUAGCAAUUCAUAUAUCUCCGUUGUGGUGUUUGCGUAAGUAAGAUGCGAUCCUACUAAGAUACCCUUGGUCACCACGUAAAACAUGCAACAACAAAAUUAGAGGACGUCUAACUUGUUUUUGCAGGGUAUGAUUGUGAUGCGAUAUGGCCAAUGAUGUGAUGUGAUAUAUUGGAUGUAUGAGAUGAUCAUGUUGUAAUAGAAAUAUCGACUUGCACGUCGAUGGUACGGCAACCGGCAGGAGCCAUAGGGUUGUCUUUAUACUAACAUAUGUGCUUGCAGAUGCGUUUACUAUUUUGCUAGGAUGUAGCUUUAGUAGUAAUAGCAUAAGUAGCACGACAACCCCGAUGGCAACACGUUGAUGGAUGAUCAUGGUGUGGCGCCGGUGACAAGAAAGGUCGUGCCGGUGCUUUGGUGAUGGAGAUCAAGAAGCACGUGAUGAUGGCCAUAUCAUGUCACUUGUGAAUUGCAUGUGAUGUUAAUCCUUUUAUGCACCUUAUUUUGCUUAGAACGACGGUAGCAUUAUGAGGUGAUCUCUCACUAAAAUUUCAAGACGAAAUUGUGUUCUCCCCGACUGUGCACCGUUGCGACAGUUCUUCGUUUCGAGACACCACGUGAUGAUCGGGUGUGAUAGACUCAACGUUCACAUACAACGGGUGCAAAACAGUUGCACACGCGGAACACUCGGGUUAAGCUUGACGAGCCUAGCAUGUGCAGACAUGGCCUCGGAACACAUGAGACCGAAAGGUCGAGCAUGAAUCGUAUAGUUGAUAUGAUUAGCAUAGGGAUGCAUACCACUGAAACUAUUCUCGACUCACGUGAUGAUCGGACUUGAGAUAGCGGAUUUGGAUCAUGUACCACUCAAAUGACUAGAGAGAUGUACUUUUUGAGUGGGAGUUCUUAAGUAAUAUAAUUAAUUGAACUAAUUGUCAUGAACAUAGUCUAAAUGGUCUUUGCGAAUUACGAUGUAGCUUGCGCUAUAGCUCUACUGUUUUUACAUGUUCCUAGAGAAAAUUUAGUUGAAAAUUGAUAGUAGCAACCUUUGCAGACUGAGUCUGUAAAACCGAGGAUUGUCCUCGUUGCUACGCAGAAGGCUUAUGUCCUUAAUGCACCACUCGAUGUGCUGCACCUCGAGCGUCGUUUGUGGAUGCUAUGAACAUCCGACAUACACGUUACUGAUGACUACACGAUAGUUCAGUGCAAGAUACUUGAUGGCUUAGAAGCAAGGCGCCGAAAACGUUGUAAAACGUCACGGAACAUAAGUGAUGUCCCGAAGAGAUGAAAUUGUGAUUUCAUGCUUGUGCCCUUGUUAAGAGGUACGAGACCUCCAAACAAGAUUCUUUGUCCACAAAGUAAAGGAGAAAAGCUCAAUCGUUGAGCGUGUGCUCAGAUUGUCUGAGUACGACAAUCGCUUGAAUCAAGUGGGAGUUAAUCUUCCAGAUGAGAUAGUGAUGGUUCUCCAAAGUCACUGCCACCAAGCUAUGAGAGCUUCGUGAUAAACUAUAACAUAUCAAGGAUAGAUACUAUGAUCUUUUGAGUGAUUCGCGAUGUUUGACACUGCGAAAGUAGAAAUCAAGAAGGAGCAUCAAUAGUUGAUGGUUAGUAAAACCACUAAGUUUCAAGAAAAGCAAGGGCUAGAAGGGAUACUUCGUGAAACGGCAAAACAGUUGCUGCACUAAUGAAGAGACCCAAGAUUAAACCCAAACCCGAAACUAAGUGCUUCUGUACAAAGGGGAACAGUCACUGAGGCGGAGCAACUCUAAACACUUGGUGGAUGAGAAGGCUGGCAAAAGUCGAGAGAAGUAUAUAUGUGAUAUACAUAAUGUUGAUGUGUACUUUACUAGUACUCCUAGUAGCACGAGGGUAUUGGAUACCGGUUCGGUUGCUAAGUGAUUAGUAACGCGAAAUGAAAGCUACAGCAUAAACGGAGACUAGCUAAAGGCGAGGUGACGAUACGUGUUGGAAGUGUUUCCAAGGUUGAUAUAAUCAAACGUCGCACGCUCCCUCUACCAUCGGGAUUGGUGUUGAACCUAAAUAAUUGUUAUUUGGUGUUUGCGUUAAGCGUGAACAUGCUUGGAUCGUGUUUAUUGCAAUACGAUUAUUCAUUCAAAGAGAAUAAUGGUUACUCUAUUUUGUUUGAAUAAUCACCUUCAAUGGUUUAUUGAAUCUCGAUUUUAGUGUUACACAUUGGUGCCAAAAGAUACAAGUUAAUAAUGAUGGUACCACUUAUUUGUGGCACUGCCGCUUGAGUCAUGUUAGUAUAAAUUGCAUGAAGAGGCUCCAUGCUGAUGGAUCUUUGUGCUCACCUGAUUUCGAAUCACUAGUGACAUGCAAAUCAUACCACAUGAGCAAGGCCUUGUUUUUCAUUGAGAUGAAAUAAGAUAGUAACUUAUUGGAAGUGAUACAUUUUGAUGUAUGCAGUCCAAUGGGUGCUGAGGCACGCAGUGGAUAUCAUUAUGUUCUUACUUCACUGACGAUUUGAGUAGAUACUAGAGUAUUUACUUAAUGAAUCACAAGUCUGGAAUAUUGAAAAGUUCAAUUCUGUUUCAGAGUGAAGUUCGUCGUAACAAGAGGAUAAACUGUCUACGAUAUGAUCAUAGAAAUGAAUAUCUGAGUUACGAGUUUUUGGUACACAGUUAAGACAAUGUGGAAAUUGUUUCACAGUUCAUGCCACCUGGAACAUCAUAGUGUAAUGAUGUGUCUGAACGUCAUAGCCACGCACUAUUUAGUAUGGUGCAUGCUGUGAUGUCUCUUAUCGAAUUACCACUAUCGUUUAUGGGUUAUGCAUUAGAGACAACCGCAUUCACUUUAAAUAGGGCACCGCGUAUUUCCGUUGAGAUGACACAAUAUAGACUGAGGUUUAGAGAAAUCUAAAUUGUCGUUUCUUGAAAGUUUGGGGCUUCGACACUUAUGUGAAAAAGUUUCUGUCUGAUAAGCUCGAACCCAAAGCGGAUAAAUGCAUCUUCAUAGGAUAUCCAAAACAGUUGGGUACAUCUCCUAUCUCAGAUCCGAAAGCAAAGUGUUUGUUUCUAGAAACGGAUCCUUUCUCGAGGAAAGGUUUCUCUCGAAAGAAUUGAGUGGGAGGGUAGUAGAACUUGAUGAGGUUAUUGAACCAUCACUUCAACCAGUGUGUAGCAGGGCGUAGGAAGUUGUUCAUGUAGCGCCUACACCAAUUGAAGUGGAAGCUGAUGAUGGUGAUCAUUGAGCUUCGAAUCAAGUUACUACAAACCUCGUAGGUCGACAAGGUCGCGUACUGCUGCAGAGUAGUACGGUAACCCUGUCUUGGAGGUCAUGUUGUUGAGCAACAGUGAACCUACGAGUUAUGGAGAAAGCGAUGGUGGGCCCAGAUUCCGACAAAUGGCUAGAAGCCAUGAAAUCCGAGAGAGGAUCCAUGUAUGAAAACAGAGUGUAGACUUUGGAAGAACUACUUGACGGUCAUAAGACUAUUGAGUAGAGAUGGAUCUUUAAAAGGAAGACAGACGAUGAUGGUGAUUAGUCACUAUUAAGAAAAGCUCGACUUGUCGCAAAGAUGUUUCCGACAAGAUCAAACAGUUGACUAUGAUGAGACUUUCUCACUCGUAGCGAUGCUAAAAGUCUGUUAGAAUUAUGUUAGUAGUUGCUGCAUUAUUUAUGAAAUAUUGCACGUAGGAUGUCAAAACAUUGUUUCCUCGACGGUUUCCUUGAGCAAACAUUGUAUAUGAUACAACCAGGAGGUUUUGUCGAUCCUAAGGAUACUAACAAGUAUGCAAACUCCAGCAAUCCUUCAAUGGACUGGUGCAAGCAUCUCGGAGUUGGAAUAUACACUUUGAUGAGAUGAUCAAGGAUUUUGGGUUUGUACAAAGUUUAUGAGAAACUUGUAUUUCCAAAGAAGUGAGUGGGAGCACUAUAGAAUUUCUGAUAAGUAUAUGUGGUUGACAUAUUGUGGAUCAGAAGUAAUGUAGAAUUUCUGUAAAGCAUACAAGGUUGUUUGAAAGGAGUUUUUCAAAGGAAUACCUGGAUUGAGCUACUUGAACGUUGAGCAUCAAAGAUCUAUGGAGAUAGAUCGAAAGCGCUUAAUGGAAGUUUCAACAAGAUACAUGCCUUGACAAGUUUUUGAAAGAGUUCAAAAUAGACCAGCAAAGAAAGAGUUCUUGGUUGCGUUGUGAGGUGUGAAUUUGAGUAAGACUCAAAACCCGACCACGGCAGAAUAAAAGAGAAUAAACGAAGGUCGUCUUCUAUGCCUUAGCCGUAGAAUCUAAAGUAUGCCAUGCUGUGUACCGCACCUGAAGUGUGCCUUGACUCAAAGUAUGUUGAGAGGUACAGAGAGUGAUCCAUGAUUGAAUCACUAGCAGCGGUCGAAAUUUAUCCUUAGUAACUAAUGGACUAAGGAAUUUUUUCUCGAUCAUGGAGGUGGUUAAAGAGUUUGUCGUAAAGGGUUACGUCGAUGCAAGCUUUGACACUAAUCCGAAUAACUAUGAGUAGUGAAACGGAUUCAUAUAGUAGAGUAGAUAUUUGGAGCAUUUCCGAAUAGCACGUAGUAGCAGCAUCUAUAAGAUGACAUAAAGAUUCGUAAAGAACACACGGAUCUGAAAGUUUCAGAACCGUUGACUAAAACCUCUCUCACGAGCAAGACGUGAUCAGACCCCAUAACUAUAUGGGUGUUGGAUUCGUUGGAAUCACAUGGUGAUGUGAACUAGAUUAUUGACUCUAGUGCAAGUGGGAGACUGUUGGAAAUAUGCCCUAGAGGCAAUAAUAAAUUAGUUAUUAUUAUAUUUCUUAGUUCGUGAUAAUCGUUUAUUAUCCAUGCUAUAAUUGUAUUGAUUGGAAACACAAUACUUGUGUGGAUACAUAGACAAAACACUGUCCCUAGUAAGCCUCUAGUUGACUAGCUCGUUGAUCAAAGAUGGUCAAGGUUUCCUGGCCAUAGGCAAGUGUUGUCACUUGAUAACGGGAUCACAUCAUUAGGAGAAUCAUGUGAUGGACUAGACCCAAACUAAUAGACGUAGCAUGUUGAUCGUGUCAUUUUGUUGCUACUGUUUUCUGCGUGUCAAGUAUUUAUUCCUAUGACCAUGAGAUCAUAUAACUCACUGACACCGGAGGAAUACUUUGUGUGUAUCAAACGUCGCAACGUAACUGGGUGACUAUAAAGAUGCUCUACAGGUAUCUCCGAAGGUGUUAGUUGAGUUAGUAUGGAUCAAGACUGGGAUUUGUCACUCCGUGUGACGGAGAGGUAUCUCGGGGCCCACUCGGUAAUACAACAUCACACACAAGCCUUGCAAGCAAUGUAACUUAAUGUAAGUUGCGGGAUCUUGUAUUACGGAACGAGUAAAGAGACUUGCCGGUAAACGAGAUUGAAAUAGGUAUGCGGAUACUAACGAUCGAAUCUCGGGCAACUAACAUACCGAAGGACAAAGGGAAUGACAUACGGGAUUAUAUGAAUCCUUGGCACUGAGGUUCAAACGAUAAGAUCUUCGUAGAAUAUGUAGGAUCCAAUAUGGGCAUCUAGGUCCCGCUAUUGGAUAUUGACCGAGGAGUCUCUCGGGUCAUGUCUACAUAGUUCUCGAACCCGCAGGGUCUGCACACUUAAGGUUCGACGUUGUUUUAUGCGUAUUUGAGUUAUAUGGUUGGUUACCGAAUGUUGUUCGGAGUCCUGGAUGAGAUCACGGACGUCACGAGGGUUUCCGGAAUGGUCCGGAAACGAAGAUUGAUAUAUAGGAUGACCUCAUUUGGUUACCGGAAGGUUUCCGUGCAUUACCGGAAAAGUUUCGGGCUCAUCGGUAGUGUACCGGGAGUGCCGGGAGGGGUGCCGGGGACCAUCGGGAGGGGGUCACGCCCCAAGGGGUCUCAUGGGCUAUGGGAAGAGAUAAUACAGCCCCUAGUGGGCUGGAAUAAGUUCCCACUAAGGCCCAUAAGGUUUGAGAAGGAAAAAACACAAGGUGGAAAGAGUUUCCAAGUGGGAAGGUGGAAUCCUACUCCAAGUAGGAUUGGAGUAGGACUCCUCCACCUCCAAUUUCGGCCAACCCUUGAGGGUUUGAGGCUGCCUCUUCCCUCCCCCUCCCACCUAUAUAUACGGAGGUUUUAGGGCUGAUUUGAGACAACUUUCGCCACGGCAGCCCGACCACAUACCUCCACGGUUUUACCUCUAGAUCGCGUUUCUGCGGAGCUCGGGCGAAGCCCUGCUGAGAUUAGAUCACCACCAACCUCCGGAGCGCCGUCAUGCUGCCGGAGAACUCAUCUACCUCUCCGUCUCUCUUGCUGGAUCAAGAAGGCCGAGAUCAUCGUCGAGCUGUACGUGUGCGGAACGCGGAGGUGCCGUCCGUUCGGUACUAGAUCGUGGGACUGAUCGCGGGAUUGUUCGCGGGGCGGAUCGAGGGACGUGAGGACGUUCCACUACAUCAACCGCGUUCUCUAACGCUUCUGCUGUACGGUCUACAAGGGUACGUAGAUCCCUCAUCCCCUCUCGUAGAUGGACAUCACCAUGAUAGGUCUUCGUGCGCGUAGGAAAAUUUUUGUUUCCCAUGCGUCGUUCCCCAACAGUGGCAUCAUGAGCUAGGUUCAUGCGUAGAUGUCUUCUCGAGUAGAACACAAAAGGUUUUGUGGACGGUGAUGUGCGUUUUGCUGCCCUCCUUAGUCUUUUCUUGAUUCCGCGGUAUUGUUGGAUUGAAGCGGCUUGGACCGACAUUACUCGUACGCUUACGAGAGACUGGUUUCAUCGUUACGAGUAACCCCCUUUGCUCAAAGAUGACUGGCAAGUGACGGUUUCUCCAACUUUAGUUGAAUCGGAUUUGACCGAGGAGGUCCUUGGAUGAGGUUAAAUAGCAAUUCAUAUAUCUCCGUUGUGGUGUUUGCGUAAGUAAGAUGCGAUCCUACUAAGAUACCCUUGGUCACCACGUAAAACAUGCAACAACAAAAUUAGAGGACGUCUAACUUGUUUUUGCAGGGUAUGAUUGUGAUGCGAUAUGGCCAAUGAUGUGAUGUGAUAUAUUGGAUGUAUGAGAUGAUCNCGAGAACUAUGUAGACAUGACCCGAGAGACUCCUCGGCCAAUAUCCAAUAGCGGACCUGGAUGCCACUAUUGGAUCCUACAUAUUCUACGAAGAUCUCAUCGUUUGAACCUCAGUGCCAAGGAUUCGUAUAAUCCCGUAUGUCAUUCCCUUUGUCCUUCGGUAUGUUACUUGCCCGAGAUUCGAUCGUCAGUAUCCGCAUACCUAUUUCAAUCUCGUUUACCGGCAAGUCUCUUUACUCGUUCCGUAACACAAGAUCCCGCAACUUACACUAAGUUACAUUGCUUGCAAGGCUUGUGUGUGAUGUUGUAUUACCGAGUGGGCCCCGAGAUACCUCUCCGUCACACGGAGUGACAAAUCCCAGUCUUAAUCCAUACUAACUCAACUAACACCUUCGGAGAUACCUGUAGAGCAUCUUUAUAGUCACCCAGUUACGUUGCGACGUUUGAUACACACCAAGCAUUCCUCCGGUGUCAGUGAGUUAUAUGAUCUCAUGGUCAUAGGAAUAAAUACUUGACACGCAGAAAACAGUAGCAACAAAAUGACACGAUCAACAUGCUACGUCUAUUAGUUUGGGUCUAGUCCAUCACGUGAUUCUCGCAAUGACGUGAUCCAGUUAUCAAGCAACAACACCUUGUUCAUAAUCAGAAGACACUGACUAUCAUCGAUCAACUGGCUAGCCAACUAGAGGCAUGCUAGGGACGGUGUUUUGUCUAUGUAUCCACACAUGUAAAUGAGUCUUCAUUCAAUACAAUUAUAGCAUGGAUAAUAAACUAUUAUCUUGAUACAGGAAUUAUAAUAAUAACUAUACAUUUAUUAUUGCCUCUAGGGCGUAAUUCCAACAGUGAGGACGUUUCACUACAUCAACCGCGUUUCUUAACGCUUCUGCUGUGCGAUCUACAAGGGUACGUAGAUCAGAAAUCCCCUCUCGUAGAUGGACAUCACCAUGAUAGGUCUUCGUGCGCGUAGGAAAAUUUUUGUUUCCCAUGCGACGUUCCCCAACAUCUCCAUACCUAGUUCAAUCUCGUUAUCGGCAAGUCUCUUUACUCGUUCCGUAAUACAAGAUCCCGUGAUUAACUCCUUAGUCACAUUGCUUGCAAGGCUUAUUGUGAUGUUGUAUUACCGAGUGGGCCCCGAGAUACCUCUCCGUCAUACAGAGUGAAAAAACCCAGUCUAGAUCCAUGUCAACCCAACAUACACCUUCGGAGAUACUUGUAGAGGACCUUUAUAGUCACCCAUUUAUGUUGCGACGUUUGAUACACACAAGGUAUUCCUUCGAUGUCCGGGAGUUGCAUGAUCUCAUUGGCAUAGGAACACAUACAUUGACAUGCAGAAAACAGUAGUAAUAAACUGACACGAUCAUAUGCUACGUUCAUAGUUUGGGUCUUGUCCAUCACAUAAUUCUCCUAAUGAUGUGAUCCCGUUAUCAAAUGACAACACUUGUCUAUGGACAGGAAACCUUAACCAUCUUUGAUCAAUGAGCUAGUCAACUAGAGGCUCACUAGGGACAGUGUAUUGUCUAUGUAUCCACACAUGUAUUUGAGUUUCCAAUCAAUACAAUUCUAGCAUGGAUAAUAAAUGAUUAUCAUGAACAAGGAAAUAUAAUAAUAACCAAUUUAUUAUUGCCUCUAGGGCAUAUUUCUAACAGCAACGUCUCCGUCUCGUAAAACGCGAUGAAAUCUUCUCUCUAAUUUUUUUUUCCGAAUAUGUGAAUUUAUAGGAUUGGAAUCAGGGUCGGGGGAGCCACGUGGUCCCCAUAGGCUAUCAGGAUGCCCCUAGGGAGGUGGGUGCGCCCUGUUCGCUUGUGGCCCACUCGAAACCCCCUUUGGUGGUUAUUCGCUCCAUAAUUCAUUAUAUAUUCCGGAAAUAAUUCAUAAAAAGUUUUAUCCAAUUCUGAGAACUUUUAUUUCUGCACAAAAAUAACAUCAUGAUAGUUCUGCCGAAAACAACGUCAGUCAUGGGUUAGUUUCAGUCAAAUCAUGUGAAUUAGAUUCCGAAACAAGAAUAAAAAUGUUUGGAAAAUUAGAUACAUUUGAGAUGUAGCAUUGACUUUGUUCCAGCUUGGAAAAUAGUUUCUCUGUAGAUCAUGUAAUUUCAUGGAGUAGCGGAUAGCCGAAUAGGCCUUUAACUUUGUUCCAGCUUUUGUCUUCUAUUUGAUUGUUUACACUAGAUUUUCAUUCCUCCAUUCGCCACAAUUUUGUGAGAUUCGCCUCUUCUUUUUUAUUUUAGAAUGAUCUGCCAGGUGGGGCCACCCAUGUGGGCCUAUUUGGUACGGUAGGUUACAUCAUAUUUUAUCUAUUUGCAUGUGUAAGUAAGUUGGGCGUGACUAAGUGAAUGCAUGCCAAUAAAUAUGGUAUGCACAUAGCUUGAGCAUGCAUUCCACCAUUCCACCAUUCAACGGUUUGAUGCCCGAUGUUUGGUUGGUGAUAGUUGUGGGUUAUGGUUGUCACCGUAGAAACAUCGUGUUUGGUUAUACACAACUUAUGUUGUGGUCACCCUUUCUCAUUAGCGAUGAUCUUAUCAUGCAUUACACUACAUACACACUAUAUGAAAUAAACAUUGUUUCCAUCCUAAUUCGUAAACAAAUGGCAGUUCAUCCAGGCUACUAACAGAUUGUAGCCUAAUUAAUAGCCUUAUGGAUCAAUAGAUGAAAGUUCAUCGAUGUCGAACUAUGGAGAGGUUCAUCCUCGUGUUCUAUUAUUGUUGUUGCUUCUUCUUCUUUUGUUGUUAUUGUUGCUCCUUCUUCAGCUGCUGCUUUUCUUUAUAUCCUUGUGUUACUACUAUUUUUCAUAUUGCUUCACCCACUUCAACCAUGUGAUCUUUCAAACUUCAUUGUCAUAUGCCUACAUACCAUGGUCGGAGUCGUGAUCAUCAUGAGUCUCACAUCCUCCUUCUCUAGCAUAAACUCAUCACCACGCCAUUUUAGGAUCUAGUUAUGAAGAAUGCAACAUGAAAGAAAAAGCCUAAAAUGUGUGUGGAAAGGGUGGGAUGUGCUUCUGAUCCAGGAUCAUAAUUCUAUUCUUCAAGGCUCCAAAUGACCUCUCAAUCGUAAUCCUAAGGCUCGAGUGACUGAGAUUGAACAAUUCUCAUGCAAUCCUAGGAUAGAUCCCAAAAGAGAACUUGUUCAGAUGGUACCUAGUUUUCAUGGAGGGUGCAAGAAUACCAUGACAACAUGCAUAUCCAACAUCUCCUAGGUGGAACUUGCAUCACAGACACUUAUGCCAUGUUGUCAGCAGGAAUGUUAGUAUCAUGGGUUGAUUCUUCCCAGCGAGUUAACACAUAUGUGAACUUCAUAUCAGAGUCAAAGUCAAUGAUCACAUUCUAGAUUGUGUAGUGAUUUCUACCCCUAUAUGUUGCAGCAUGUGACCUCACGACUCUAGAAGUCACAUGAGUACCAUAUAUUGCCGAUCCAAUCCUGUGAUGGCAUGAAAAUAUAUUGUUAUGGUUGUAUGGCAACAUUACAAGCAUGUUAUGACAUGAAUUACGAGUAGUUCUCGCCUUGAAAUACGAUCCAUCUUGGGCUCGUGCGAAUCUUGUCAAGAGUUUUUCCUAGUUGGUGCCGUGGUUAUUUAUCCUCUGAGCUCCACAAUAGCGUACAAGACUUGAUUUAAAUACCUGGAAAUGGUCCCCAUGUGAAAGCACAAUUGCUCCCUAGGGUGGUUUUGAUAAUUGAUCACAACAUAUGCAUCAUUGGACUAAUGAUCUUAUCCUAGUAUAUUUCAGAAAAGUUCAAAAGAUGCUUUGGCUAAGGCUUAUGUGGAGAUGCCCCUUGAUGCAAGGAAGGAUUAAGAUUGGCUCAAGCUUCAAGCUAGAAGACUCUUCAUUUUCUAUUUAUGAGAAAUCACAUUUGAGUCCAUAGGAAAGUCAAUACUAUUAAAAGGGGGUGAGGUAUUAAAAUGAGCUGGUUGCUCAAGUGCUCACCGAGAUUCAAAUGUUCACACCUUUAGUACUAGACGGUACCACCGAGUUGUCCACUUUGGUGUCACCGAGUUCUAUAUAUCGGUCUCACCGAGAUUCAAAAGUUCACACCUUUAGUACUAGACGGUACCACCGAGUUGUCCACUUUGGUGUCACCGAGUUUGCACUUUUGUGUGUAACAGUUGGAUUUUGGCUGCUGCCUAUAUAUACCCCUUCACCCACCUCUCAUUCGUGGGAGAAGCACUGAGAACACACACACCUCAUAUCCAGAUCCAUUUUCUGAGAGAGAAUCACCUACUCAUGUGUUGAGACCAAGAUAUUUCACUCCAGUCAUUUGAAACUUGAUCUCUAACCUUUCCAAACUGCUUUCCACCAAAUCAACCUCUCCUACCCAUGUCUAUUCUUUGAGAGAGUGAUUUUGUGUUGAGGAGAAUAUCUUUAGAAGCACAAGAGCAAGGAGUUCAUAGUUCUACCCCAUCUAUUACCUUUUGGAGGCUGGUGCCUCCUUGUAACGACUAAGAUGCGGUCCUUUCCGAUCUGGGGAUCGAGGCCCCGAAUUGGAAAGGAGUGCAUCUAAGCAUCUCACAAACAAGGUAUCAUAGCACAUACAUAAUAAUAACAGAUUGAUAAUCAGGGGUUCAAUUGCCAUCUCAUAAAUAUAUCAGAGUACAUCACGCAUACAAUCAAAGUAGUUCCGCCGCGGACUACAAAACAAGGAAAAUGGCUAUACUACCCUGCCUGCUGGCCCACGAUCACGACCACGCCUCAAUCUUCUAGAUAGUUCACGUACAGGCGGUCGUUCUCCUCAUCGUACUUGUUGGGUAACGUAGCAUAAAUUCAAAAAAUUCCUACGCAUAUUCAGAUCCUCCUAUGGAGAGACUAGCAAUGAGAGAUGGGUGAGUGCAUCUUCAUACCUUUGAAGAUCGCUAAGCGGAAGCAUUACUAGAACGCGGUUGAUGGAGUCAUACUCACGGCGAUUCAGAUCACGGUGUGAUUCCGAUCUAGUGCCGAACUACGGCACCUCCGCGUUCAACACACGUGCAGCCCGGUGACGUCUCCCGUACCUUGAUCCAGCAAGGAGGAGGGAGAGGUUGGGGAAGAACUCCAGCAGCACGACGGCAUGGUGUCGAUGGAGAGACGAGGUCUCCCGGCAGGGCUUCGCCAAGCACCGGCAGAGAGGAGGAGAAAGAAGGGCAGGGCUGCGCCAAGGGAGAGGCAAAAGUCUGUUCUCCAAUGGCCAAAAGUGCCCACUAUAUAUAGGGGNCCUACCCCACUUGGCCCAUCUAGCCUCCCGGGGUCGUUGCCCCCCAUCGGUGGACCCCGGGGCCACCUCCGGUGGUCCCGGCGGUCCUGGUACGUUACCGGUGAUGCCCGAAACACUUCCUGUGUCCGAAACCAUCCGUCCUAUAUAUAAAUCUUUACCUCCGGACCAUUCCGGAGCUCCUUGUGAUGUCCGGGAUCUCAUCCGGGACUCCGAACAACUUUCGAUAACCUCGUAUAACAAUUCCCUAUAACCCUAGCGUCAUCAAACCUUAAGUGUGUAGACCCUACGGGUUCGGGAGACAGGUAGACAUGACCGAGACACCUCUCUGGCCAAUAACCAUCAGCGGGGUCUGGAUAUCCAUGGUGGCUCCCCCUUGGUCCACGAUGAUCUCAUCGGAUGAACCACGAUGUCAAGGAUUCAAUCAAUCCCGUAUACAAUUCCCUUUGUCUGUCGGUAUAGUACUUGCCCGAGAUUCGAUCGUCGGUAUACCUAUACCUUGUUCAAUCUCGUUACCGGUAAGUAUCUUUACUCGUUCCGUAGCACGUCAUCGUGUGACUAACUCCUUAGUCACAUUGAGCUCAUGAUGAUGUUCUACCGAGUGGGCCCAGAGAUACCUCUCAGUCAACGGAGUGACAAAUCCCGAUCUCGAUUCGUGCCAACUCAACAAAUACUUUCGGAGGUACCCGUAGUGCACCUUUAUAGUCAUCCAGUUACGUUGUGACGUUUGAUAGACCCAAAGCACUCCUAUGGUAUCCGGGAGUUGCAAAUUCUCACGAUAGAAGGAAAAGACACUUGACAUUAGAAAAGCUUUAGCAUACGAACAAUACGAUCUAGUGCUACGCUUAGGAUUGAGUCUUGUCCAUCACAUCAUUCUCCCAAUGAUGUGAUCCCGUUAUCAAUGACAUCUAAUGCCCAUGACCAGGAAACCAUGAUCAUCUAUUGACUAACGAGCUAGCCAACUAGAGGCUUGCUAGGGACACAUUGUGAUCUAUUUAUUCACACAUGUAUUACUGCUUCCUGUUAAUACAAUUAUAGCAUGAACAUUAGACGAUUAUAUGAACAAGGAAAUAUGAUAAUAACCAUUUUAUUAUUGCCUCUAGGGCAUAUUUCCAACAGUCUCCCACUUGCACUAGAGUAAAUAAUCUAGUUACAUUGUGAUGUAUCGAACACCCAUAGCAUUAUGGUGUUGAUCAUGUUUUGCUCAUGGAAGAGGUUUAGUCAACGGGUCUGCGACAUUAAGAUCCGUGUGUACUUUACAAAUAUCUAUUACUCCACUCUGGACAUGGUCCUGGAUGGAGUUGUAGCGGCGUUUGAUGUGCUUGGUCUUCCAGUGAAACCUGGGCUCCUUGGCAAUGGCAAUGGCCCCAGUGUUAUCACAGAAGAGUUUCAUUGGACCCGACGCGCUUGGAACCACUCCAAGGUCGGUGAUGAGCUCCUUCAUCCAAAUUCCUUCAUGAGCCACUUCUGAAGCAGCUAUGUACUCCCCUUCACAUGUAGACGCUGCCACGACUUCUUGCUCGCUGCUGCACCAGCUCACUGCCCCACCAUUCAAAACAUAUGCGUAUCCGGUCUGUGACUUAGAGUCAUCCGGAUCUGGGUCGAAGCUAGCGUCGACGUAACCCUUUACGACGAGCUCUUCGUCACCUCCAUAAACGAGAAACAUUUCCUUAGUCCUUUUCAGGUACUUAAGGAUAUUCUUGACCGCUGUCCAGUUUUCCAUACCGGGAUCACUUUGGUACCUCCCUACCAAACUUAUGGCAAGGUUUAUAUCAGGUCUAGUACAUAGCAUGGCAUACAUAAGAGAGCCUAUGGCUGAAGCCUAGGGGACAGAACUCAUCUUCUCUCUAUCUGCUGCCGUGGUCGGCGACUGAGUCUUACUCAAUCUCAUACCUUGCAAAACUGAAAAGAACCCUUUCUUUGAGUUUUCCAUAUUGAACUUCUUCAAUAUCUUGUCAAGGUAUGUACUUUGCGAAAGACCUAUGAGGCGUCUCGAUCUAUCUCUAUAGAUCUUGAUGCCUAAUAUGUAUGCAGCUUCUCCAAGGUCCUUCAUUGAAAAACUCUUGUUCAAAUAGGCCUUUCUGCUUUCCAACAUCUCUAUAUUGUUACCCAUCAAUAAUAUGUCAUCCACAUACAGUAUGAGGAAACCUACAGAGCUCCCACUCACUUUCGUGUACAGACAGGCUUCUCCGUAAACCUGUAUGAACCCAAACGCUUUAAUCACCUCAUUAAAGCGAAUGUUCCAGCUCCGAGAUGCUUGCACCAGCCCAUAGAUGGAGCGCUGGAGCUUGCACACUUUGUUAGCACCCUUAGGGUCGACAAAACCUUCUGGUUGCAUCAUAUACAACUCUUCCUUAAGGUUCCUGUUAAGGAACGCUGUUUUGACGUCCAUUUGCCAAAUUUCUUAAUCAUAAAAGGAGGCAAUUGCUAACAUGAUUCGGAUAGAUUUCAGCUUCGCUACGGGAGAGAAAGUCUCUUCGUAGUCAACUCCUUGAAUUUGUCGAAAACCCUUUGCGACAAGUCGAGCUUUAUAAACGGUUACAUUACCGUUUGCAUUAGUCUUCUUCUUGAAUAUCCAUUUAUUUUCUAUGGCUCGCGGUCAUCGGGCAAGUCCACCAAAGUCCAUACUUUGUUCUCAUACAUGGAUCCUAUCUCAAAUUUCAUAGCUUCAAGCCAUUUGUUGGAAUCCGGGCCCGCCAUCGCUUCUUCAUAGUUCAAAGGUUCACCACUGUCUAACAACAUGAUUUCCAUCACAGGGUUGCCGUACCACUCUGGUGCGGAGCAUGCCCUCGUGGACCUUCGCAGUUCAGUAGUAACUUGAUCCGAAGCUUCAUGAUCAUUAUCAUUAACUUCCUCUUCAGUUGGCGUAGGCGCCACAGGAACAACUUCCCGCGCUGCGCUACUUUCCUGUUCGAGAGGGGGUGUAAUUACCUCAUCAAGUUCUACCUUCCUCCCACUUACUUCUUUCGAGAGAAACUCUUUCUCUAGAAAUGAUCCGUUCUUGGCAACAAAGGUUUUACCUUCGGAUCUAAGAUAGAAGGUAUACCCAAUAGUUUCCUUAGGGUAUCCUAUGAAUACGCAUUUCUCCGCUUUGGGUUCGAGCUUUUUUGGUUGAAGUUUCUUCACAUAAGCAUCGCAUCCCCAAACUUUAAGAAACGACAACUUAGGUUUCUUGCCAAACCAUAGUUCAUACGGUGUCGUCUCAACGGAUUUAGACGGUUCCCUAUUUAAAGUGAAUGCUGAAGUUUCUAAUGCAUAUCCCCAAAAUGAUAGCGGUAAGUCGGUAAGAGACAUCAUAGAUUGUACCAUAUCUAAUAAAGUGCGAUUACGACAUUCAGACACUCCGUUGUGUUGCGGUGUGCCAAGCGGCGUCAGUUGUGAAACGAUUCCACACUUCCUUAGGUGUGUGCCAAACUCGUGACUCAAAUAUUCUCUUCCACGAUCAGAUCGUAGACACUUAAUUUUUCUGUCACAUUGAUUCUCGACCUCACUCUGAAAUUCCUUGAACUUUUCAAAUGUCUCAGAUUUGUGCUUCAUCAAGUAGAUAUACCCAUACCUACUCAAAUCAUCGGUGAGAGUGAGAACAUAACGAUAGCCACCGCGAGCUUCAACGUUCAUUGGACCACACACAUCAGUAUGUAUUAUUUCCAAUAAGUCGGUUGCUCUCUCCAUUAUUCCUGAGAAUGGAGUCUUAGUCAUCUUGCCCAUGAGGCACGGUUCGCAUGUGUCAAAUGAUUCAAAAUCAAGAGACUCUAAUAGUCCAUCAGUAUGGAGCUUCUUCAUGCGCUUAACGCCGAUAUGACCAAGGCGGCAGUGCCACAAGUAUGUGGGACUAUCAUUAUCAACUUUACAUCUUUUGGUACUCACACUAUGAAUAUGCGUAACAAAACGAUCGAGAUUCAUCAAGAAUAAACCAUUCACCAGCGGAGCAUGACCAUAAAACAUAUCACUCAUAUAAAUAGAACAACCAUUAUUCUUUGACUUAAAUGAGUAGCCGUCUCGCAUUAAGCAAGACCCUGAUAAAAUGUUCAUGCUUAAAGCUGGUACUAAAUAACAAUUAUUAAGGUUUAAAACUAAUCCCGACGGUAGAUGUAGAGGUAGCGUGCCGACGACGAUCACAUCGACCUUGGAGCCAUUCCCGACGCGCAUCGUCACCUCGUCCUUUGCCUAUCUCCGCUUAUUCCGCAGUUCAUGCUUUGAGUUGCAAAUGUGAAAAACAUCACCGGUAUCAAAUACCCAGGAGCUACUACGAGCGCUGGUAAGGUACACAUCAAUAACAUGUAUAUCACAUAUACCUUUAACGUUGCUGGCCUUCUUGUCCGCUAAGUAUUUGGGGCAGUUCCGUUUCUAGUGACCCUUUCCCUUGCAAUAGAAGCACUCAGUCUCAGGCUUGGGUCCAUUCUUUUUCUUCUUCCUGGCAUCUAGCUUACCGGGCGCGGCAACAACUUUGCCGUCUUUCUUGAAGUUCUUCUUACCCUUGCCCUUCUUGAAACUAGUGGUCUUGUUGACCAUCAACACUUGAUGCUCUUUCUUGAUUUCUACUUCUGCAGAUUUGAGCAUCGAGUACAACUUGGGAAUGGUCUUCUCCAUCCCUUGCAUGUUGUAGUUAAGCACAAAGCCUUUGUAUCUUGGUGGGAGAGACUGGAGGAUUCUGUCAAUUAUAGCAUCAUCCGGAAGUUCGACUCCAAGUGAAGUCAGACGACCGUGUAACCCAGACAUUUUGAGUAUGUGCUCACUGACAAAACUGCUCUCCUCCAUCUUACAGCUAAAGAACUUGUCGUAGACUUCAUAUCUCUCGACACAGGCAUGAGGUUGAAAAACUAGCUUCAGCUCUUGGAACAUCUCAUAUGCACCGUGUUGCUCAAAACGCCUUUGGAGCCCCGUUUCUAAACUGUAUAACAUGCCACACCUAACCAGAGAGUAGUCAUCACUCCAUGUUUGCCAGACGUUCAGAAUGUCCUGGGCUGCUGCGGGAGCGGGAGGGUCACCUAGCAGCGCAUCAAGGACAUAAGCCUUUUUAGCUGCUUCAAGGAUGAGCUUCAAGUUGCGAACCCAGUCCGCAUAGUUGCUACCAUCAUCUUUCAGCUUGUUUUUCUCUAGGAAUGCGUUGAAAUUGAGGUUGACAUUGACCAUCUACAAUAUUUAUGAAGACAAUUUUUAGACUAAGUUCAUGACAAUUAAGUUCAUUUAAUCAAAUUAAGUAUGAACUCCCACUUAAAUCGACAUCCCUCUAGUCAUCUAAGUGAUACAUGAUCCAUGUUGACUAACCCGUGUCCGAUCAUCACGUGAGACGGACUAGUCACCAUGGUGAGAAACUUCAUGCUGAUCGUAUUCAACCAUACGACUCAUGUUCGACCUUUUGGUCUCUUGUAUUCGAGGUCAUGUCUGUACAUGCUAAGCUCGUCGAGUCAACCUAGGUGUUUCGCGUGUGUAAAUCUGGCUUACACACGUUGUAUGCGAACGUUAGAAUCUAUCACACCCGAUCAUCACGUGGUGCUUCGAGACAACGAUCCUUCGCAACGGUGCACACUUAGGGGAAUACGUUCUCGAAAUUUUAAGAGGGAUCAUCUUAUUAUGCUACCGUCGUUCUAAGCAAUAAGAUGAAAAACAUGAUAAACAUCACAAUGCAAUCAUAUAGUGACAUGAUAUGGCCAUUAUCAUCUUUGCUCUUUCGAUCUCCAUCUUCAGGCAUCGCAUGAUCAUCAUCGUCACCGGCGUGACACCAUGAUCUCCAUCAUCGUGUCUCCGCGAAGUCGUCACGCCAACUACUACUAUCACUACUACUAUAGCUAAUCGUUAGCAAUGAAGUAAAAGUAGUAAGCACAUGGCGUUGCAUCUCAUACAAUAAAUUAAGACAACUCGUAUGGCUCCUGCCGGUUGUCAUACUCAUCGACAUGCAAGUCGUGAAACCUAUUACAAUAACAUGAUCAUCUCAUACAUCAUACAUGCAACAUCACAACUUUGGCCAUAUCACAUCACAUGUCAAACCCUGCAAAAACAAGUUAGACGUCCUCUAAUUGUUGCUGCAAGUUUUACGUGGCUGAUUUGGCUUUCUAGCAAGAACGCUUUCUUACCUACGUGACAGCCACAACAAUGAUAUGCCAAAGCUAUUUACCCUUCAUAAGGACCCUUUUCAUCAAAUCCAAUCCGACUAGAGUAGGAGAGACAGACACCCGCUAGCCACCUUCAUGCACGGUGUGCAUGUCUGUCGGUAGAACCAGUCUCACGUAAGCGUACGUGUAAGGUUGGUCCGGGCCGCUUCAUCCCACAAUACCGCCGGAAAAGAAUAAGACUAGUAGCGGCAAGCAAUUGACAAAUCAUCGCCCACAACCUUUUGUGUUCUACUCGUGCAUAGAAUCUACGCAUAGAAAACCUGGUUCGGAUGCCACUGUUGGGUAACGUAGCAUAAAUUCAAAACAUUUCCUACGCAUAAUCAGAUCUUCCUAUGGAGAGACCAGCAACGAGAGAGGGGUGAGUGCAUCUUCAUACCUUUGAAGAUCGCUAAGCGGAAGCGUUACUAGAACGCGGUUGAUGGAGUCGUACUCGCGGCGAUUCAGAUCGCGGUGUGAUUCCGAUCUAGUGCCGAACUACGACACCUCCGCGUUCAACACACGUGCAGCCCGGUAAUGUCUCCCGUACCUUGAUCCAGCAAGGAGGAGGGAGAGGUUGGGGAAGAACUCUAGCAGCACGACGGCGUGGUGUCGAUGGAGAGACGAGGUCUCCCGGCAGGGCUUCGCCAAGCACCGGCAGAGAGGAGGAGAAAGAAGGGCAGGGCUGCGCCGAGGGAGAGGCAAAAGUAUGUUCUCCAAUGGCCAAAAGUGCCCACUAUAUAUAGGGGGGAGGGGCUGCGCCCCCUUGAGGGUUUCCCUCUCCUGGGGGGGGGGAGCCCUAGAUGGGGCUGGUGCGGUGGCCAAGGGGGGAGGAGGGGUGGCGCACCCCUCUGGUGGGCCUUAGGCCCACCUACGCUAGGGUUUCCCCCCCUCCUCCCCUCUUCCUGAGCCAUGUGCUGAGUGGGGGGCGGCACCAGCCCACCUAGGGGUUGGUUCCCUACCCCRACUUGGCCCAUCUAGCCUCCCGGGGUCGUUGCCCCCCUUCCGGUGGACCCCCGGGGUCCACCUCCGGUGGUCCUGGUGGUCCCGGUACGUUACCGGUGACUGCCCGAAACACUUUCGGUGUCCGAAACCAUCCGUCCUAUAUAUCAAUUGAAAGGACGUGGAUGUCGCCGUAGAGGGGGGGGGUGGAAUAGGCGCUUUAAAAUAGUUAAGGUUUAGGCUUGAACAAAUGCGGAAUAAAACUAACAUUUAAUAUGUCAAGCACAAAACCUCAAACAACUAGGCUCACCUAUGUGCACCAACAACUUAUGCUAAGCAAGAUAAACAACUAAGUGAUAGCAAGAUAUAUGACAAGAGACAAUAUGGCUAUCACAAAUUAAAGUGCAUAGGUAAAGGGUUCGGGUAAGAGAUAACCGAGGUACGCGGAGACGAUGAUGUAUCCCGAAGUUCACACCCUUGCGGAUGCUAAUCUCCGUUGGAGCGGUGUGGAGACACAAUGCUCCCCAAGAUGCCACUAAGGCCACCGUAAUCUCCUCACGCCCUCGCACAAUGCAAGAUGCCGUGAUUCCACUAAGGGACCCUUGAGGGCGGUCACCGAACCCGUACAAAUGGCAAACCUUGGGGGCGGUCACCGAACCCAUACACGUGGCAACCCUUGGGGGCGGUUACCGGUACCCGUACAAAUUGCUCGGGGCAAUCUCCACAACCUAAUUGGAGACCCCGACGCUUGCCCGGAGCUUCACACCACAAUGAUUGAGCUCCGAGACACCACCAAGCUUCUAGGACGCCAAAGCAUCCGCGAAGAACAAUAUCUAGGGUACUAAGUACCAAAGGUAAUAAGCUUCUCAAACUUCACUUCCACGUAUCACUGUGGAGAACUCAAACCAAUGCAACUAAUGCAAUGGCAAGAACACACGAAGUGGUCAAGUCCCUCACACUCAAAUCCCUCCACAACAACGAAAGCUAUAGAUAAAUAUGAGAGGAAGAACAAGGAGCUCACAAAGAACUCCAAGAUCAAGAUCCAAGGGGUUCCCCUCACAUAGAGGAGAAAGUGAUUGGUGGAGAUGUGGAUCUAGAUCUCCUCUCUCUUUUCCCUCAAGAACAAGCAAGAAUCAUUGGAGGGAUUGAGAGUAAGCAAGCUCUAAGAAUGUCAACAAUGGAGGUAGAACAAGAGCUCAACGGAUGGAUAAGACCAAGGGGGAAGAAGACCCCAUUUAUAUAGUGGGGGAAGGAAUCAGACCGUUACCCCCACUUACAGCCCGAGCCCAGCGGUACUAUCGCUGGCUCCAGCGGUACUACCGCUGACCCUCCAGCGGUACUACCGCUGGCUGCAGCGGUACUACCGCUGAGCCCAUGGUAGCGCAAAGAUACUACCGGGCCAACCACCGCCAAGAAAGUCUUCGCAAAAAUGUCCGACACUGUACAACCGCAAAGAUGACGGUACUAAAAACUUGGAGCGGUACUACCGCUGGCCAGGGGCGGUACUACCGCUGGGACAGCGGUACUACCGCCAGCUCUAGCGGUACUACCGCUCGCCACUGAAACAUCCAUAACUUUCGCAUACGAGCUCCGAAUCGAGCAAACCCAAGCUUGUUGGAUUCAGGACGACAAGAGCAAACCCAAGCCUGCCCCUUCAACUGGAAUGUUGCAAAUUUGACGAAAUCCUAAGGACGCACAUUGCUACACUCGAAAUGCUUGUUAAUAUCACGGAUCCAGUCCUCUGCAUCAAAUGGCUGGUCGCAAGAAGUGAAAGUCUUUGGCUGGUUCGACAGGAACUGACUCAGACUCGCAAACUGAUUGCCACCAUGCUGGAAAUUGCCUUGCUGCUGAUUGGCUGUCUCUUGCCAGGCCUCUGCAGGAGGAGGCGGCGGCGGCGGAGGAUUCUCCGAAAGAGGAGGUGGAGGCGGCAUAUCCUCACGCCCUGGGUUCUGACGAGUUGGUGGAGCCAUCCUGAAGACGAACAACAUAUUAGCCCACAGAAUAACUUAAAGAUAUUGUUGAAUCAAAAGACAGGAAUAAGCAAUUGCACUCGAACAAAAUAGUACGAAUGCUCCCUCAAAGUGACGGACGACAAAAUUCUGAUUAAGACCACUGCAAACAAGUAUGAGCUAGAACUGCUCGGAACAAACAUAUGGUCGAGAUUUCCCCAACCUCAAUCAUGCAUAUGUAGGAAGAUAGUACUAUAAGAUACUACUUGAUAUCCCACCUAUGAAUUCCCAAAAUAACUGGUCAUGCAAUCUGGUACACGGAUACAAGGAGUAAUAUCACACAACUCCUAUACUAACCCGUCACCUGUAUCACAUCCGUCAACACACAACCAGCAUCUCGGACCUUCAUCUACAACAGACCCUCGUGAUCACAACGAUACUAAGUAUGGCAGUACUCCCGAACAAUCUGCACUAGUACUGGGGACAUCGGGGUUAUCUCGCCACUACCAGUAUUGAAGCAAUAACGAACAUCCUUCGUUCUUAGAUACUCAGAAAUCUGAAUGAUGGCAAUGUGCGCAAGAAUCCCCUGGAGCUCAACUCCCCGGAAGAAAUCAAAGCAGACAGCAGGCACCAAGACAGGACUCCGUCACAUCGAAAUCAUAUAGAUUUCACAAAUACCCGCGUGAUCCUAAAAAAAAUUGAGCGAGAAAAGGAGUAGAAUUAAAGAUUUCCUAAGUCGGGAACCUCACCAGAGCAUGGAAGAGGAGAAAAAAUAAUCCUGCUCUCCGAUAUAACUAAGACUCAAAACAUUUUCUAGACUCGACUCGGCCAAGUACGAUCACUCAAAGACUUCUAUGGUCGUAAGGCUCUGAUACCAACUUGUAACGACUAAGAUGCGGUCCUUUCCGAUCUGGGGAUCGAGUCCCCGAAUUGGAAAGGAGCGCAUAUAAGCGUCUCGCAAACAAGGUAUCAUAGCACAUAUAUAAUAAUAACAGAUUAACAAUCAGGGGUUCAACUGCCAUCUCAUAAAUAUAUCAGAGUACAUCACGCAUACAAUCAAAGUAGUUCCGCUACGGACUACAAAACAAGGAAAAUGGCUAUACUACCCUGCCUGCUGGCCCAUGAUCACGACCACGCCUCAAUCUUCUGGAUAGUUCACGUACAAGCGGUCGUUCUCCUCAUCGUACUGCCACGCCAGCUGCGUGCCCUCGGGAUCACCUAUCUUUGGGGUACCUGAACUUGUUGGUGUUGUGAAGGAAUUUGUGAGCCACGGGGACUCAGCAAUCUAUGACCUCGGUGCCAGAACUAAUCAAGUUAUUAGGUUGGAUAGGGUAGAGUGUUUAAGGUUGCAGCAUCCUAAGCUUGAUAUGGUGGCUAACUUACGUAGAACAUUUAUGAAGGUGGUCUAUACUAGCGGUCAAGAAUACUUGAUCACUAAGUGAUCCUGAACACCUACCUACGUCAUUCAUAACCCCACCGUGUUCCCGAUCGAAGAGAGAUCUUCGAGGGGACAAUCACGGUUACGCACACAGUUGGCAAUUUUAUUAGCUUAUGUUUAAGUUAUCUAUUACUGGAUGUUAACAAAAUAUUCCAAGUUACCACAUAACCGCGGGCACGGCUUUCUGAAAGAUUAAACCCUGCAGGGGUGCUCCAACUAGUCCAUCACAAACGUACACAAGCCGAAAGUAAUCCUCUAUCACGAAUCUCGUGAUCUCGUCGGAUUCCUUAAAGGCAAACCUCAACUCUGGGGAGACCCAAAGCUUCACUGGGAUUCCUAUACGCAAGAUAUAUCGCUAAGGUAAGACAAGACUAGCAGGACCUCCCAUCGUGUCGACGACCCUGAUAAGAGCCACGUAUCUCAGUCUCAGGAAACGACGGAUGAGCUAGACGUCGGGAUGGCUAAACCUCUGGGUGACCAGUGGGGCCCCAGACAUCGCUCAAGUGGGACCAACACUCAUGAGGAGCACUCGCCCGGGUUGUUGAUUAAAUUCCUCGGGGUAGCUAUUCCCUAUGCAGAUUAUUAUUAAGUGAUUAGCAGAUUAAAAUCAAUGUUGGGUCCUGCUGGACAAGUCUUAACACUACGUGAUUUAUCGAGGGGGUCCCCAUAACAACCCCGAACGUGUUAGGAGCGAUCAAUAUGGAAUCAAACACCGGUAGCCGGUAACUAUGGCGGCAAUAACGGGACAAAGCACCCGGCAAAAGGCUAGGCCUUCCGUUAUUUACCAAGUAUAUAGGUGCAUUAAUUAAAUAACAGAAUUAAAAUAAUUAUAUCAAGCUCAUGUUAUCACAUGAGACAAGCACCUGCAUCUAGCAACGCUAACAUUAGUAGCUGAGCAAGCCUACUUAGCCAUUCAAGUUUGCUAGGAAGGGACAUGUGUUUGGUUUCAUGGCAUAACAAGAGGCAAAUAUUUCAGUGGUAGGCAGCGAGCAUAUGAAAAGGAAACAUAAUCUAGCAUAACAAGUCUAGAGAUGGAAUCAAGGUCAUAUCAUCUUGCCUGUGAUAUCCUCAGCUUGGAAUGGUUCUUGUUUGUCCCGCACGUACUCUCCUGAAUCCAUGUACUCGUUCUCCAAUCCCAGUGCUAUCCAACAUAAGAAUAACAUCCAAUGAACAACAGCACCUCAAGAUGCAACAAGCACAUGAUUCAUGAGAUGAAUAUGAGCAUGCAUCACUAUUUCUAUCACUAACAGAAGCAUAAAGAGUGAAUACAUGUUCCUGGACAGAACUGCAUCCUAAGCUAUUUUUACAUGCAUGAGAAUGACAUGAUCAGAUGCGUCUCGAGAAAACGAUGGAAAAACAUAUAAAGAACAUUACAAUCGGAGCUACGGAUCAACGGGAAUCAACGAAACAAGAUAUGAAGCCCUACGUGUCAAAAUCAUCACCACACACUCAAAUGGCACAACUCUGGUAUUUCCAGGUUGCCAAGACAUAAAACAAACCAACAUGUAUGGGGUGGAGCAAAGAAGAACACCACAACAUCAACUAAGCAUUCACAAACCUCAAAAUGACAAAACUACACAAUCUGCCAUAAACUGCAUCAUAGCACUUUGUGAGCUACAUGCAAAGCACCUACAGCCACCCAAAUAUGACAAAUAAUAUAUGUGGAUGUAGCUAUCCAAGAAUACUACAAUCACAAGCAAUAAUCACACAAAAAGUAAUUAAACACAGAAAGUUACAAGGCUGCAAACUUGCCCAAAAUAUCAGUUUUCAGGGACUUAGUGAAAAUUCCAGAUUCUCACUUUUUGUCUAUGCUCUGAAGCAUUUUUACAGCAGCCAAAACAAUAUAUACAGGAAUCUAAAUGGCAUGAAAUUUUACAGGGAGCUAUACAAACAUAUCAGCUCCAACUUUCCAGUUGAAAGCUAAGGCUAGAUCACAACACAUUCACCUGCACAACCUCAUCAACACGAGAAGAAAAUAUAAACAGAUUCUCAGACUUAGUGAAAAACUCAGAUUUUCACUAAUCUGGAAUUUACAGCCACAUGCCCACUUUGUCUAGGCACAACUUGCACACAAGAUACACUAAGAGAGAAAUGACACCAACAUGAUAUAGAGAUGAACACCUACUACUACCACACAAGAAAUCAUGCCCUUGGGCUCAUCCUAUACCAUGGAAACAAGGAGCAAACUUGGAAACAAUCUGAAUAUGUCAUCUCCAGAAAGUGUCCCAAUGGCAAAACUAACUUCACCACUUGAUUCCUUGGGAGAUUCUACCCCAAAAUCGUAUAUAAUAUGUAGGCACUUACUUGGAACAAGUGACCACAAACUAGGAAGGAAGAAUCUACAAGAAAUCAUACAUGGUGAAUAGUGCAACAUUUCAUGUGCUAUUCACUAGAUCAACUCCUACAUAGCUACUAGUUCACGUGCCCAAUAACAAUAGUGACAUGAGGGUUUUGACCCCAUGUAUGUGUCAUGCACAUCAACACCACAAGCUCAUUUACCAAGUUGAUCACACACGCACAAGACAUCAUGCCCUUUCACAUAUGGUCAUGUGGAGGUGCAUAAAUGUUUUGCAAAGGUGGGGCUGAUCCACACCCCUACUACCAAGCUCUUGUUCAACACACAAAAUGCAAGGCAUCUAAGUAAGCAAAAUGAUCAUGGAGCAUCAACACAUAUAUCUAUACAUCUAUUAAUGCCACAUGUGCCAAACUCAUGUGUGUGUGUGGUACUCAAAUACACACACCACAAUAACACAUGCACAAAUACACAACUAGCUACUCUUCACAAGUAUGUAUAGGCACCUACACCUACAUCACAUGAUAACACCCACAUAUACACACACAACCAUGUAUGCAUAUAUCCACACAUGCACAAAGCACAUCUACCAAGUAUAUGCACAACACACACACAUACACUCUGCCACCACCACUACUAGCAGGAAAAAGAUAUAACCAGGUUUACUUUUAAUGCCUAUUGGUUAGGCACAAGAAGUAGAAAGAUCUAAUCAAGGAAUAAACAAAGAAAAAGGGAAAAAAAAUAAAGUGGAGAGGCCUGGGAUUCUAACCCAGGGCAUCUGCCUCACUCCUACAGAGCCCAACCACCACACUACUACCACUGUGUUCGACAGAGUGAGGGGAUCCAGCAAGGUAACUUGUCCCUGGUGCUACUGUGCCGAAGCAAAUACAAAAAUAAAAAGGAUGCCGAGGGGGGGACUCGAACCCACGCCCUCCUGACAGGCAACAACACACACUACCACUGGGCUACGAAGCGGCUACUGAUAGAAGGAGGGGAUCUAACUAGGCAUACAAGCAAAACACCUGGUACUCUGCUCUGCACGCUGGCGAUAGGGAGGACGCCGUAGCAGAACUACUGCUGCUGCUGCCCACGAAGGGUUACACUACCUAUCCAACGGAGCACUACGAGGGGGAACUGGGGAAGGAACCCCUGCUACACCACACACACAGGCACGAGCCCAUCCUACCUACUGCAUCACAACAUCAAGGCCCUGCUGCCGAACUACUACAGACAGAGAGGCACGGCGAGCGCCACGGCGGAUCUAGCCCGAACCUAGGGAAGAAGAAAGGGGGUGAUGCUCCUCACCUUGGGGAAGGAAGCAGAGGAACCAAUCGGAGCAGAGGGCGAUGGAGAGGAAGAAGAUCGACGACGAAGACGCUCCUGGAUGCAGAACCGAAGCAGAACGAAGGGGCUCUGGGUCCGCAGCGAAGACGAGCUACUAGUCGAUGGUGAGGACGCUCCUCGACCUCACCGAGGAAAAAAAUGGGGCGCGAGCACCAUCCCCGUGCCCCUGGACAUGGCCGCCGGCGCUGGAUGACGAAGAGGACGACGAUCGACAGCGUGGAACUUCUGUGUCCUAACUACAGAGCUUACCAGGAGGGGGAAAAGAGAGAAGGAAGGCGACGGCGGUGCACUGGAGGAAAGAGAGGGAAACCUAGGGAAGGAGGAGGGGUCCCUGCGACUUAUAUCGCCUCGGGGAGACGCUAGAGCAACAUGAUCGAGGCCAUGGAGAAUCGGUGGAGGAGGGGGAGUCAUACAGUAGCUGACGUCGUGAGGAGGAAGAGAGGGUCGCGCGGUGGGCUACUGCACAGGAGAGGAGGAGAAGAUGGGCCACCAGAGCGGGAGGAAGCCGACUUAGGCGCCACAUAGAGAGAAAACAGCCCCUGGACUAUUACCUAUUUAAUUAAACACAGAGAAAAGAAAAAGGUCUACAGGGCUAACUAUAGCAGAUAAAAUUCAAGCAAAAAAUGGCCCUGGACCUGAAAAUAAAUAAGCUACUUGAAUAAAAUACUAAAGGAAUUUUUGGGGCAAUCUAAAUAAGUACAACAUAGUAUUAUAGUUGUUGUUUUGUGUUUAUUUUGCACCUUUAGAACACUAUUCAAAACCCCAUAUUUAGCACCCCCAAUAUACCCACAUUAUUUCCUAAACAAAAGAAAUUUUAAAAGCAGGUUAGGCUCAAGUGGAAUUUUGAACUUGGGAAUAAAAGAGAGAAAGGGGUUUGCAACCCAAAGGGGUUUGAAGGAAAGAACCACCACACCACUACUACACACCCCAUCACCUCAUGAGCAUCACCACAUGAAAUCACAAGAUCACAUCCACCAAGAUAUGUGCACACUGUUGGGGAACGUCGCAUGGGAAACAAAAAUUUCCUACGCGCACGAAGACCUAUCAUGGUGAUGUCCAUCUACGAGAGGGGAUGAGUGAUCUACGUACCCUUGUAGAUCGUACAGCAGAAGCGUUAGUGAACGCGGUUGAUGUAGUGGAACGUCCUCACGUCCCUCGAUCCGCCCCGCGAACAAUCCCGCGAUCAGUCCCACGAUCUAGUACCGAACGGACGGCACCUCCGCAAUCAGCACACGUACAGCUCGACGAUGAUCUCGGCCUUCUUGAUCCAGCAAGAGAGACAGAGAGGUAGAAGAGUUCUCCGGCAGCGUGACGGCGCUCCGGAGGUUGGUGAUGACCUUGUCUCAGCAGGGCUCCGCCCGAGCUCUGCAGAAACGCGAUCUAGAGGAAAAACCGUGGAGGUAUGUGGUCGGGCUGCCGUGGAAAAAGUCGUCUCAAAUCAGCCCUAAAACCUCCGUAUAUAUAGGUGGGAGGGAGGGGAGGAGGCAUCCUCAAAACCUAAAGGUUUGGCCGAAAUUGGAGGUGGAGGAGUCCUACUCCAAUCCUACUUGGAGUAGGAUUCCACCUUCCCACUUGGAAACUCUUUCCACCUUGUGUUUUUUCCUUCUCAAACCUUAUGGGCCUUAGUGGGAACUUAUUCCAGCCCACUAGGGGCUGGCUUAUCUCUUCCCAUAGCCCAUGAGACCCCUUGGGGCGUGACACCCCUCCCGAUGGUCCCCGGCACCCCUCCCGGCACUCCCGGUACACUACCGAUGAGCCCGAAACUUUUCCGGUAAUGCACGAAAACCUUCCGGUAACCAAAUGAGGUCAUCCUAUAUAUCAAUCUUCGUUUCCGGACCAUUCCGGAAACCCUCGUGACGUCCGUGAUCUCAUCCGGGACUCCGAACAACAUUCAGUAACCAACCAUAUAACUCAAAUACGCAUAAAACAACGUCGAACCUUAAGUGUGCAGACCCUGCGGGUUCAAGAACUAUGUAGACAUGACCCGAGAGACUCCUCGGUCAAUAUCCAAUAGCGGGACCUGGAUGCCCAUAUUGGAUCCUACAUAUUCUACAAAGAUCUUAUCGUUUGAACCUCAGUGCCAAGGAUUCAUAUAAUCCCGUAUGUCAUUCCCUUUGUCCUUCGGUAUGUUACUUGCCCGAGAUUCGAUCGUUAGUAUCCGCAUACCUAUUUCAAUCUCGUUUACCGGCAAGUCUCUUUACUCGUUCCGUAAUACAAGAUCCCGCAACUUACAUUAAGUUACAUUGCUUGCAAGGCUUGUGUGUGAUGUUGUAUUACCGAGUGGGCCCCGAGAUACCUCUCCGUCACACGGAGUGACAAAUCCCAGUCUCGAUCUAUACUAACUCAACGAACACCUUCGGAGAUACCUGUAGAGCAUCUUUAUAGUCACCCAGUUACGUUGCGACGUUUGAUACACACAAAGCAUUCCUCCGGUGUCCGUGAGUUAUAUGAUCUCAUGGUCAUAGGAACAAAUACUUGACACGCAGAAAACAGUAGCAACAAAAUGACACGAUCAACAUGCUACGUCUAUUAGUUUAGGUCUAGUCCAUCACAUGAUUCUCCUAAUGAUGUGAUCCCAUUAUCAAGUGACAACACUUGCCUAUGGCCAGGAAACCUUGACCAUCUUUGAUCAACGAGCUAGUCAACUAGAGGCUUACUAGGGACAGUGUUUUGUCUAUGUAUCCACACAAGUAUUGUGUUUCCAAUCAAUACAAUUAUAGCAUGGAUAAUAAACGAUUAUCAUGAACUAAGAAAUAUAAUAAUAACUAAUUUAUUAUUGCCUCUAGGGCAUAUUUCCAACAGUCUCCCACUUGUACUAGAGUCAAUAAUCUAGUUCACAUCACCAUGUGAUUCCAACGAAUCCAACACCCAUAUAGUUAUGGGGUCUGAUCACGUCUUGCUCAUGAGAGAGGUUUUAGUCAACGGUUCUGAAACUUUCAGAUUCGUGUGUUCUUUAUGCCAUCUUAUAGAUGUUGCUACUACGUGCUAUUCGGAAAUGCUCCAAAUAUCUACUCUACUAUACGAAUCCGUUUCACCACUCAUAGUUAUCUGGAUUAGUGUCAAAGCUUGCAUUGACGUAACCCUUUACGACAAACUCUUUAACCACCUCCAUAAUCGAGAAAAAUUCCUUAGUCCAUUAGUUACUAAGGAUAAAUUUCGACCGCUGCUAGUGAUUCAAUCAUGGAUCACUCUCUGUACCUCUCAACAUACUUUGAGUCAAGGCACACUUCAGGUGCGGUACACAGCAUGGCAUACUUUAGAUUCUACGGCUAAGGCAUAGAAGACGACCUUCGUCUAUUCUCUUUAUUCUGCCGUGGUCGGGCUUUGAGUCUUACUAAAAUUCACACCUCACAACGCAACCAAGAACUCCUUUGCUGGUAUAUUUUGAACUCUUUCAAAAACUUGUCAAGGCAUGCAUCUUGUUGAAACUUCUAUUAAGCGCUUUCGAUCUAUCUCCAUAGAUAUUUGAUGCUCAACGUUCAAGUAGCGUAAUCCAGGUACUCCUUUGAAAACUUCUUUCAAACAACCUUGUAUGCUUUACAGAAAUUCUACAUUACUUCUGAUCCACAAUAUGUCAACCACAUAUACCUAUCAGAAAUUCUAUAGUGCUCCCACUCACUUCUUUGGAAAUACAAGUUUCUCAUAAACCUUGUACAAACCCAAAAUCUUUGAUCAUCUCAUCAAAGUGUAUAUUCCAACUCCGAGAUGCUUGCACCAGUCCAUUGAAGGAUCACUGGAGCUUGCAUACUUGCUAGUAUCUUUAGGAUCGACAAAACCUUCUGGUUGUAUCACAUACAAUGUUUGCUCAAGGAAACCGUCGAGAAAACAAUGUUUCGACAUCCUACGUGCAAUAUUUCAUAAAUAAUGCAUUAACAACUAACAUAAUUCUAACAGACUUUUAGCAUCGCUAUGAGUGAGAAAGUCUCAUCAUAGUCAACUGUUUGAUCUUAUCGAAAACAUCUUUGCGACAAGUCGAGCUUUUCUUAAUAGUGACUUAUCACCAUCAUUGUCUGUCUUCUUUUAAAGAUCCAUUUUUACUCAAUAGUCCUAUGACCAUCAAGUAGUUCUACCAAAGUCUACACUUUGUUUUCACACAUGGAUCCUCUCUCGGAUUUCAUGGCUUCCAGCCAUUUGUCGGAAUCUGGGCCCACCAUCGCUUUCUUCAUAACUCGUAGGUUCACUGUUGCUCAACAACAUGACCUCCAAGACAGGGUUACCGUACUACUCUGCAGCAGUACGCGACCUUGUCGACCUACAAGGUUUGUAGUAACUUGAUUCGAAGCUCAAUGAUCAUCAUCAUCAGCUUCCACUUCAAUUGGUGUAGGCGCCACAUGAACAACUUCCUGCGCCCUGCUACACACUGGUUGAAGUGAUGGUUCAGUAACCUCAUCAAGUUCUACUACCCUCCCACUCAAUUCUUUCGAGAGAAACCUUUCCUCGAGAAAGGAUCCGUUUCUAGAAACAAACACUUUGCUUUCGGAUCUGAGAUAGGAGAUGUACCCAACUGUUUUGGAUAUCCUAUGAAGAUGCAUUUAUCCGCUUUGGGUUCGAGCUUAUCAGACUGAAACUUUUUCACAUAAGUGUCGAAACCCCAAACUUUCAAGAAACGACAGUUUAGAUUUCUCUAAACCUCAGUCUAUACUGUGUCAUCUCAACGGAAAUACGCGGUGCCCUAUUUAAAGUGAGUGUGGUUGUCUCUAAUGCAUAACCCAUAAACGAUAAUGGUAAUUCGAUAAGAGACAUCAUAGUAUGCACCAUACCAAAUAGUGCGUGGCUAUGACGUUCAGACACAUCAUCACACUAUGAUGUUCCAGGUGGCAUGAACUGCGAAACAAUUUCCACAUUGUCUUAACUGUGUACCAAAACUCGUAACUCAGAUAUUCAUUUCCAUGAUCAUAUCGUAGACAGUUUAUCCUCUUGUUAUGACGAACUUCACUCUGAAACGGAAUUGAACUUUUCAACAUUUUAGACUUGUGAUUCAUUAAGUAAAUACUCCUGUAUCUACUCAAAUCGUCAGUGAAGUAAGAACAUAAUGAUAUCCACUGUGUGCCUCAGCACCCAUUGGACUGCAUACAUCAAAAUGUAUCACUUCCAACAAGUUACUAUCUUAUUUCAUCUCAAUGAAAACAAGGCCUUGCUCAUGUGGUAUGAUUCGCAUGUCACUAGUGAUUCGAAAUCAGGUGAGUACAAAGAUCCAUCAGCAUGGAGCCUCUUCAUGCAAUUUAUACUAACAUGACUCAAGCGGCAGUGCCACAAGUAAGUGGUACUAUCAUCGUCAACUCGUAUCUUUUGGCACCAAUAUCAUGAACAUGUGUAACACUACGAUCGAGAUUCAAUAAACCAUUGAAGGUGAUUAUUCAAGAAAAUAGAGUAACCAUUAUUCUCUUUAAAUGAAUAAUCGUAUUGCAAUAAACACGAUCCAAUCAUGUCCAUGCUUAACACAAGCACCAAAUAACAAUUAUUUAGGUUUAACACCAAUCCCGAUGGUAGAGGGAGCGUGCGACGUUUGAUCAUAUCAAUCUUGGAAACACUUCCAACACGUAUCGUCACCUCGCCUUUAGCUAGUCUCCGUUUAUGCCGUAGCUUUCAUUUCGCGUCACUAAUCACUUAGCAACCGAACCGGUAUCCAAUACCCUCGUGCUACUAGGAGUACUAGUAAAGUACACAUCAACAUCAUGUAUAUCAAAUACACUUCUUUCGACUUUUGCCAGCCUUCUUAUCUACCAAGUAUCUUGAGUUGCUCCGCCUCAGUGAUUGUUCCCCUCAUUACAGAAGCACUUAGUCUCGGGUUUGGGUUUAAUCUUGGGUCUCUUCAUUAGUGCAGCAACUGUUUUGCCGUCUCACGAAGUAUCCCUUCUAGCCCUUGCCUUUCUUGAAACUUAGUGGUUUUACAAACCAUCAACUAUUGAUGCUCCUUCUUGAUUUCUACUUUCGCAGUGUCAAACAUCGCGAAUCGCUCAAGGAUCAUUGUAUGUAUCCUUGAUAUGUUAUAGUAUGCAUGCAUGCAAGGGAGACAAAAAUAAGAGACACAUGAAAUCAUACAUGCAAAAGGACUCUCUCAUAUCAAUGUCAAUGUGGACCCACAAAGAUAGGUACCAAAUAGGGAAGGUUUACACUUGGGGCAUUACACUCCUAGAUUGGUUAGGUGUCUCUUGGGAGCCUCCUACUUCGUGUUGUGGAGUUGAACCAAGAUGUUUUCAAGGGCAAGGAAAUCACCUACUUCGUUAAGAUCUACCAUGAGUAAGGCUAGUCCUCCGUGGACGGAAGCCGUGGUGGAAUAGACAAAGCUGCUUCUUUGUGGACCCUUUGUGGGUGGAGCCCUCCGUGGACUCCCGCAGUCGUUACCCUCCGUGGGUUGAAGUCUCCACUAUCAUGGACGUACGAUAGUUCCACCUAUCAUAACCAUGCCAAAAAUCGUCGUGUCAACCUCAUGCAUUUGAUUUCCCUACCUUACUCAUUUACUUUACACUUGCAUGUUUUACUUUCUGCUCCUACACUCUUAGAACUGCAUGUGUAGGGUUUACUUGACUUGCCUUAACUGCCAAAUAUGCCCCUCAACUAAAAUUGGGAAAAUGCAUAAUUUUUAUCUUGUCAAGUAGUCUAAUCACCCGCUAGACAUACUUUCGAUCCUACACCAUGGAUCUCCUAAAUGAGUUGUGAAUCACUAUGAACAUCUGAUUAUGACUUACAACAUGAAGGAACAUGGCAACUUUCUCUUCCUCAGAGGUGUUGGGUUCUAUCUUGUAGCAGCCCCUUGUUCCUAAAUGUCUCCACAAGCUUGGAAAAAGGUGAUCUUAGUAUUUGAAGCAUGUUCAUAGUCUCUAUGUCAUUGCAGUUCUAGAUGUAGUUCAGAUUCGUUAUCGUGUCCCUAUCUUCGAGUAAUAGUGGACAUAUGGAUGAAAAGCUUAUCACUCUGAGGAACAACUCUUUGUGGACCAACAUAGCCCGUGACUGAAUCACACUUUGAGUGUUGUUGCAUGAACAACCAGUUUCAUCGGUUUGUAUAUAUAACUACCUAAUGGAGACAUCGAUGGUGUGGUAAGCAAUGGCAAAAUUGAUCCUAGACCGUACCCAGUGGCCUAAUAGAGAGGGUUUUCAUGUUGCUUACCCCCUUUGGAGCCGAGGAUCCUCCCAUGGUGGAGACAUGAAGGACGAGACGAAGUCAAAGAUAGAAGGGAGACGCGGGUCCUGCUACCGGAGAUUGAAGUCGCCGUCGACGACCGUGGCAAGAACUAGGGAUGGGUCUGUCCUAGCGCUAGAGGUGAGUGGGUGAAUGGGGGUGAUGCUAGAUUUCAUGACAUCCCUGGAGCACAGAUAUUCGUCUCGCGCCAUCUCCACCCCAUUUUCCUUGCAUCGAUGCAUACUCCAUGCACCCCUUUGCGCUCGACUUAGCCUGGCUCGCUGGAAAUGACUGAUUCGAGUAUUCUUACCAAGCUAGGCUUUGGGCUGCUUGUAAGGUCGGUGUGCCUGUGAGCCAAGCCCACGUGUAUGCUACCAAACAUGUUUUAACAACCCCCUACUGUCCAAACCACUCCAUAAAUUCGUUCAUACAAGAUGACAGUGUCCGGCCUAGGGGUCUCUGACCACGUCGGUUCCCGUCUUAGUGGCCUGAGUUGAGGACUCCUAGGUCGGUUCCGUCCUCGGCCACAUUGGGCGAUCGAUGAUGUACUAUUUGAAGACUUUGGAAGACGUAUAAGUCAAAGAUAUCGGAGUCAUGAGGUCUCUACAUCCACCUAUGUUGCCGACUAGGAUCUGUAGGCCUAGGACCACCGUUGUUUUAUGUAAGAUGGGGGCCGGGUUUGUUAGUUGACACAUUACAAUCCCUUGGUAUUCAUUUGUACUUUGUACACAACCCAAUCGCAAUAUAUAUGAGCAUGAGUAGGAUAUUAUCCCCAUGUUGCGAGCCGAAACCUGGGUAAAACCUUUCCUCAUAUGUUACCAUCUAGCCAAAUUGCCUAGCUGGGAUACCCUAUCGAGGGGUGUGCCGGAUUUAGCUUCGACAUAUGAACUGCGUGUGAUGCAACGAGCAACAGGUGGCUCUUGUACAGUCGAUUGUUGGAGCCGAAGGAGGCGGUCAGCCAGUACAAAACCUCUUCCACUCUCAUGUAUGAUCCAGUGCUAUGUUUUUAUUUAGAUAAAUUUACAUUAUUUUUGGGGAUUUGGUGCAAUAUGCCACACAUCAUGCUUCAUUCGGGUCGUCUAAAAUCCUACCCACCUUGUUCGGUUGCUACCUUAUUUUGCAUGUGUAUUUUGGUCAUAGUUCACUUGGAUGGUUGCCCAAAAUAUGGUAUGCGUGGCACGGGAAUAUGUUAAAAUCACUUCCCGUCAACGCUUCUCAUGUCAUGAAGGCCCAAGGGAUAGCGAGGCGGUGAAACCAUGUUGGGCCAGUGGCGAAGGUAGCCAAGAUCUUAUGCGAGCACUAGUGGAAAACGGGCCUUUGGCCUGGACCCUUUAGUCCCGGCCUCCAUCUGGGCCGGGACUAAAGGCCCGGCCACGUCGCCCCAAAAUAGCAAUGCUGCCCAUGAGGCUUUGGUCCCGGCCCGUAAGGAGCCUUUAGUCCCGGUUUGUGUCUCAAACCGGGACUAAAGGGCUACGCGGUGUGCAGCCCACAUGUGCGCCACCUUUAGUCCCGGUUUGUGUCUCAAACCGGGACUAAAAUCCUCUGCCUAUAUAUAUUGGCCACAGCCCCCCUCUCCCCUCUUUCUUACAUUUUUCUUGGAUGGAAGAGUGUGGGUGUGUGCUAGCUCUCCAUUUUUCUUGGAUGCACUAGAGGUGUUUGUUGAAAUGUGUGUUAGAGCGAUGCCGCUUCAGUUCACCGAACACAACUACGAUAUGAGAUGCCCGAGCCAUGCUUAAACCUCUUCCUCUUUAUUUCUACUUAUUCUAAAAGAUUAGCAACUAUAUUUCCUCGUUUAGACCGUGCGGUACUAAUUUUUAGGAUCGUGAUUGUAUUUGAUAUACUGUCGUAUAACGCAGAUGAGCCAUCCAUGGAUGUCCGGUGAUCGACGCACAGCAGCUUACAGAGAAGGCGUCCAUUCUUUUCGAGAUGCAGCCGAUGCAAACAAGCAUGGUGGUGGCUAUAUGUUUUGUCCAUGUGUUGAAUGUCGGAAUGAGAAGGAUUACACUUCCUCAAGAGUCAUUCAGAGCCACCUGCUUCGGUCCGGUUUUAUGUCGGGCUAUAAUGUUUGGACCAAGCACAGAGAAAGAGGGGUUAUGAUGGAAGGCGACGAUGAAGAAGAAGAGAACGAUGAUGACAACUACUAAUCUAUGUUCCCUGAGUAUGCUGAUACCGCAAUGGAAUACAAUGAAGAAGAAGAUCAGGAUGAAGAACGGGAACCAGAUGAGCCCGCUGAUGAUCUUGGCCGGGUCAUUUCUGAUGCACGGCGAGGUUGCGACACAGAAAAGAGAGGUUGCAGUUCGAGCAGAUGUUACAGGACCACAACAAAUUGUUGUACCCAAUUUGUGAAGAUCGCCAGAAGAAGCUGGGUAGCACACUGGAAUUGCUGAAGUGGAAGGCAGAGACCGGUGUGACUGACUCGUCAUUCGAAAAGUUGCUGGUACUGAUGAAGAAGAUGCUUCCAAGAAAGAACGAAUUGCCCGCCAGCAUGUACGAAGCAAAGAAGCUUGUCUGCCCUCUAGGAUUAGACGUGCAGAAGAUACAUGCAUGCCCUAAUGACUGCAUCCUCUACCGCGGUGAGAAGUACGAGAAUAUGGAUAAAUGCCCAGUAUGCACUGCAUUGCGGUAUAAGAUCAGAAAAGAUGACCCUAGUGAUAUUGAGGGCGAGCCACCCAGGAAGAGGGUUCCUGCCAAGGUGAUGUGGUAUGCUCCUAUAAUACCACGGUUGAAACGUCUGUUCAGAAAUAAAGAUCAUGCGAAGUUGUAGCGAUGGCAAAUGGAAGAUCGUAUGAAAGACGAUAAGUUGAGGCACACCGCUGAUGGUCGGCAGUGGAGAAAAAUCGAGAGAGAGUUCCCGAGAUUUGCAGGUGACGCAAGGAACUUAUGGUUUGGUCUGAGUACAGAUGGCAUGAAUCCUUUUGGGGAGCAGAGUUGCAGUCACAGCACCUGGCCCGUUACUCUAUGUAUCUACAACCUUCCUCCUUGGUUGUGCAUGAAGCGGAAGUUCAUUAUGAUGUCAGUGCUUAUCCAAGGUCCAAAGCAACCCGGCAACGAUAUUGAUGUGUACCUAAGGCCAUUAGUUGAUGAACUUUUACAGCUGUGGGCCGAACCAGGUGUACGUGUGUGGGACGAGCACAAACAAGAGGAAUUUGACCUUCGAGCGUUGCUUUUCGUAACCAUCAAUGAUUGGCCUGCUCUUAGUAACAUUUGAGGACAGUCAUGUUGGAAAUAUGCCCUAGAGGCAAUAAUAAAAUGGUUAUUAUCAUAUUUCCUUGUUCAUGAUAAUCGUCUAUCGUUCAUGCUAUAAUUGUAUUAACAACAAACACUAAUACAUGUGUGAAUGAAUAGAUCACAAUGUGUCCCUAGCAAGCCUCUAGUUAGCUAGCUCGUUAGUCAAUAGAUGAUCAUGAUUUCCUGAUCAUGGACAUUGGAUGUCAUUGAUAACGGGAUCACAUCAUUGGGAGAAUGAUGCGGUGGACAAGACCCAAUCCUAAGCCUAGCACUAGAUCGUAUUGUUCGUAUGCUAAUGCUUUUCUAAUGUCAAGUAUCUUUUCCUUCGACCGUGAGAUUGUGCAACUCCCGGAUACCGUAGGAGUGCUUUGGGUGUAUCAAACGUCACAACGUAACUGGGUGACUAUAAAGGUGCACUGCGGGUACCUCCGAAAGUGUCUGUUGGGUUGGCACGAAUCGAGAUCGGGAUUUGUCACUCCGUGUGACGGAGAGGUAUCUCUGGGCCCACUCGGUAGAACAUCAUCAUGAGCUCAAUGUGACUAAGGAGUUAGUCACACGAUGACGUGCUACGGAACGAGUAAAGAGACUUACCGGUAACGAGAUUGAACAAGGUAUAGGUAUACCGACGAUCGAAUCUCGGGCAAGUUCUAUACUGACAGACAAAGGGAAUCGUAUACGGGAUUGAUUGAAUCCUUGACAUCGUGGUUCAUCCGAUGAGAUCAUCGUGGAGCUAGUGGGAGCCACCAUGGGUAUCCAGACCCCGCUGAUGGUUAUUGGCCAGAGAGGUGUCUCGGUCAUGUCUGCCUGUCUCCCGAACCCGUAGGGUCUACACACUUAAGGUUCGAUGACGCUAGGGUUAUAGGGAAUUGUUAUACGAGAUUACCGAAAGUUGUUCGGAGUCCCGGAUGAGAUCCAGGACGCCACGAGGAGCUCCAGAAUGGUCCGGAGGUAAAGAUUGAUAUAUAGGACGGAUGGUUUCGGAGACCGGAAGUGUUUCGGGCAUCACCGGUAACGUACCGGGACCACCGGGACCACCGGAGGUGGUCCCGGGGGACCACCGAAGGGGGGCUGCGACCCCAAGAGGUAAGAUGGGCUAAGUGGGGGUGGGAACCAGCCCCUAGUUGGGCUGGUGCGCCUCCCCACUCAGCCCAUGGCGCAGGGGAAAGAAAAAGAGGGGGGGAACCCUAACUCAGGUGGGCCUUAGGCCCACCAGAGGGGUGAGCCACCCCUCCUCCCCAUCUGGCCGCCACAAACCCCAUCUGGGAGGGCUGCCGCACCCCCUAGGGUGGGAACCCUAGGGGUGGCACCCCCUCUCCCCUUCCCCUAUAUAUAGUGGGCACUUUUGGCCUUUGGGGACACAGUUUUCUCUCUCCCUCGGCGCAGCCCUGCACUUCUUCCUCCUCUCUGCCGGCGCUUGGCGAAGCCCUGCCGGGAGACCUCGUCUCUCCACCAACACCACGCCGUCGUGUUGCUGGUCCUCUUCCCCAACCUCUCCCUCCUCCUUGCUGGAUCAAGGUGCGGGAGACGUCACCGGGCUGCACGUGUGUUGAACGCGGAGGUGCCGUUGUUCGGCACUAGAUCGGAAUCGUUGCGAGUACGACUCCAUCAACCGCGUUCUAGCAACGCUUCCGCUUAGCGAUCUUCAAAGGUACGAAGAUGCUCUUACCCCUCUCUCGUUGCUGGUCUCUCCAUAGGAAGAUCUGAACAUGCGUAGGAAUUUUUUUGAAUUUAUGCUACGUAACCCAACAAGUUUUUCCUCUAGAUCGCGUUUCUGCGGAGCUCGGGCGGAGCCCUACUGAGACAAGAUCAUCACCAACCUCCGGAGCGCCGUCACGCUGCCGGAGAACUCUUCUACCUCUCCGUCUCUCUUGCUGGAUCAAGAAGGCCGAGAUCAUCGUCGAGCUGUACGUGUGCUGAACGCGGAGGUGCCGUCCGUUCGGUACUAGAUCGUGGGACUGAUCGCGGGAUUGUUCGCGGGGCAGAUCGAGGGACGUGAGGACGUUCCACUACAUCAACCGCGUUCUCUAACACUUCUGCUGUACGAUCUACAAGGGUACGUAGAUCACUCAUCCCCUCUCAUAGAUGGACAUCACCAUGAUAGGUCUUCGUGCGCGUAGGAAAUUUUUUGUUUCCCAUGCGACGUUUCCCAACAGUGGCAUCAUGAGCUAGGUUCAUGCGUAGAUGUCUUCUCGAGUAGAACACAAAAGUUUUUGUGGGCGGUGAUGUGCGUUUUGCUGCCCUCCUUAGUCUUUUCUUGAUUCCGCGGUAUUGUUGGAUUGAAGCGGCUUGGACCGACAUUACUCGUACGCUUACGAGAGACUGGUUUCAUCGUUACGAGUAACCCCCUUUGCUCAAAGAUGACUGGCAAGUGACGGUUUCUCCAACUUUAGUUGAAUCGGAUUUGACCGAGGAGGUCCUUGGAUGAGGUUAAAUAGCAACUCAUAUAUCUCCGUUGUGGUGUUUGCGUAAGUAAGAUGCGAUCCUACUAGAUACCCUUGGUCACCACGUAAAACAUGCAACAACAAAAUUAGAGGACGUCUAACUUGUUUUUGCAGGGUAUGAUUGUGAUGUGAUAUGGCCAACGAUGUGAUGUGAUAUAUUGGAUGUAUGAGAUGAUCAUGUUGUAAUAGAAAUAUCGACUUGCACGUCGAUGGUACGGCAACCGGCAGGAGCCAUAGGGUUGUCUUUAUACUAACAUAUGUGCUUGCAGAUGCGUUUACUAUUUUGCUAGGAUGUAGCUUUAGUAGUAAUAGCAUAAGUAGCACGACAACCCCGAUGGCAACACGUUGAUGGAUGAUCAUGGUGUGGCGCCGGUGACAAGAAGAUCGUGCCGGUGCUUUGGUGAUGGAGAUCAAGAAGCACGAGAUGAUGGCCAUAUCAUGUCACUUAUGAAUUGCAUGUGAUGUUAAUCCUUUUAUGCACCUUAUUUUGCUUAGAACGACGGUAGCAUUAUGAGGUGAUCUCUCACUAAAAUUUCAAGACGAAAUUGUGUUCUCCCCGACUGUGCACCGUUGCUACAGUUCGUCGUUUCGAGACACCACGUGAUGAUCGGGUGUGAUAGACUCAACGUUCACAUACAACGGGUGCAAAACAGUUGCGCACGCGGAACACUCGGGUUAAGCUUGACGAGCCUAGCAUGUGCAGACAUGGCCUCGGAACACGUGAGACCGAAAGGUCGAUCAUGAAUUAUAUAGUUGAUAUGAUUAGCAUAGGGAUGCUUACCACUGAAAUUAGACUCAACUCACGUGAUGAUCGGACUUGGGAUAGUGUAAGUGGAUCAUGAACCACUCAAAUGACUAGAGAGAUGUACUUUUUGAGUGGGAGUUUAGCAUAUAAUUUGAUUAAGUUAAACUCUAAUUAUCUUGAACAUAGUCUAAGUCCACUUUGAAUAUAUUUGUGUUGUAGAUCAUGGCUCACGCGAGUGUCAUCCUGAAUUUUAAUACGUUCCUAGAGAAAGCUAAGUUGAAAGAUGAUGGAAGCAACUUUGUAGACUGGGCUCGUAAUCUUAAGCUAAUCUUACAAGCUGGGAAGAAGGAUUAUGUCCUUAAUGCUGCGCUAGGAGAUGAACCACCCGCUACGGCUGAUCAGGAUGUUAAGAACGCUUGGUUAGCGCGUAAGGAGGACUACUCAAUAGUUCAAUGUGCAGUCUUGUAUGGCUUAGAACCGGGACUUCAACGUUGCUUUGAGCGUCAUGGAGCAUUUGAGAUGUUCCAGGAGUUGAAGUUUAUCUUUCAGAAGAACGCCCGAAUCAAGAGGUAUGAGACCUCCGAUAAAUUCUAUGCUUGCAAGAUGGAGGAAAACUCGUCUGUCAGUGAACAUGUGCUCAAAAUGUCUGGGAACUCAAACCGUCUGGCUGAGCUGGGGAUUGAACUCCCUCAAGAGGCUAUCACUGACAGAAUCCUUCAAUCACUGCCGCCAAGCUAUAAAGGCUUUGUGUUGAACUACAACAUGCAAGGGAUGAACAAGUCUCCCGGCGAGUUGUUUGCGAUGCUGAAAGUCGCAGAGUCUGAACUCCGUAAAGAGCAUCAAGUUAUGAUGGUGAGCAAGACCACUAGUUUCAAGAGAAACGGCAAAGGCAAGAAGGGCAAUUCGAAGAAGAGCGGCAAGCCUGUUGCCAAUCCGCCGAAGAAACCCAAGGCUAGACCUAAGCCUGAAACAGAGUGCUUCUAUUGCAAGGGUAUGGGUCACUGGAAGCGCAAUUGCCCCAAGUAUCUGGCAGAUAAGAAGGCGGGCAAAGAAAAAUCAGGUAUAUUUGAUAUACAUGUUAUUGAUGUGUACUUAACCAGCNGAAUUCAACUCCGCGUGAGGUCGCGGAGCAGGAGAACGGCGGAGGGGGGAGGGGCUCAUUCUCAACCGGUGCCAAGAACAACAGAGCCCUAGCCCUAGUUGGGCUAGAGAAAAGAGGAGAGCGCCUCCCUCCACCACCAGUUUCCCCACCUCCGCCGCCGGAGGCCCUCGUUCCUAAAUCCUAAUCGCAGCAGGGCCGCGAAGAUAAUACGCAACAGCAGCAACAGCGACAGCGACAGCGAAGGCAGGGCAGGAGCUCGGAAACCGGGGGAAAAAAACCAUUUUUGCGCAAGAAUCCCCUGGAACUUGCGCAAAUCACACCGUCAAACAGCGGCCGGAUCCACGGUGGGAGCCAGCCCCGAAAAAAAGAAGAGCAACAGCGGAAGAGUAGACGGCCGCCGGCGCGGCGAGCGAGCAGGCGGGGCGGGSCGAGGGGGGGGGGAGGCUUUGACCUCGGGCCGGGGAGCGGCGGCGCGGGGGCGCGGGUUCGGUGGCCGCCGCCGCCGCCGCGAGGGGGGCAGGGCAGGGACGGACGACCUCGGCGGGGGAGGGGAUUAGGGCUCGGGGGUAGUUUGGAAAUUUCGUGGGGUGGUUUGCGCAAAGGAGGUGGGUUUUGAUGCGUGGGUGUGGGGAGGGCGUGGAUGGGAAAACGGCGGG
rnacentral:lncRNA from 1 species